UGUUUUUUUUUGUAUGCCCUUUAUUCUUUCAUUUUUUCCUUAUGAAAGUUGUUAUUAUAGAGAGAAAAAAAAAACUAUAACCAUUUGCUAACAUCUUUCUUUAUUUUCAAUCGACUUUCAAAUUUGUUUUCAAAAUUGUAGCCAAAUUUUAAGAACUAAAAUAAAUAGUUUUUAAAAAAACUGUUUUUUAUUUACGAAAAUUUGGCUACGAUUUCAAGACUGUUUUUUGAAAAUUUAAAACUAAACAAAGAAAGCAUUAUAUCUGCAGUUUUUUAGAAUAUUAACUGGAAACGGAAUUCUCAUUAUCAGAAAACAUAAACAAUGUAAGAUUAAUGAAAAAAUAAACGAAAUCAUAUCCCUAAACUGCCCAGGAAUUAUCAUAUUUUCUUCGGAAAUUUUCAACGACAAUGGCGAAAUUACCAGUCUAUCUCCCCAUUCAUUAUUUCAUCGGUACAUGAAAAUGAUAAAAUGAAGAUUAAGGAAAGAAGAAAUCUCACAGCCUAGUAAGGUCCAAGAGAUUGGUAACCGCAACAGGAAAAGGUCCAACAAUAGAAACCGCAUAGACUUCUCUGCAAAGAAAUGAUGACAAACAAAAAUGAAACUAGUCCUGAAACAAAACUUGUCGAGAAGUAGCUGAACAUUUCAGUAGUUAAAUUACAAGGAAGAGAAGAAAAAUUGGAAAUUACAAUUCAGUGACGACUCUGUAAUCUCCUUGAGUGGAACAGGUAACGCCGGACCAGGGUGGAAGGUGAGAAGCACCACAGGGAUCAUCUCCUACCCAGGAAUACACCACUCUCCAGCCGAGAGAGGCUUUGAUUUCAGUCAAAGCUUUCACUGCAAGAAAACAAAAACCCUAGUGUUAAACUCAACGGAAUUUAGCUUGAUAAGAGUGGGAAAGAAGAAGGAGAAGAGAAAGUACCAUCCCGCUUCAAGGUUUUGCAGAGAACAGAUUGAUGAGGAAGAGCAAAAAGGAAGAGGAUGAAGGAGAACGGUAUGAAUGGAAAUUGGUGCCCCAUUUUCAGUUCCUAUUCUCCCCCUGCCAUGGCUCUUCUCCAUUGUUUUGUUAAUUUUAUUAAUUGCAAGUUCCACUAGUGGCUUUUGUAAAACGUGUUUAUUUUCUAUUUGGUCUCCAAAAUUUGGAAGGUCACAUUUUGAUAUUUUUGUUAGAUCAUGUUUAGGCCCUUUAACAAUUAAUGAUUUGCUUCAAAAACAAAUAAAUGUUAAUUUUUGAGAUAAAGGACACUUGCAAAAAUCACAAAAUAAGUUAUAAUAAUUAAGUUCAUAUCACACGCAUUUUAUUAUUUGUGAAAAUGGCAAAAACGAAAUCCAACCUAUAGGUAAAAUGUCACAAAUACCCUCAUUACUAAUAUACGUUUGAUACACCUUAUAUACGUCUGAUACACAUAAUACACGUCUGAUACACCUAAUACACCCCUUGAUACACCUUAUACUUCUUGAUACACCUGAUACUUCUUGAUACACCCGAUACAUUUGAUUGAUAAACUUGAUACACCUGAUACUCUUUGAUACACUCAUACCGAAACAUACUAAUAUAUGUUUGAUACACCCGAUACACUGCAUAUACAUUUAGUAUUCUUCACUUAUACAAUUGAUUGAUUAAAUGCACUUGAUAUGCUUGAAGUCCUACUUAUACACUUGAUAUACACUUGUAAACUCGAUUCAUAUAAUUUAUAAUAAUUCAUUUUGCUGAUAUGUUUUAACAAUAUACUGUUGAUAUAUUUGAUAAUUAUACACUGAGUUACAUCAUUCAUAUACUUAAUAAUAUUCUAAUGAACUAAAUAAAAUUUGAAAAAAUGAAAAUCACGUAGUAAGUAUAUUAACCAACUAAUACAUAUAAUAUAAGUAGAUCACAACACUGACAUACGAAACUGAGACAAAGUAAAACCAAAAAAUUAAUGUAAAAAAGUAAAACAAAAUCAUUUGGAAUCAAAUUCAACUCAAAAUACACAUAGAAGAAAAUAAAAAAAAAUUACAAAUGAAGUUAAAUUACUCCAAUCAACAAUAAUUGUAUUAUAUUAUUCAUAUUACAAUUAUUGUAUUAUUGAUAUUUUAAAAUUAAGAUUAAGACAGAAAGAAUAAAUAAUUUUUAUAUUAUAAAAAUAAACAAAUAAUUAGGGCCUUAAAAAGUAUAAGCAUAAAUAAAUAAUGUCUAGGACAUUAAAAAGAGGAAGAAAAAUAAAUUAUUGAAGGGUAGUUUAGGAAUAAUAUCAAAUUUAAGAUGGAGAAGUGAAAUUUUUGUCAUAUUUGCAAAAUUCUAAAACAAUAUGUUAUAAUUGCUAUAUCAUAUUAUCAAAAUGUUAUCCUAUGCAAUUUCUCUAACAACUUUAUAUAAAUAGUGUAUUUUUUCUAUAAUUAUGCAUAUAACAAUUAUUUCAUAAGCGGAUUGACCAUAUUAGUAAUAAUAAAUUGUUAAGCAUUAUAAUGGCAAUGCAAUCCUUUUAGGGGAAUAAGACGAUGAAAUUUUCAUUAAACUAAUGAUACACACGUUAAAUCCAUCGAGAUUAGGGAAAUAAAAUCCUUUUAUGGAAUUAUCGCUAAAUGAAGUAUAUUUUCCAUAGACAUUAUUUAUUAUCAUUUAAAAAUUGAUUUUAAAGUUUGAUUUAAAACCACAAAAACACUAAAAAAUAUUAUUCAAAUGUCAAUAUUCCAAAAAAGUCGUGAGAAUAAUAUGAUUUUUAUCUGAAAUUAUUUAAUUAUAUCAAUUUUCCUACGUAGUUUUUUAAUCUGACUUUUAUUUUGAGGUACAACAAUAUUCGAAUGAAUUUGUUUUCAAUUUUGGAAUUCUUUCACGGCAGCUGUCAAUUUUAUUGUUCGCAUUUAUCGUACGCCUGUUUUGAAAUUCUUUUAGAACAGCUGUGGACUGUCUUAGAAUUUCUUUACUUUAUCCUCUACCGUUUCUUAUAAUGACAAUGCAACAUGUGAAGACUUUUUUUUUAUGGUAGAUGGAUAGAAUCUUCUCCAUAUAUUGAUUACCGUGUGGUUGAUGUAUUUGUUCCAUGCUCAUCUUCAUUUCAAGAAUUCUUACAGUUAGGUCCAACCACACACAUCAUUUGACAUCCGAUGCAAAGAUUUGUCAUGUUCAUGGUAUUUACGUGCCUCUGUGUUAAAAAAAAGUGAUAUUUGAAUUGUUCGUAAGUUUACGGAUACACACUUGUGUGUCGUUGACAUUGUUAAAAAUGAUCACAGGCAAGCAACAUCUUGAAUUGUUUCUGAGUGUACAAAGUCAUUUUUUAAAAUGAAUGACAAGGCUCCAUGUUGUCCUUUUGAUGUUAUUAAUUACAUGAAGAUUAAUCAUGUGGUAAAUGUAAGUUAUGAUAAGGCUUGGAGAGGAUGUGAGAUUGCACUAAAUUCCAUUAGGGGUACCCCGGAGGACUCUUAUGCAAUGUUGGCAGCAUUCACGGGUGCAUCGAUUAGAAACAACCCAGAUAUAAUAUAUAUAUCAAAUACUAUGUAUUCUCUAUUAAGUAUUUUACUCAUUAUGGAAAUGCACAUUCUAAUAUCUUGUUUACAUAAUUACUAGGAACGUAUACAACUGAAGAAUCAAACAAUGAAGGUCGAUUCAAGUUCCAUUUCAUGGCCCUUGCAGCUUCAAUUGAUGCAUGGAAUUAUUGUGUGCCAAUUAUUUUAGUUGAUGGUGCAACGUUGAAGAACAAAUAUUUUGGUAAAUGUAAGGUCAAAUAUUUUGGUACGUUGAAGAAAAUUCUCAAAUUGUGCCUCUAGCUUUUGUUGUGGUUGAUUCAGAGAAUUAAUAACGGUGUUAAUAAGAGUGGCCUAUUAAAUGUAGUCUUAACUAGUAACGGUGUUAAUAAGAGAGACUAUUCAUUUCGUGGUCCGAUCUUAUACAAACUCUUUGUAUAAAAUACCCCUGCUGUAAUGUCUCGACAUGAAUGAUUAUGAUCAAAUCAUUUGUAGCACUUUACAACAAUUGUAACAACUACAAAGCAGACCGUAUUCGUAGUGUCACCAGAAUAAGGUAUUCAGCCUUAUCCAUCUACUACAGACCAUUUAGGUUAUCAUUUAAACAUGAUCCACUUGUAUGUCUCCACACACUUUAUUUUAUUAGAUAAAUAAAAUGCUUGUAUAAUAUAUACAAUUACAAACUAUAAAAUCAGAAGAUUUAGAGCAUCAAUCCCAACAUUUUACACGUCAAGUAAUCCAGUGUCAAGAAUAAGAGGAUUUUUGUUUGACAGUUUUUACGCGUCAAGUAAAAUUAUGCUUGACAGUUUAUAAACGUCAAGAAUAUGUUUAUUCUUGACACAUUUUGCAUGUUAAGUUUUUUUUUUCUUUCAAAUGAAAAAUUGUACAAUUUAAAAUAUUCAUAUAAUUAUAUUAAACAUGUUUUGAAGUUCAUUCACACACAUAUAAGUAGUGCCUUUGAGAUUACACAAAGUUGCUAAACUACGCAUAUUAAAUUAAACAAUUAAAUCAGUCAAAACUUUCCAUCAAAGAACUAAUAACUUUAACAAAUUGCAUAUAUCAUUGAACCAUACAUAUAAUACUUAGUCAUUACAUAAUUAAUUACAAUACCCUAAACUUCUACCAUAUGAACAUAUUGUUCUACAUAACUCUAUGUCUAAUAUGAAAAUUUUUAAAGUUUGUAAAAUGUAAAUAUAAGAAAAAGCUAACAUUUCGUCAAUGCUCUAGAUUCUUUUACCUAUAAUUGUACAAAUAUUACAAAGUGUAUGAUAAUGUAUAUACAUUAAAACGUUGGUUGUUUGUUUUCAUAUGCGUGUGUUGCAUAGUACUUUGUGAUUGAACUAGUCUGUGUAAUGGUAGAGCAACAAGAAAAAUAUGACAAGAAAAAAAAAUGUAGAAUAGAGGACAUUUGCUUUUUUUAAAACAAAAAAUUGUCAAGAUAAAGGCAUUCUUGACAGUUAAUUAUAAUCAUGCUAGGUGUUUUAUUGACAUUUAAUAAUUGUCAUGAUUGACAUAUUCUUGACAGAAAAAAUGUCAAAAUAUAUGAAUUCAUAACAGAUAUAUCAAUAUGCAAUAAUGACAGAUAAUUACUGUAAUUUGUGUUAAUUGAUGACAAUUAUUUAUUGUCAUAAAAAAUAUAUAAUAACAACAUUUACUAUUUGUAAUAAUAGUGGAUAUGUGACAUUUAUUUUCUGUCAUGAAAACACUUAUUGUGACAGUUUUUCAAACGGUCAUAGAUAGUCUUUCUUUGACAGACUAUACAAUGACAUUGAAAAAAACUGUCAAAAAUCUUAACUAUGACAAACUUUAACUAUCGUUGUAGGCCAUUUUUCUUGUGGGUGAAAAGUUCUCACUUAUCUUUAUAAUACUGAUUUUGUGUUAAAAUAGAAUUAGUUGACGAUGGAAAUCACGUAUGAAAUGACAUAAUUAUAAAACAUGGGUAAUGUGUCCUGAUACAAGAAAAUUUUGUUAACAUAUUGUUAUUGUUCAAAUGUUUUCUUUAACAAUAAAAGUGUCAUGGCUUAGAUAUUCUUCACAAAUAAAAGAUGUCAUUAUAUAUAUACCUUUUGAUAUUUUAUUGUUGCCAUCAAUGACCAUACUGCUACAACAGAUAGCCAAUUUUCUGAUUAUCACAAUGAUUUCACAUGUCAAAGGAUACGUGACAGGAACAAUUUCUAAACAUCAGGUUAAUUUCAUUGUCUAUGGUAGAUUAUUGUCAUCUAAGAAGAUAUUAUAACAAUUUUUUCCAAUGUCAGUUGAUGAUCAUAUAUCUUUCCAAGGGAUACCAAAAAUGCAAAAUAAUUUUCAUGAAUACUUCUUGUGAUAGUUUUUAGAUGCAGGAACAUCCCAAUUUUGUUGGAGGGUUUGUGGUUUCUUUCAAUUAUCAUCUUCUUCCUAAAUGAAUAAUGUUUCAACUAAAAUAAUUGAGAAAAACUGAAAUGAAAAAUAGAAAAAGUAGACGACGUUAAUAAACUUUUAAUAGUAGGGAGAUGAUAUUGAGGUGUGAAAUUACACAUGUAACCAAGACCAUAGGUUAACUAAAUUUAACAUCCUUUCAUCUACCAUGUAGCUAAUAAAAAAAUUUCCAAAUUUCCAAAUUUCCCUUCAAAUUUCACCAAGUUUCAAGAUUUAUCCAAAUUUUAUGUAAAAAAAUAAAAGAAAUGUCCAAAAUUCAUUGAAAUUGAAAUUUUCAUUUUAUCGUAGUUAUAACUACAUGUUCAAAAAGAAAAUUGCAUCAAAUGACAAAAACAUCUAGAAAAAACAGCCCAUUACACCUUUUGUUUUUCUUUUUUGCAUAUUGUGAAUUUGACAAGUAAUUAGUGAUAUUAGACGACUAUUCGAACGUUAUCAAAGGGUUAUCAAAAAGCUAUCGGACUGUUAUUAAAGGACUAUCAGUUUUAAAUUUGCUACUUUUACAAUUUGGAAAAUGUAGUGACACGAGUCUUAUUAUCAUAAUUUCUUUUGCUAUUUUUAUAAGUGCCCUUACAAAGUGAAGUACAUGUAUAUAUGCGGGACAAGAUUAGAGAACAUGAAAGGGAAAGAGACCUAAUUGAGAGAGACAAGAAACAAAGGUAAGUAUCAUAAUUCUAUUUUAUUUAUAUAUAUAUAUAUAUGUAGGUAUAUAUAUAUAGGUAUAUAUAUAUAGGUAUAUAUAUAUGUGGUUGUAUAUUGUUAAGUAGCAGCUAGUUUAGUGUUGUAAAUGCUCAGGAAGAACAGGUCCAAAUUCCAUGAGUUGUAACGCUGCCCGUUGAUUGUAAAAUACUAUAGCUGUAUAAGUCCAAAGAAAUCCACCAGAGUUUAUAGCUUCCAACACAAGCGUGAAACAUAUUUGACCGAACCUUCGUCCCUGUUCCAACCCAUUUAUUGCCCUCUGGAACUGCAGUUUGUCACCUGUAAUUUCAUUAUGCCUUUCUGUUGCAAACCUUGCAUAUCCUUGAAUUUCUGCAGAAUCAAUAUCCUUAAUUGGCACUGGAGGAACAUCAAAAUUCCUAGAACACAUUGCUAACACCUUUCCACGACAGAUAUGUAUACUUUGGAACAGACUAUGUUUAAUUGCUUUUGAAUAUAAUAUGCAUGGGAACGGGUUCCAUAUUUAUAGUGUUGGCGUUCAAUGUUCUACCAAUUGAUGUCAUCGAAUCUAAUUUUUAUGAAGUAAAUGAAGGAAUAGUAGCUAGCGAGAAGGUGUUUAGAGAAGAUAGCUUCGAAUCAAUUCCUUUUGAUAAUUAUAUUGAGCUUCCUAUUCAUUCCUUAAACUAACUCUCAAAUUUUGGCUUUUCCUUUGCAUUCUCAUCACUUUGUUACAAUUAGAAUCACUUCCAGCUCAAUAUAGGUUUCAAGGUUCUAGUUUGACAAAAAUUUAUGUCCGGUUAAUUCGAUCAAAUAAAAAAUAUAAGUUAGUUAAAUUUGUACUUAUGUCUCUAACUAGGUACUUUCUGCCCAAAAAAUUAAUAUACUUUGUAAACUUUCAAAAGUUUCAAACAAUUUAAGCUUCACACAAUUUCACUUAAAACAUACCAAAAAUAAUUAGUCAAAUAAAAAAAAUAUUUAGCUAUCAACACAUGAACUUAUCUGCUAACAAAUACCUUCGUUAAAAACAUGUAAGUCCUAACUAAAAUUUCUUGGUGCUCCCUUUAUUCUCUUCUUUCAUUUCAUCAUAGUUUAUGUACCUUAACUAAACUGCACAAUUGAUAGCAAAAACAUUUAGAAAAAUAGCUCAUGAUACCUCUUUUUUGUUUGUUAAAAAUAUAACAAAUAUAACAAGUAAUUAGUAAUAUCAUACGGCUAUCAAACGAUUAUCAGAGGACUAUCAGAGGGUUAUCUGCUUUUAAAUUUUCUACUUUCACAAUUUAGAAAAUGAAUUUUAACAAAAAUAACAAAAAAAAAAAUUAGGAUAAUAGAGUUCAUAUCGCAACCUUUUCAAAAUUUGCAACAUAGCAAAUUUAAAAGCGAUGACUAUCUGAUAGUCCUAUGAUAGUUCUUUUGUCUGAUAGCUGUCUAAUAUCACUAAUUUUGUCAUAUUCGUAAUAUGCAAAAAAAUUGUGUCAUAAAGUGUUAUUUCUUCUAAAUGUUUUUGUCAUUUAAUGCAAUUUACUUUUAGAAAAUGUAGUGACAUAGUCCUAUUAUCAUAAUUUUUUUUUUUUGCUAUUUUUGCUAACAUUCCUUUAUUUUAUAUUAAAGAAAUUUAAAAAAUUUUACAAAAAGGGGAGUAAGAGAGUAUUGAAGAAAGAUGAGAAGGAAAAAGAUGAAAAAUAGAGAAAUAACACAAUAUUAACCGUCCACGUCGUUCAUAUAACAAUAAAUGAUUUUUUUAAUAUUUUAAAAGUUUUAAGAACAUUUUUCAAAAUUUUUAAAAGUCGGAGGAUAAUAUUAAAAUACUAAUGAUUUUUUCUCCAAAACUAGGAAUUAUAAGGAUAUUUUUGAACUCAUAUUGAGAAUUUAGGACAUUACUAAAUUUUUUUUGAAAUUACAACAUUAUUCUUUAUAUAAAUGGCUAGGAAUAUUUUGUAUAAAUUAACUAGUUAUUUAGCAAGAGGGUUACUUACAUUCAAUUAAUUGAUCACACAGCAUCAAAAGAUUGUCAAACAUAAAGUGAUUGGUAAGAAUAUAUUUACAAAGCUUUGAUUAAAUAUAUUAUGCUUACAAACCUAAUUAUGAGAUCAUUAGGAAUCUUAAUAUGUAUUUUGCAGACAACUCCAAUUUUCUUUUUCAGAAUUUAAAUUUUAAAACUUACAAAUGUUAAAAUUGUUUAAUAAUACAAUAUCCAUCUAAUGUUAUAAAUUCAAUUAGAUUUUUUUUUUAAAAAAGGUAUAAAGUGAUGCAUUUUAAAUAGAUUAAAUUGUAAAUUUCAUCUUCUAAAUCAAAAGUUAGUUUAUAUGAUUUUAAAAGUUAAAAUUUUAUUCCUAUGAUUUGAUAUAACUUAAUAUAUAGUUCACAUUGUUUGUUAAAUCUUCUAAUAAGAAUUAUUUAUGAAAGUUUUAUAGUACCAAGUAAAUUUUUCAAUAGAUCAAAAGACCUUAAUUUUAAAUUUCUAACAAAAAAUUUCAAUUUACCAUAAGCAUGUUGUAAAUAAAUUAAUAAAAUUUUCUAAGUAUAAUGUAAUGUUUAGUGGCUAACUAUGUAACUUUUUAUUAAGUUAAAGACUCUGACGUGGAUUGAUGUGACUUUUAAAAUAGAUAAAUUGGAAAAAAUUUCCAUUGGCAACAUAUUAUAUGACAAUAUAGCAAUAAAAAAAAUCUUCUAUUCACACAAUAUUAAACAAAAAGUAAUUAAUUAAAAAAGAGAAAUUUCUAUAGAUAAUAAAAAAAUUAACUAUUUACAAGUUACAUAGUAUAAUAAAAAAACUUAAAUAAACUAAAAAGAAUUUGAUAGAACUUGUUAUAUUUUUUUUAAAUAGUUUCAACUUUUUUUUUUUUUUUUUAAUUUUAAUUUUUGCUAUAUUUAAAAAUAAAAGAACUUGUAAAUUCAAAAAGCUACCAUUCACCCACUUUUAAUUCCUUAUUUUCAAAUUUAUGCUUCUAAUAUUUUUCUUUAUUUAAUUAAUAUCAACAAAUGAAGAUUUGAAUUUAUUGGACUUUGAAAGAUUUGAGGAUGAUAUCUAUGUUAUAUAUAAAAGCUUGAAGGUGGAGAAACUUUUUUUCUCCCUAUUGUAUCCUUGAGUUUAGUUCAUGUUCUAAAUCAUUCUUUGGUUUUAUGGUGAAUUCAUUUUAAAUUUCUUUUGUAAUAUAAAAAAUUAUAAAAGACUCACUCUCUCGCUAAUUUUUGAAUUAAUUAUACUUAAGUUUAGUACGUACAAUGUCAAAGGUUGAAUGCAAAUGGUUUUUCAUUUACAUUUUAAAAAUUAAUUAAAAAUUAAAUAUCUUAUUAAUUCUAAUCAACAAUACAAAUUUAAAGACUUAAAAUGAAAAGAUUUUGUAACAUUUUUUCUACCAUAUAAAAAACUUUCUUGAUUUUUUUUUCAACCAAGGUUGUUAUUGAGAAAUUUGCAUCCAUCCAAUGGAUUUUGUCAUGGGACAAGAUUGACAUGUCGAUCAUUUAGCAAAAAUAUUAUACAUGCUGAAAUAGCAAUAGGUGAUCAUGCACGAAAACAAGUUUUUCUUCUACGAAUAUCAUUAAGCUCACCAAAUGAGAAUGAAUAUCCAUUCAAGUUCAAGAGAAAACAAUUUCUCCAUUCGUUAUUUAUACUUUGCAAUGACAAUUAAAGGACAAACAAUUGAAUAUAUUUUCUUGAAAAUGUGUUUUCUCAUGGACGACUUUAUGUUGCACUAUCUAGAGGAAUUUCAAUGAAGACAACAAAAGUUUGGAUCAAGCACGUAGGUGACAAUAAGUACUUUCAGAUUGGACAAAAAAAAAAAUUGUUUAUAAAGAAAUCUUUUUUUGAUAUGUUACGUCUUACAUUUAAACUCUUAUAUUUUAAUCUAAUUAUUGUAAAUAUAUUCUUUCCAUGUACAUCCACUUCUAUUUUAUUUUGAAUUCCAUACUUUUAAAUUUAGUCCAAUCUAAACAUAUGCAUCCAAUAUUUACUAUAAUCUAGAGCUACACAUUCUACGUGUCAUGCACAUAUAUCUUACUAGUAUGGUUAAAAGACUAAAUUUUUUUGGCUCGAGAAAGGAAAGUGUAAAUAUUUUUUAUUAGGGUAUAAAUCUUUUAAGUACUCCGUAGUAUUUCAACAAUAGUAAAUACUAAAUUCUUAAUCAUCUCAAAUUUGAUAUAUUUAGGAAGUUAUUUUUUUUCAUAGUGUUAAAAAUUACAUCACUACCGAUAAGAUUAGAGGUGUUUAUGGAUCAAAUACAUUGAAUAUAUCACUUUUUAGAUAUAACUAAAUAAUUUUUUGGGUUUAAGGUUUCUACAACUCAAGCAAGUAGAAACUCUUUAUUUAAUAAUGAACCCAACUUAACUAAACCAUAGAAAUAUUUAGAUUAGGUUGUUUGAGUUAUUUAUUUAAAUAUUUGUUAUAAAAAUAGGCAAAAUGCUAAUAAAUAAGUAUGGCAGAAUGAAUAGGAGAAGCUAAAAUAAAAGAAAAUAUCCAUCAAAACUUGGAAAUUUCAUAGAAUUUAUUAAAAUAUCAAAAAUAUCAAAAUUGAUCAUAUCAUCAUGGGAUAAGCACGUAUAUAACGAUAUAAACAUAGAUAUGAAUAUGGAAUAAAACUAGAGAAAAUGAAAGGAGAGAGAAUUGAUAGAGACAAGAAAUGAAGAUAUAUAUGACAAUUCCAUUUUAUUUUAUAUAUAUGGGAUAUUGUAGGGAUGUAAACGGGUUGGAUUGGAAGACCUUCUUAACCCAAUUUAUAUUUUUAGGUUGGUUGAGUUGGCACCUGGAAUUAAUUUUCCAACCUAACCCGUAAAAUGUGAGUUAAGUUAUCAGAUUGUAUUGUUCUUUUUUUCAUUCCUAAUGUUUGUAAAGUUUAAAACUGUUGUACUUAACUUGUUCAACUUUCACAAAUUCAAAUUUUCAAAAAUCUAGUUCAAACUAAUUUUCUACCGUCCAAAAGGAAAAAGGAAAAAUCCAAUGUAAAGUGUACAAUAAACAGACAUCACAAGUUCAAUAAUUAAAAGAAGUAGAAAAAAGUACAGUGUAAAGCAUACAAUAAACGAACAUUCAUCUUCUUCUCAUGCUAAGUCCGACUAGGGUGAGUUAUAAUUAAUUCUUUUCUAAUGAAGAUGUUGUUAUACUAUCAUAUUUUGUACCCAUACAAUUAUUUAGCUUUCUAUAUUAUCACGAUCGUUUAUACCCGAUAACCUCCUACACUUCUAAAUGAUCAUUUACUCUCUUACACAAAAGUUUAACUUUCAAUCUUCAAACAACCGUUUAUUUCUUACACAAAUGGUUAACUUUUCAUACAAUUGUUUACCAUACAAUCUUCUACACGAUUGUUUAGCUUUCUAUACGAUAUCGUUUAUCCUCUUAUGUGAUCGUUUAGCUAUCUACUUUCAAACAAUCAGCUAAAUUUUUUAUUCUCAAUAAAUUUUUUAAUCAAAUCAACUUUUAUUCCAAAAAUCAAAUCUUCUCUCUCUUCAUCCAAAGAACAUUUUUGCUUUACCAAAAUAAUUAUUGUUUUUUUUUUUUUCUAAACAAAUAUUCUUUGUCCGAAUUAUUAAUUAUCUUCCAAAUAUUCUUUCUCUAAAUUAUUAAUUAUCUUCCACAAUAAUUAAUUUUCCAUAAAUAGAAUUAUCUUUACUAUUUUUCAUUAUACGUACAUAUAAUUAUCAAAUCUCUAACAAAAUUUUCCCCCAUUCUAUUUAAUUAAAUAACAUCCAGAUUAUUUAAAUAAAUUCCAAUUUUCAUAAAAUCAAAUAAUUUUCAUAAUUUUACUUAAAUCUCAUAACAUAAAAUUAAAUCAAAUUCUCAACAAACACUCAAAUUCAAAUCCUCUAACUAAUUAAAUAUUCAUCCAACAAAUAUCUAAUUAAUUUCAAUGUCCACAAAAUCAAAUAAUGUUCAAAAUACACUCUCAAUAAAUUAAACAUAAUUAAACAAAACUAAGGUAAUUAUCUCUAAAAAUUAUCUUAAUUUUUCGAGCCGUUACAAUGUCACUACAUUUUCUAAAUUGCAAAAAUAACAAAUUUAAAAGUGAAUAACCCUUUGAUAGCUCUUCGACACUCAUCUGAUAUCUUUAAUUAUUUGACAUAUUCGUAAUAUGUAAAAAAUAGGUGCUAUGGACUGUUUUUUUUAAUUUUUUUUUGUCAUCUAAUGUAAUUUUCUUUUUAUAAAACUGAUCGGUUCGAAUGGGUUCUUGGUUGAACUAAGAACAAAGAAAAUCGAAUCGACUAUAACACCUCUCCCAAAAAUUGGAGAGAUUUAGUGAAAAUGUAACAACCUAACUUUCCAACUUUCCUAGUAAGUAGUAAGUUGAGGUCAUUAAUUAUUUAAAUAAGUAUAGAUUUUUUUUUAAUUUAUAAAUAUACAAGAAAAUAAUUUAAAAUUUGAGGAAAAACUUUAUAUAAUAAAAAUAAAUAAGCUAUUAAAAAUUACUAAUCAAAAUAGUUUGGGCCCAUAAAAGUAGAAAAAAAUAUUUAAAAUAGUUGAAUCGGAGUUCUGAAAUAAACCUAUGAAAAUAUAACUAUUGUAAUAUAAAUGCAGAAGAAAAAUUGAGUUCCCUGUGGACCACUUUUUAUCAUUCGCCGGCCUGUCCUUGCCUCUCCCCUUACUUGAAAAUUAAACAUUUAAGAGAGUGAGAUACUCAAUAAGAGGCCCACUAUUGUCUCACUAUGUGUCUAUUAGUCUCUCGUUAGAGUCCUGUAAUAAAGUACCACACGCUAUUAUGCUCCCAAACGCACACUAUCCAGUGGCCCCACCGGGACUGAACUGGGCUCUCGGUGGACCCGAAGGAAUCACCCUAAAGGAGUGUCAGGUUGCAAGUGAUCUUGUCGAAUCACAUCUCAACUAGCCACACAUGCAUAUAUAUAUAUAUAUAUAUAUAUAGGGGACCUCAAUGGACCCCUCGUGGUAAGACUCUAACAGGCAGACUAAUAGGACACUAUAGACUAUACAUGCUCAACAUAAUAGACUAUACAUGCUCAACAUAACACCAACAUCUUAGCUCAAACAGACAUAACUCAAAAUAACAUAUAAUCAUAUGAUAAACCAAUGGUGCUGCAUCUCGUCAAUCAUGAAAGGGUUACCGAAGUACGGUUAUCUCAAAUGGUCAUAUUACAUCUCUCUUAGUUACACCACUAAACAAUACAGAAUAUACAAGAUACACAUGCAACUUUAAAGUCGGUAAUAUAGGGGAAAUCUCUUACUUGGGGAUUUACUAAAAUACUAACUCUAUGUUUGGCGGUCAAAUUCUCAAUUACAGUUCUAAGCCUAAACACAUACACAAAAUUGGUAAAUUUGUCAACUAUCACUCAUUACUUAUUAAGUAGACAUCCAAACUUAACCAUACUUAGUCUAAGACUAAGGUUGAAUCCAACACCACCUUAAAUGAAAAAUUCACAGUCCCAAUUCCACCAAUUUCUGUUGAAUGUUCAAGCAACCAUAAAUCAACUUAUUCCAAAAAUACAAAUUUCAUCUAAGGUAACAAUAUUUUAGUUGGGUCUACCAAACCCAUACCAACUCACCAAAAUGGCUCAAAAGGUUGCAAGAGGCUAAACCUAAAAAGGGCUUGACUGGAAGAGGCUUCGACAGACGUAUGGUGAAUGCUUCAACUUCGGAGCGAACGGAGAGGGUUGCAACCGAGAUGACGGAGAUGAAGCGCUUGUGAGGGUGAUCGGAGAUGUACCGUGAAGAGGGGCAACGGUUAGGGUUUUUUUCUUUAGGAAGAAGAUAGAAUAGUAAUCUUGGCAUGCACCACAUGUGGUUUUAAAUAUACACCGUAAUAUUAAUAAUACCAUUACUCUUAUUAUUUACUUUCCCCAAAUCACUCAUCUUUUCCUUUUUCUCCUUCCAUUCCAAUUAACGUCGUCUCUCUCUUCAUUAACUAAUAUACCUAAACCCAUUCCAUCACCUUUAAUUAAUUAAUUAUUUUUUUUCCACCAACAUAGUAUACCUCUUUUAAUAAUAAUAUUAUACCAUAAUAUAACUAUCCUUAUUCAUACAUAAUCUUUUUUUCUACAAUGGACACCUAACAAUAAUUACUCAUAAUACUUCCAACUUUACACCUUUAAUUCACCAACCAACCAAUUCAAAAAUCGAAAUUUUAAUAAUGAAAUCCCAAAUGACAAAAUUAACCACGUACCUUUCCAAACACUUAACCUCCACAGUUUAAACAAUUUCACACAUAACACCCAAAAUCCGAUAUAACAAAAAAAAAAUUAACUUAAUAUUUUUGGAGUGUUACAGAAAAGAUCUAAAUCUACUACGAAAUUUUACAAAUGUCCUAAAUUAAGAUUUAUUUUCUUGAUUAGAAUUUCGUAUAUUUUUAGGACAAUUAUAACCUUAUUUAUAUUAUUAAUUAUAUCGGAUUUUUAAAAUUAAACUCAAUUUGUUUCCUUCAUUAGAUUAUAUUCCAUUUAUUAUCUAAAUACUAACAUCCUUAUUUAUGAUAUUUUGUUUCCUUAAUUAGAUUAUAUUCCAUUUAUUAUCUAAAUACUAACAUCCUUAUUUAUGAUAUUAAUUAAUGUAUAACUUUAUUGUGAAAAUUAAUUGGAAAUAGUUUAUUAAUUUAAUAUAAAAUAAUUUUUUAAUAUAGAAUUAGUGAAUAAUUAAAUAUAAUUGUGUAUCAUUAUUUUCAUCUCGUAUUGAAUUUGUGAAAUUUAUUCGGACGUCGGCAAACAAUUGUGUCUUCUUCCUCCUUUAAUUUUGUGAUUUUAUUCCAUUAACUCUGGCGUCCCCUUUUCUCUCAUUUGUAUUUCAAAAAAUUACUUUCUUUCUCCAUUUCGAUUUUUGCUACAAAAUAUACAGUUAGUUUUUUUUUCUUUCAUUUUUCGUUUCGUAAAUUAUUUCUUCUUCCAUUUCGUAGCAUAUAUUUUUCUUUAAAAAAAUUGUUAUUCUUCCGUUCCGUAGCAUAUAUUCUAUUCAUAUUCCUUCUAUUUUGUUUAAUUUUUUAUUAUUCAGUUCAUCUUCAUGUCAUUUUCGACAUAUAAUUUUUAUUAAAUGUUUCGUCAUUCGUAUAUACUAUGGUAUAUAUCACUGAAUAAUAAAUUUAUGUUUAUAAUUUGUCACAUAUAUACUACUGCAUAUAUUCAAUAAUCAUACAUAUACUUUUUUCGUGUUCUGUGAUUUUUUUCUUAUUGUAUAUAUAUACCAAUAUAUACUCAUAAUAUAUACCUAUUCAAUAUAUAUUUUUUUAAUUUCUUAUAUAUUUACUAUUGAAUAAUUCAUUUAUAUUUUGUGAUUUGUUACAUAUAUAUUACUAUUCAAUAAUACAUACACAAUUUUUUUUCUUCAUGUUUUCUGAUUUUUUCUUACUGCAUUUAUAAACCACUAUAUAAAAAGUUUAUGUAUCUGAUCAAUAUUAAAAAAAUUUGAAUUCUUACAUAUAUACUACUUCAUAAUACAUAUAUUUUAUGUGAUUUGUUACAUAUAUAUACUACUUUAUAUAUUCAAUAUACAUAAAUGAUGUUAGCUUGAAUAUACUCAAUAUACCUUAAUGUAUUUCAAAUACGAAAUAUAAAAUUCUUACUAACCUUAAAUUUUUUGUCAAUUUUUUCGAAAGAUCACUGUACUAGUCGGCCAUCAAUGUUCUUAUUCUUCACCACUUAUACUUCCUCAAUCUUCUAUUAUUCGGCGUCUUUUGUGAAGAAAAUGAAAUUAAUAUUCAACGUAUUCGAAGAAGGAAGCUUUUUUUUUUUUUUUUUUUUAAAUUUCUAAAUCGUAACCGACGUCCCUAAUUUCUCUCCUUGUCGGUCCACCUUCUAUAAACAAAUUGAUGUAAGAACCUUCCAUUCAUAAAAUAUACGUCGUAUUAUUCAAUAUAUACUAUAAUUAGGUGGAAUAAAUUGAAAAACAAUGAAAAAUGAAAGAAAAAUGGACGGAAAGAGAGAUUGGAAAGUGAGAGAGAGAUUGAGAGGGAAUAUUUUUUGAACAAAAUCACUAAAAUAAAAAUAAUUAAGGAAUUUUUUUUAUUAUGAUAUUACCAUAAUAAAAUUAAUCACUUAUCAUAUUUACAUAGAAUAGCUAAUAAAUGCAAAUAUUAAUCAUGAUCCACUUUUCUUUUUCAUUUUUCUAUUUUUUAAUAUAUUAUUAAUAAUAAAGAUGAGUAAAUUUAUCAUUUGGGCCUUAUAUUUGGAAGUGUUUAAUUAAGUAUGUGUUGGAAGUGUUAGGUAUGUUGGAAGUGUUAAGUAGAUUUAAACUUAACUUUCGUGAAAGUUGGGGGAUUGGGCAUAUAUAGCGUAUUAAUUUAGUAAGCUCAAGUAAGUUGGAGCAAUUGAGAAAAGAGAUAAUAUAAGACUAAUCAAACAUAUAUAUUUAUGUUUUAGAGCUUUUAACGAUAGAUAAGAGUUGGAUAAAACUUAGGGAUAAGUUUUUGGUUGAGUAUAGAGAGGAGUGUCCCAAUUUUUAGAGUUUGCAAAGUAUCAUGUGAAUGAUUGCAGAUGAAUAAGGUGUCCAUGCAAGAGAUGUAUGAACUCAAAUUGAGACUCAUUAGAGGGUGUAAAGUGACAUCUAUUAACCACUGUAAUUUGUUCCUAAUUUUCUUUUCUAUCAUUGGGUUUCUUUUAUUAUAAGUAUCUAAAUAUUUUUUAUUGAUUUAUGUUUUUGUUAUAUUUAACAGUUUGAAAUCUAUUGUAAUCGCUCUUUAUGUUCUUUUCAACCAUGGUGAGUUUAGAAGGUAAAGUAUGAUUUUAUUUUUCUUGUUGUUUAUUUACUGUUAAGUGUGUCUUUGUGGUUUGAAUUUUUGCAUAUGUUUGUUUGCACACAACAACUGCAAAAGAGGAGGAAGUUGACGAAGAUGUCAAAUGGAUGGUUACCCAAGAAGGAAGAUGAUGACGAUGGUAAGUUUUUUUUUUAAAAAAAUAGAAGAUAUCUCGACACACGAGAUAUAGCAUCAAGAUAUCCCUUGACAUUUUCCAGCGCACCCAAUUCAGCAUUAGGAUAUCAUCUCCCGAUAGAUUUUUCCCGACUUCAAUCCGACGCGAAGUUAUGUGUUGGAAAAUCCUUUUUCAACGUUUUUUCUAUUUCUCCUGAAGCUUUUAUGCAUCGGGAGAUCUCCAUUUUCUUGGAGUGUUUUAUAGAGGUAUAGAAAGAAUAUUUGAUGAAGAAACUAUUAGUUGUAACCUUUUUCCUUAACAAAAUGAAAUAUUGCGUAUGUUUUGUGGUGUACAAGCUCCAAUUGAAUACGUAGAAGAAACUGAGGAAUGUUUGGAUAAUAAUAUGUCGUUUAAUAGUGGAGUAUAUAUAUAGAACAAGAGAGAACAAAUAUAUUUUAGGAUUUAUUGAAUGAAGCAUGUAGUGAGCUAUACCUCGAUUGUUCUGAAUUUUCCUACCUGAAUUUUUUUGUUAAGAGAUGCAUUUUAAUUUCCCAUCUAUUAUAUAUAUCUAAUUGUACUUUUAUGUCAUUUGUAGGUUUGAAAUUAUUUCUUUUGGCAUUCGCGAGCUGAGGUUUUAAGAGAUAUGGGUGGUUUUUUUUUCUUUUAAUGUCGUCCUUUUGAACAAUUUGAACAACAAUAUUAAUUGUAAAUUUUAUUACACAGUUGUCGUAAUUGCAAUUUUUAUUAUAUAAAUUGUAAUUUUUUUUAUUAUAAUAAUUUGUUAUAUGUUUAGAUAUUUUCCUUUCGAAGCAGAAUCGAGAGCAUAUUACUCACGAGAACAAAUAAAAAUAUAAUAAAUAAUUAUCAUUAUUAUUAUAAAUAAUAAUGUAAUAAUUUAUGCUGACGCAUACUAUACGUUGGCAUAGACGUUCUUUCCAUGAUGUCGGGAAAACCUUUGCUUGACGUCACAUCGGGACAUCUUUGUUCUACGUGAGGGGGUGACAUCGGGCUUACCCCAUUGUCGACAUCGUCUGGAUGGCGUUGGAGAUAAAACCAGCCUAACGUCGUCCCUUUAGCGCGUUGGCCAAAGUUCUGUAAACCUCUUGUAGCUGACGUUCUGGUUGACGGAGAUUCCGACGUUGGGAAAACUUCGCUCGACCUUUUUCUAUUUUUCUGACGUUUUGCUACGUCGACAAUACCUAAUAUCCUUGUAAUGACGAUCUUAAAAAAAUUGUUGGGAUAUUGGUAUUGUUGGGUUUUAUGUCUUAAAACUCGUAGAUAGUAAAUAUAUUUCGUUGAUCCUUAUUAAUAAAGUGUUAUUAUUAUAAUUUCAACAAGUGUUAUCGAUUAUAUUAAUAGUUUUUUCUUAAUAACAUAAAUCCAAUAAACUAACCUCCUAAGAUGUUUGAUAAGUCUUGAGCAGUAUGUAGAGACAGACAUGGAUGAAUGUUCGAGAUACAACUUAAAGAGUCAAUAGGAUAAGAUAAGAUUGAGAUCCUUAUCCUCGUAACACUAUGGAUGUGAUUCACUUUGUAUUUGAUACAAACGCAAUGAUCCAAUGCGUUCGUGUAGGUGAUAUGCGAGUGAAGGUAUUCUACGCAAUGAGUUUGCAUAAGAUCAGACUAUGAAAUAGUAACUACUAGAUGUAACACCGUUAACUAGUUAGGUUUCUAUUUCAUUAGGAAACCUAGGUAACUUAGUCUUAAUCUUGAUUGUAUUAUGAACUCUUGUUCAUGAGAGAUUGUCCUUUGAUUUGUAUAGGUGAGAGUGGCCAGAUUAUCGACUCAAUAUGCUUAUGAUUUUGAUGACAAGAUUGAGUGGACAGCUGGAAACAUAAUCACACAAGAUGAAAUUCACUCAUCCCCGACUUUAAGUUAAGUAGAUGAGUGUUUUCUUAAAUGGUGUCUCUGAGACUUGAAUAAAGGAUCCUACUCUCUCUUAGCAUGAGAGAGGUUUCUUUUUAGUGGUUGAACCAUAAAAAAGUUGUUCAUUAGAGGAAAAUUGGUAUUUAAGGACUAGAAGUAACCAAAGAACAAAAUGGUAAUUUGACCCAACUGGUGUUAUGACCAUUUGUGAAGGACUAAUUUACUGUUAUUGGUCUAUAUCCAUGGAUAUAGAAAUAUAUUUAGAGUGAGAAGAGUUCAAGUGUGAGUCUUUAGUGAAGUGUACACACAUUUAAUCUCAUAUCGUUGUACCUUUUGAUCUGUAGUCUCAUAAGAUCCUCUGCCUAGCUCAUAAAGGGUAAUGAGAUUUAGUUGUAUCGAAUGUAAUUUGAAAUGUUCAAAUUUACUUUGAAGAUUAAUAUAAUGUAUAAUGAUACAAUAUAAUAUAAAAUUUAUAUUUUAAUUAAACUUUAUUAUGUAAAUUUAAUUUUGGAUAUUACUCAAAAAUUAAUUUAUGAGGGAAUAAAAUAGGGACGUUUUUAAAAAUAGCAAAAUAAAUUAAAAUAUCUACAAGCUAUAGCAAAAUUUUAGAUUCUAUCAAUGAUAUUCUUCUAUCACUAUAGCAUAUCAAUAACUAUUAGUGAUAAAAUUUGUCAUAGGUGGUAAAUAUUUUGUAAAAUUUAGGUUAUGAAAUAUUUGAAUGAGUUCAAAUAUUAAUUUAAUGUGAAUUAGAUUCAUAUUAAAACUAUAGAUUAAAAUUUAAUAUGCAUAUGAUACACAAUAAAACUAUAGGUUAUGAAAGAAAUUUAUGCAUUUCAAAUUUGGAUUAAAUUAAAUAUAAGAUAUUUAAUUUAAAAAUUAAUUAAUUGCAGAAUUAAUUAAUAGUUUAGUUUAAUUUGAUUUAAUUAAACUUGAUUAAAUUAAAUUAAUCAAAAUGAUGAGUUAUGCUAAAGAUAUUAAUUUAAAUAUAAUUUAAAUAAAAUAUAAUUUUAUUUAUUAUUAACUUAAUUAGUCUUAAUAUUAAUUUAAUUAAUUAUUAAAUUAAUAGGGGAACGAGGGUGGUUUUCCCACGUUUCCACAUUCUCUCAACUUCCCUAGGAGAUAUUAUUAGAGUACACAGUUAUGAUUACGUGAUUUCUGUGUACAAUCAACUCUCAAUUUUUCCCUCGAGUAAAAAAAAAUUCAUUCCAAUUUUGUUUUCCACCAACGAAAAUCUUGUUCAGAGAAUAGAGAAGUUUCCAAGUGAUAGUCUUUCCAAAGUUGGUGAUUGGCAGAUCUAGAUUCAUCAACAAGAGUAAAUUUCUUCUCAGUAAUUUGUAAUUCUAUGUAUUUUUUAAGCAUGAUUAGCAAUAAGAAACUUAGUUUCUAUAAUUGUUUUGCCAAUGCACUAGUAUUUUUAGUUCCCAAUUAAAUUGAGUUUAAGUACACAAUCAUUCAGAUCGUGUACGACUGGUCAAUUAAUCGAGUGUUGAUUGAAGCAUUUUUUUUGUAUUUUUUUUAUUGUGGAUAUGUGAAUUUUUUUUGUUUUAAAAAUUUUUCAGGGUAAGUAUUUUGCCGAUUUGUUAUACGUUUUUUUAAAAAACGGACAUUGAAUUUUUGAGGCUAUCGAAAUCGGGAAUGAAAACUUUCCACCAUGAUUAUAACCCUAAAUAACAACUUGAGAAGACUAGUAUUCUAUUGCUAAUAAAAUAAAUAUAAAAAUGGGGAUAAAAUUAGAGAAAAUCAAAGGAAAAGAGAAGAGAUAAAGAACACAAGAUAUAUAUUAAUAAUCAUUUUAUUUAUUUCAUUUCAUAUAUAUGUUUGCAUACACAACAAUUAUAUUGUUGGGUAGACAUGGCAGAUUUAGGUUUAGUUUCCAUUCUCAGGAAGAACAGCUUCAAACUCCAAGAGACGUAUUGCAGCCCGUAGAUUGAAAAUACAUUUCAUCUAACUUUGCUAUAAUUAAGUGUUGUGACUUCUCAUUUAUUAUUUUACACUGUCCUUUGUAACAACAUUCUAUGUAGUUAAAUAAUAAUGAAUACUAUUAACUCAAUCAAAUAAUAUUUUACUAAAACAAGUUCAUCAAUAAAAAUAAAAAUUUAAAACAAAUACUUCCCUAAAAAAUAUUUGCUUGAACAAUUAGAACUACUUAAAAUUCUUAAACAAAUUUAUAAUAAAUGUAUGAUGAAGAGAUUUGAACUCAAGACCUCUUGUUUAUGUGUAUCUAUGAUACCAAUUGAACUAAACUCAUGUUGACACUUUUAAACAAAUUGUGGUAAAAACUACAAGUAAAGUUACAAACUUUCUAUCUUACAGAGGAAAUCACGAUUCUCUUGUAAGAAUAAAUUCUCUUUAAUUUUUCUCAUACACACUUGCUCACUUAUUAGAUAUUUUAAGAUGGUUGACGUUUGACAACCAUGGGAAGAAAUUGUAAAACAUGAUCAGUUUUGGUUUAAUAUUUCAAAACUAGUUCACUUUUUAAAAAAUCAUUUUUUUUUCUCGGGCAAUCUCGACCAAACUUGUCCCCUAGAUUUCGUUAUUUGUUUUUUGUUCUUAUGGUAAUUGAGAAAGACAUACAUACCUCACAUGGUUGUUUUCAAGAGUAAAAUAGAUCGUGGUGUGAAUCUACUCCUUAAAACAUUCUUUUGAAACGUAAGAUUUAUAAAACACAUUUUUCAAGAGAAAUCUAAAAAAAAUUUGACAGCACCUCCCCUAAAAAUAUGAGGCAACCACACCUAAAAAAGAAGUCAUUUCCACAUCUAUAAAAUUAUAAACGGAUUUCAGAGACUACAUACAACUAAUGUGUCUCACCACAAACAUCCAGACGAAUUCAAAACUUCAAGUAGAAUUUAAGAUGCAAACUAUGUAUUACAUACAUAAGUAUUCAAACUAAUUAGGGAUCUUCCAAAACACAAGUUCAUAGUGUCUCUCUAGAUGAGACUAACCACCCCGUGAUGAAUUACAGAAGUUUAAACUAUACAUAUAAAAAAAAAAUGAAGAUCCACAAGAACGACGGGCUCAAACAAAGCUUGGUCCUGGGUUGCUACCUGGAGAGGGGGAGAAAAUAUUGAAAACAUAAGCUGAAAGAUUAGUGAGUAGCAAGUAAUUUGAUACAAAUACAUGUAAAAAUAUUCUUAAUAAAACGUGUAAAUAGGAAUCAAUAUUAAUGUAUUAAUUAAAACGUUAUAAUGACAUAAUCUCCAAUCAACCAACAAACCUGUAGCCAAUCCGAUCAUGACAAGACGUCUAAACAUACGACCAAGAGUAGCACGAACAUGAUCAAGGAAUCAUGUGGCCACAACUAGCUCACACAUAUUUAGUACCCGCCACAAUAGUAACAUCCAUCCAAUCUGACCAUGAUAACAUACUAAACAUGUGGCCCGGAAUAGCUCACACGUGAUCCAUAACCACAAGGAAAUGCCCGGCUAAACAUAGCUCACGCAUAAUUAGCAUCUACCACAGUAACAACAUGCACCCACUCCUAUGUGUAAAUAAAGUCAUCCACCAUGGGUGAAACUAAGAUCCAAGCCAUAUCUCAAUCCUUCCUCCAUAUCCUCACCUAGGCUCAGGUUCUUGGAUCUCCGAUCACGACCUUUUUCAGCCCUAGAACCCCCUGAUAACCAUAGAUGGCACUACAGAAACACAUUUAUGUAGCCUACGAGUAAAAAUCACCUUGGUACAUUGGUAUUGUGGUUCAAAAACCAACCUUCACACUCCAUUAUCAUAAACAACCAUCUAUAAUUAUGUUUCAUAUUUUUUCAAGCAAUUCAAAGCUAAAUCAGAGUUUUCUUAAUAAACAAACAAAAUGUUCUCAUCGGUAAAACCAAGGUAAAAUUUUUUCAUAUCAAAUGUUUGAAAGUAACCACACACAUAAAAAAAAAGAACUCGUUCUCACUUUUCCCACUUCAGUUUGGCUUGAGACACAGAUUUAGACCUCUCAGUUACCUUCAGAUAGAAGGACGUCAAGAGAAUGCACAUUACAUAAGUCUUAACGCCUAAUUAACUAUACUUUUAAGUGUUUUUCAUGUAGGUGACUUAAAGAAGAAAUGAAGUGAGGAUCGCGCAUUAACUCAACGAGAAGAAGUCUUGAAAUUCAUGAGACACAAGGUGAGAUGCUAGUGCAAAACUAGGAAAGAUGAUUCGUUGCCAUCAAUUUCUGAAUGGUAACUAAUAUUAUCAAACAAUAGGUACAAUACUGUGUGGAGGGCGAUGUGGAGAGGCUUUGCUCAUCGGCGUGCACAUCCUCCUCUGGUGGAUCGAGCGGCGCAUCAAUAGAUGGAGACAAGGCUGCAACGCAACACCAAAGGACGUAGUGGAGAUUUGGGAUGCGGUUUGUAGCUGUAUUGUAGCAUGAGGAAGCAACAACGGGUCUGGCAGCCGACUGACGAAAGGGAACAAGGUGGAGGAGAGGGAACAGUCCAAAGGAAGGGGAGGGGGCACGGUCGAGACCUCUUGAAGACGUUCUCGUGUUAUGUUUCUUUUAAUUGCUUCAAAUAAAAAAUACUAAUAAUAGAUAUAGACAAAAAUACCCCCACUUUCAAAAUAAACUCACUUUUUGCCCCUACCUCACUCUUUUUAACACCUCAAAAAGUCCAAGCCUUAAACCAAACUAAAUUUGUUCCAAACUUUCUUAUUAAAAUCAAUUUACCCUAUUAAAACAAUUCAACCUUAAAAGAUUGACUAUUGGAUUUAAACUUGUUUUUCAAACUUAAAAUGUUAAUAAAUAAAAGAAGAAUGGAAUGAGGGAUCACAAUCAUCACCUGAGCGAAAUGUUUAGUUAAUCCCAGAGGACAAUAAUGUCUUAAAUGAGGUAUGAGAUUUGAGUCCAUUGACUACUAACGUGUGUCCUUUAGAGCUGGAAGACGAUAUAGAUGGAUUUGUUAGUGUUGUAAAUGUAGAGUCAUCUAACAAUGACGACACAUAUGGCAUGGAGAUCAUGUCAUCAUAUUAUGAUGUUGAGGCGUAUGAAGUAUCUGAGUCGAAUGUUAGUACUCAUAUAUACUUCAAUCAUAUUGAGCACUUGAUAGACAAUCAUAUACAUAUGGCAACACAGAUUGAAUGUACAUUUUUAGAGUAUAAUGAAGUGAGAAAAGAGGACAUGUGGGUGAUAUAAACCCAGCUCGUGAAUGAUCACUCAGACUGUCUAGUGGUCAGUGACGAUGAACAACCGGUUAGUGAUAAGUGAAAGCGUAUUAAAAAAUUGAUGGAUCACACUGUUGCUGUCUCAGCUAAGUGAUAAGUUACAGGUUAUUGCAGCCUUUCAGGUAAAACAAUGGGUCAAAACACAAGAUAAAGUGACAAAAUGCAUGUGGGUGAUACAAACCCAGCUCGUGAAUGAUCACUCAGACUGUCUAGUGGUCAGUGACGAUGAACAACCGAUUAGUGAUAAGUGAAAAAGUAUUAAAAAAUUGAUGGAUCGCAUUGUUGCUGUCUAAGCUAAGUUAACCUUGAAGAUUAGAAAUACAGGUUAUUGCAGCCUUUCAGGUAAAACAAUGGAGUCAAAACGCAAGAUAAAGUGACAAAACGCAUAACCUUCAGUGCAAAAUUGUAACGUCAAGAAAAUUCACAGUACAUAAGUCUUAACGCCUGAUUAACUAUGCUUUCAAGUGUUUUUCAUGUAGGUGGCUUAAAGAAGAAAUGAAGUGAAGAUUGCACAUUAACUCAACGAGAAGAAGACUUGAAAUUCACAAGUCACAAGGUGAGAUGCUAGUACAAAACUAGGAAAGAUGAUUCGUUGCCAUCAAUUUCUGAAUGGUAACUAACAUUAUCAAACCGUAGGUACAAACUAGCACUAAGAAAACAUACCAAAACUUACUUUUGCAACCUAAUCAUUACCAAGUCAAAUAUUAAUUAAUAUAAACAUCAAGUCAGCUAAUAUAUUUCUUUUAAUGAACUAUAAUCCUUAAUUUAGACUUUAAAAUAAAUUUCAGUUACAACAUUUCAUCCACAGCUUCUUUGUUACAACUUCUUAUCCUAGCUUGCUAUUUCAAUUUUUAAUGCACCCUGUGGUAUCAUUCCUUCCGCUAUAUAAAUGUUGAAGAAGUGCAUCUUUUGUCAUAUUGUGCUAACUUGAGAGCAUUCAUUCAUUUUGAAAUCAAGGACAAAAUGACAGGACAACCGUGGAAAAAUCUCGCUUUAGCUUGUGUUUUCGUGUUGUUAACUUUUAAGGCCUAUUCAUUGCCUCUCUCGACAAAUGGAAGAUGGAUUGUUGAGGCAACAACCGGCCAACGUGUGAAGUUGAUGUGUGUAAAUUGGCCGGGACACAUGCAAGCCAUGGUGGCAGAGGGUCUUCAUCUCAGACCGCUUGACGACAUUGCAACCAUGGUGGCGAACUUGCGGUUUAAUUGUGUGCGUUUGACAUAUUCAAUUCACAUGUUCACACGCUAUGCUAAUUUGACUGUGAAGCAAUCCUUUGAGAAUUUUGAUAUGAAAGAAGCCAUAGCAGGUAUAGCCCAAAACAAUCCUACUAUAUUGAACAUGAAGGUCGUUGAGGCUUAUGAAGCAGUAGUUGAUUCACUUGGUGCACAUGGAGUUAUGGUAGUUUCUGAUAAUCAUAUAAGCCAACCAAGAUGGUGUUGUAGCAAUGACGAUGGCAAUGGCUUUUUUGGAGAUCGCUAUUUCAAUUCUCAAGAAUGGCUAGAAGGACUUAGUUUGGCAGCUCAAAGCCUAAAAAACAAACCUCAGGUCUGGUUUAUUUAUUUACUUUGUUUUCAUUAAACUACUUCUAAAAGAACUAUAAAAUAGGCUGAAGCAUAUAAUAAAAAGACAACAGAAAAAGCCUUAAUUUAACACAUUUUAGACAAUAAAUUAACUACAUCUAAAUUAUUAAAGAAGAUACAAAAAAAAACAAUUUAAUCCCUCCAAUUCAUAUAUAACACAACUCUUAAAAUAGAGGGGAAGUAUUUGUACUUCAACCUAUAAGUUAUCAUUAAUUGUUUUAUAUGACGUUUUGACAAAUUAGAUGAUAAUUUAUAUGUAAAUUUAAAGGUGGUGGCAAUGAGUUUGAGAAACGAACCACGAGGACCAAAUCAAAAUGUGGAGAUGUGGUUUCAAUAUAUGAGCCAAGGAGCUAAACUUGUUCACCAAAUUAACCCAAACGCUUUAGUAGUGGUUUCUGGACUAAGUUAUGACACCGAUCUAAGCUUCUUGAAGAAUAGGUCAAUGGGCUUCAAUUUGGACAACAAGCUUGUAUUUGAAGCUCACUUGUACUCCUUCACAAACAACAUGAGUGAUUAUUGGACGUCAAAGCCAUUGAACACGUUUUGUGCUAAUGUCAAUCAAGGAUUUGAAGACCGUGCUGGAUUUCUUGUGAGAGGACAAAACCCAAUACCUCUCUUUGUGAGUGAGUUUGGGAUCAACCAAAUGGGAGCAAAUGAAGGACAAAAUCGAUUCUUGAGUUGCUUUUUUACCUAUCUUACUGAGAAUGAUUUUGAUUGGGGCCUAUGGGCGUUGCAAGGUAGCUACUACUAUAGAGAAGGUGUGAAAAACGAUGAAGAAACCUUUGGCGUCUUAGAUGCCAAGUUUACAAAUGUCAAAAACCCGAAAUUCCUUCAGAAGUUUCAGCUUAUGCAAACCAAGCUUCAAGGUAUAUAACGUUUAAAAAGUGAUACAUACAUUUGAAUCAUGUUUUAGUUAAGAAUAAUGUUAGUCUCUAUUCAUUUUUUCUUCUCACCGAUGAAUCACACAAUUGCUCUUUAACACAGAUCCAAGCUCAAAUCUCACAACCUCAUUCAUAAUGUACCAUCCUCUUAGUGGUGAGUGCGUGCAAGUGAACAAAAAGUACCAACUAGGAGUUAGUAGCUGCAAGACAUCAAAUCGUUGGAGUCACGAACAAGAUGGCACUCCAAUUAAGUUGGUAGGAUCUAUAUUGUGUUUGCAAGCUGUAGGAGAUGGACUCCCUCCAAUUCUAUCUAAAGACUGCUCAAGCCAACAAAGUGCAUGGAAAUAUGCUUCAAAUGCUAAGCUUCAACUGGCCACUGUUGAUGAAGAAGGACAAGCCUUGUGUUUGCAAAGGGCUUCUCAUUCCCAUCAAAUUUUGACUAACAAAUGCAUGUGUCCUAAUGAUUCUGAAUGCCAAGGAGAUCCACAAAGUCAAUGGUUUACACUUGUACCAUCAAAUGUACAUCUCAAUUAAUUUAUGUACAAAAUUGUAAUUAUCUAUCUAUUUGUUACACAUCCUCCAUUUUAAUUUGAACGAGUUUAUUAUUCAAACAUUUUUCAUGAAGGCCAAAUAAGAAGUUUAAUUAGAUGUUUUUAUCCAGAGAAUUAUAUUAAACCUACUAAUAUUACUUUCAUGUUUAGAGAAUAAUAUAUUUUUUAAAAAAUGAAGUUUAAUUAUAAGUUAUAAUAUUAGUAAAAUAUUCAAUCGAAACUUGUGUACAUCAAUUUCAACAAUCUAAGCAAAAUGCCGAGUAAGAAAAAUGCACCUUGAAAGAAAAAUGUGACAUUUUUAAAAAUAGCAAAAUAAAUUAAAAUAUGUACAAGGCAUAGCAAAAUUUUGGAUUCUAUCAAUGAUAGUCUUCUAUCACUAUAGCAUAUCAAUGACUAUCAGUGAUAGAAUUUGUUAUAGGUUGUAAAUAUUUUGUAAAAUUUGCUAGUUUUGAAAAUUCCCCAAGAAAAAAAGGGUUUGAUAUGUAAGUUAUUCUCAUAUGAAACUAUAAUGUUCAUUUAAUUCUCGGGUUUAUCUUAGUCCAAACAAAAAUUAAUUUUGAAUUUUUUAAAUCAUCAAAAUUAAAUGAGUCAAGGCAUGUAUUUGGAAGAGAUCAAAGUUUGAGUCAUUCUAAUUUAUUUCAGUUAUAAAAUUUUAAUCAAAGUAAAUAACAGAAAGGAAGAAGAUAUAUAACAGUAAGCAACAAAUAACUUCUAAAUGUUCAUCAAUAUUUUACCCUAAUUGAUUACUAAAUCUACUAUAUAUAUAUAUAUAUAUAUAUAUAUAUAUAUAUAUAUAUAUAUAUAUAUAUGUACAUAAUUUUGUGUUGCUUGUUGUUAUCAUUAUAUCUUUUCAUUUUUGUUUAGAAAUUUAUCUUGUUUUGCAGCAUUACUUAUUUACGUUGUCCAAUAAAAUGAAAAAGAAAAAAAAAAGAGAAAAGAAGCCAAAGUCUUGAAGUUGGACAAACACGUCAUUACAUACAUUUGAUAGUUAUAUUUACUUAAAAAGUUUAAGUUUUACAAAUUAAUUUAGGUCAUUUAUAGUAACGAUAAUUCGUGUGUGUAUUUUGUUAGACUUUAAGAAAUAUAUUCUUAUUAUAUUGUCUUCAACUUUAAAUUGAGAUUUUUAUGUUAUAAACAUAACAAGUGUGUCAUGUCUCUAAUUCAACAAAUUAUUUAAAUUUUAUUUAAUUUGAAAGUUGAAUGAGUUUUAAAUCACUCUUGAAGAAGGACGUUAAAGAUAUGUUAUAUAAAUAGAAUGGGUAAAAAAAAAAUUCCUAACAUGAAAUAAUAUAUUUAUUCCCCAAAUAAUAACUUUAUAUAAAUAUGCAAUUGUAUGUAUGAAUCAAAUAAAACUAGAGAAACAUAGCAAGAAGUAUUAUAUAAAAUUGAAGCUUCUACCUAAGUGAAUGUUUUAAUAUCUAAUUUGAGAGAUGGAUGAAAGAAGCUCCAAAGUUUUAUCCAAGAAGAAGAAAUUACAAAAAGGAAAUUGAUUUUAUGUUGGUUGGAAUUUUGAUUGAGACUUAGCAUUAAUUUGUUAGCAAAGUUUAUCCCGAUGCAACAAAAAAAACUUGUAGACACAUAUUAUGCACUAAAUUAAGCUUCUUAGUGUAGAAAAAGGUAUGACAACUAAGUUGUAAAUUCACAACAAACUUUGAACAAAUUUCAAACUACAUAGAAGUGUGUGUAUAUAAGGCAAUGUAUGGGCUAUGUUUCUCUCAUCUCACUCGCAAUCCCAAAAGAAAGAAAAAGAAAAAGAUAUCAAUUUGACAAAAAGAUUAAGAAAAUGAGAACUUUUCUAGUCCUUCUUCUUCUAGCUUUAGUAUUUGUGUUCUCAUCUCUUUCAGCUUAUUCAUUACCAUUAUCAACACGUGGAAGGUGGAUCAUUGAUUCGCAAACAGGUCGUAGAGUGAAACUUGUGUGUGUGAAUUGGCCUUCCCACACACAGAGCAUGUUGGCAGAAGGCCUCAACCAUAGGCCAUUAAAAGACCUAGCAGACGAGGCGAUCAAGUUAAGAUUUAAUUGUGUACGACUCACAUAUGCAACUCAUAUGUUCACUCGCUAUGCAAAUAGGACGAUUGAGGAAAACUUUGAUCUUCUUGAUUUAAAACAAGCAAAAGCUGGAUUGGCUCAAUAUAAUCCUUUUGUGUUGAAUAAGACUAUUGCUGAAGCAUAUGAAGCUGUUGUUGAUGUGUUGGGGGCAAGUGGUUUAAUGGUUAUCGCUGACAAUCACAUGAGCCAACCAAGAUGGUGUUGCUCUCUCGAUGAUGGCAAUGGCUUCUUCGGAAACAACAAUUUUGACCCUCAAGAAUGGCUACAAGGGCUUAGCUUGGUUGCUCAACGCUUUCGCAACAAAUCAACGGUAUGUAAUUAAUUCACAUCACGAGAUUUUCUUAGAUUCUUAAAACUAAACUCAAACUUUUAAGAACAUGUAUAGUAUUUCAUUAAUUAACAAUUUUUUUUAAUGGCUGUUUAGGUGGUAGGAAUGAGUUUACGAAAUGAGAUACGAGGCUUUAUGGAAAAUGCAAAUGAUUGGAACAAAUAUAUAACUCAAGGGGUAACCACGAUUCAUAACAUAAAUUCGGAAGUUUUAGUCAUUGUUUCAGGGUUAAAUUAUGACAACGAUCUUCGAUGCUUAAAGGAAAAGCCUUUGAAUGUUGGCACCUUAGACAAUAAGUUGGUUUUCGAGGUACACUUAUAUUCUUUCAGUGGAGAUUCCGAGAGCAAGUUUGUAAAACAACCAUUGAACAAUAUAUGUGCAAAUAUUAUGAAUGGAUUUAUAGACCAUGCUGGGUUUGUGAUGCAAGGACCAAACCCGUUUCCAUUAUUUGUUAGUGAAUAUGGAUAUGAUCAAAGAGAAGUUAACGAUGCUGAAAACCGAUUCAUGAGUUGCUUCACAGCCCAUCUUGCACAAAGAGAUUUGGAUUGGGCAUUGUGGGCUUGGCAAGGUAGCUAUUAUUUUAGAGAAGGUCAAGCAGAGCCUGGAGAAAGUUUCGGAGUGCUCGACUCUAAUUGGACUCAAAUUAAGAACCCUAACUUUGUACAAAAGUUUCAACUAUUGCAGACCAUGUUGCACGGUAACUAUAUAAAUGAUUAUUACAAGUACAUGCAAUGAUCUAUAGUUAUAUAGUAUCAAAGUAACACUUUGUAUAACAUCUUUUUAUGAUAUAUAUGCAGAUCCAAAUUCUAAUGCAUCGUUCUCAUAUGUUAUAUAUCAUCCACAAAGUAGCCAAUGCAUCCAAGUCUCCAAUGACAACAAAGAAAUUUUCCUCACCAAUUGCUCCACCCCAACUCGAUGGAGUCAUAACAAUGAUGGCACUCCAAUUGAGAUGUCAAGCACUGGUUUAUACUUGAAGGCCAGUGGGGAAGGCCUUGAGGCAUCUCUUUCAACUGAUACCUUAAGCCAACAAAGUGUUUGGAGUGCCAUUUCAAACUCUAAACUUCAUUUGGCCACCUUCACUCAAGGUGGAAAGAGCCUUUGUUUGCAAAUGGAUAGCUCCAACUCUUCAAAAGUUGUGACCAACUCUUGCAUUUGCACCAAUGGUGAUCCAAAUUGCCUCCAAGACACCCGAAGCCAAUGGUUUGAACUCGUUGAAACCAACACAUUAUGAUUCCCUUUCUAUUUUUAAGAUUUAAACUAUGUGACAAUGCCUUGUGUAUAUGUACCAUUUCUAAUUCAAAUGUGAUUGAAUUUGUAUUUGUACGAUAUUAAAUUUAAAUGUAUAUACGACAUUGACAACUGCAUGUAUUUGCACUAAUGACGAUCAAAAUUUCUCCCCAAAGAUCCAAUCCUAAUGAUUUGAUGAACUUACUAUAACCAACACAAUGUGACUUAUCACCAUAUUUAAAAAAUUAGAUAUAUACGACAACCGUUCUUGAUCAUUCACUAUUUUUUUGGAGACAAUUUUUACUUUAAUUAUAAAAUAUUACCUCAUAAAUAUAUUAGUUUUUUUAAAACUAAAUAAUGCAUAGCUAUGCUUAUUUAAUUCGAUAUAGUGCAACACUUUUUUGUAUUUAGAUUAUUAUAAAUCAUAGUUUGAGAAUGUGUAUGAUUGUGGGGUUUAUAUAUAAAAUAUAAGUUUUAGGUUUAAAUAAAAAUGUAUGGUCCCUCUACCUUUAGCUAAAUAGUUUAGUUCUCAUACUUACAAUGAUCAUCCUAGUUAACCUAUAUUUUCAAAAUAUCAAUGAUAUAAUAAAAUGACACAAACGGUGAGAAAUCUUUCCUUUUUCCUUAAUAGCUAGAAGUUAUGGUUUUGAUGUUUAUUGUCCAUCGAGAAAUAGUUUUCUUGACGUCUGUGCACCAUCAACAAAACUAAGGCAACUUUUUCCAUCAAGAAAAUAAAAAGAUUUCUCAAUUUUUUUUACAUUUGUUCAUAUUUCUUAAACAAAAUAAGGUUAUUUUUCUUGACGUACGUGACAAUCAAGAUAAACAUUGAUUUUUCUUGAUGGUAUUUUGCCAUUACCAUCAAGAAAUUAAAAUUUGUGUGCGUCAAGAAAGACCAAAUUUGUAGUAGUGUCGCUAGGAGACAAGAGUGGUAGUUGGGGAUGAUGUGACAAGGAACGACUACUUUCUGCACUGACAUUUGGAGGCAAGGAAAAUUAUUCAGCUUAGGCAAGGACGCACGUACAACACGAGCAUUUAAUUUUCUGCCUAAAGUAUGCCUAUAAAAGAAGCCCAACUUCACUUGGAAGAGGAGAAUUAGAGGACUCCAUCUCUUAAGGAGGCCGGUGAAGGACGAGUUUUAGAGUUCUUCACCCUUUGUAAUAGUGUUCUUUCUUCCAUCCUUCCUCUGAUCAAUGUUUGAGUGAGAGCUUAGAAAGAGAUUAGAGAGAGAGAAGUCCCCUUCCCAUUUUCCCUACCUUAUAUGGGUGAUUUAUUUGCAUUUUUGGCACGCCUUUAGACAUUCCAAAAUGACACAAAGAACAUGGCAAGUCAUUUGUUUAUACUUCUUGCUUAGUUUAAAAUGCAAGUACACAUAGAUCCUAUAUUUUGUUUCUAUUUCAAAGACGUAACUUUCGAAGUUCUUAGACUUAAAAGGUAAAUUAGUUCUUAUUUUUAAUGCUAUUCACAUUUUGUUUGUAGAUUUCAAGAAGUUCAGGAUAACAAUCGAUGAGAUUUUGAGUUUGGAGUUAUCUAAGAGUGUUGUGGUGCUACUGGAGGAGGGUGAUGUCUCGGUUUCUUAUUAUUAAAUGUACUUUGUGUUUAAGAACGAUGAUCAUAACUCGUUUUGUAAUAUGAAUAAGAAUGCUGUUAACUUUAACUACUCAUAACUUCUUCAAUGCUUAAUAAAAAAUUAUGUACUUUCUAUCAAACUCUUCAUUUUGGAACCUUCUACAACUUACUCGAAGGAAUGAACAUGAGAUUCCCCACGGAUUAACACAAAAUUUGCCCAAAACAUGGUACACCAAACUCCCAUCUUCUGCUUACUUCCAAUUUUGAUCUUAAAAUUUAACCCGCUUUCCGUCAUUUUUAGCUCAUGAAUUCUUCAUAAAAAAUGUAAGAAAUUUAACAACCUUUCUAACCAUACCAAAUAGAGCUUUUAGUUCCACCUAUACAUUCUAAAAUACUCGAAAAACAAGAGGCUUCUCGGAAUUACGUGAAAAGUCCAUGAUCUGUUUUCUACUUCAACAAUCAUUCACUAAGCCUCCGAAUUUGCUCAAAAUUUAUUCACGAAACUUGUUAGUAAUUGAGUUAAAUUUCAAACGAAUUCAGCUUAUAUUUUAAUUCUUCUUGUGAAGCUCAAGCCACAAUAAAAACUAGAGAUGGUCUGUGGAAACUAUUCCAAAUGUUACCAAGAACUCAACACAAUACCCUUAAUUUCGAUGGGUAACAUCCUAAGUACCUUCUAAGUUCAAAUCAACCGUCCACCAUCAUGGGUUAAUCAAAGAUGGCACUAGAAUCUAACAGGUAUUUAAGAUUGACUCCAAUAAGUUUAGAAAUUUACCAAAGUUAUGUCAAAACACAUGAUUUUGAGUUCUCAAACGACUGGACAGUAGCUCCCAACUCCUCUAAUAUUCAAAUCAAACAUCCAAAAUGUUGUGGAAAAUGUUAAAUUUAUGUCUAAACUUAUGGGAACUCAAAAUCACCUAAAGAAAACAACCCCGAACCAUAAAAAGCUCUUUAAGAAUUGGAUAUGAAAGAAGAAUGGAGAUGGGCAAAGAUUUGCUUGGCCUCCAACGAGCAACUGUACACGACGACUAUAGGAAAGGUAUUGAAUAUAAUAACCAGCUUACGACUGUGUGGAGGGCGACGUGGCGAGGCUUUGCUCAUCGGUGUGCACAUCCUCCUCUGGUGGAUCGAGCGUUGCAUCAAUAGAUGGAGACAAGGUUGCAACGCAACACCAAAGGACGUAGUGGAGAUUUGGUGCGCGGUUUGUAGCUGUAUUGUAGCAUGAGGAAGCGACAACGGGUCUGGCAGCCGACUGACGAAAGGGAACAAGGUGGAGGAGAGGGAACAAUCCAAAGGAAGGGGAGGGGGCGCGGUCGAGACCCCUUGAAGACGUUCUCGUGUUAUGUUUCUUUUAAUUGCUUCAUAUAAAAAAUACUAAUAAUAGAUAUAGACAAAAAUACCCCCACUUUCAAAAUAAACUCACUUUUUGCCCAUACCUCGCUCUUUUUAACACCUCAAAAAGUCCAAGCCUUAAACCAAACUAAAUUUGUUCCAAACUUUCUUAUUACAAUCAAUUUACCCUAUUAAAACAAUUCAACCUUAAAAGAUUGACUAUUGGAUUUAAACUUGUUUUUCAAACUUAAAAUGUUAAUAAAUAAAAGAAGAAUGGAAUGAGGGAUCACAAUCAUCACUUGAGCGGAAUGUUUAGUUAAUCCCAGAGGACAAUAAUGUCUUAAAUGAGGUAUGAGAUUUGAGUCCAUUGACUACUAACGUGUGUCCUUUAGAGCUGGAAGACGAUAUAGAUGGAUUUGUUAGUGUUGUAAAUGUAGAGUCAUCUAACAAUGACGACACAUAUGGCAUGGAGAUCAUGUCAUCAUAUUAUGAUGUUGAGGCGUAUGAAGUAUCUGAGUCGAAUGUUAGUACUCAUAUAUACUUCAAUCAUAUUGAGCACUUGAUAGACAAUCAUAUACAUAUGGCAACACAGAUUGAAUGUACAUUUUUAGAGUAUAAUGAAGUGAGAAAAGAGGACAUGUGGGUGAUAUAAACCCAGCUCGUGAAUGAUCACUCAGACUGUCUAGUGCUCAGUGACGAUGAACAACCGGUUAGUGAUAAGUGAAAGCGUAUUAAAAAAUUGAUGGAUCACACUGUUGCUGUCUCAGCUAAGUAAACCUUGAAGAUUGAUAACUUGUAGAAAUACAGGUUAUUGCAGCCUUUCAGGUAAAACAAUGGGUCAAAACACAAGAUAAAGUGACAAAACGCAUAACCUUCAGUGCAAAAAUUGUAACGUCAAGAGAAUGCACAUUACAUAAGUCUUAACGCCUGAUUAACUAUGCUUUCAAGUGUUUUUCAUGUAGGUGGCUUAAAGAAGAAAUGAAGUGAAGAUUGCACAUUAACUCAACGAGAAGAAGACUUGAAAUUCACAAGUCACAAGGUGAGAUGCUAGUACAAAACUAGGAAAGAUGAUUCGUUGCCAUCAAUUUCUGAAUGGUAACUAACAUUAUCAAACCGUAGGUACAAACUAGCACUAAGAAAACAUACCAAAACUUACUUUUGCAACCUAAUCAUUACCAAGUCAAAUAUUAAUUAAUAUAAACAUCAAGUCAGCUAAUAUAUUUCUUUUAAUGAACUAUAAUCCUUAAUUUAGACUUUAAAAUAAAUUUCAGUUACAACAUUUCAUCCACAGCUUCUUUGUUACAACUUCUUAUCCUAGCUUGCUAUUUCAAUUUUUAAUACACCCUGUGGUAUCAUUCCUUCCGCUAUAUAAAUAUUGAAGAAGUGCAUCUUUUGUCAUAUUGUGCUAACUUGAGAGCAUUCAUUCAUUUUGAAAUCAAGGACAAAAUGACAGGACAACCGUGGAAAAAUCUCGCUUUAGCUUGUGUUUUCGUGUUGUUAACUUUUAAGGCCUAUUCAUUGCCUCUCUCGACAAAUGGAAGAUGGAUUGUUGAGGCAACAACCGGCCAACGUGUGAAGUUGAUGUGUGUAAAUUGGCCGGGACACAUGCAGGCCAUGGUGGCAGAGGGUCUUCAUCUCAGACCGCUUGACGACAUUGCAACCAUGGUGGCGAACUUGCGGUUUAAUUGUGUGCGUUUGACAUAUUCGAUUCACAUGUUCACACGCUAUGCUAAUUUGACUGUGAAGCAAUCCUUUGAGAAUUUUGAUAUGAAAGAAGCCAUAGCAGGUAUAGCCCAAAACAAUCCUACUAUAUUGAACAUGAAGGUCGUUGAGGCUUAUGAAGCAGUAGUUGAUUCACUUGGUGCACAUGGAGUUAUGGUAGUUUCUGAUAAUCAUAUAAGCCAACCAAGAUGGUGUUGUAGCAAUGACGAUGGCAAUGGCUUUUUUGGAGAUCGCUAUUUCAAUUCUCAAGAAUGGCUAGAAGGACUUAGUUUGGCAGCUCAAAGCCUAAAAAACAAACCUCAGGUCUGGUUUAUUUAUUUACUUUGUUUUCAUUAAACUACUUCUAAAAGAACUAUAAAAUAGGCUGAAGCAUAUAAUAAAAAGACAACAGAAAAAGCCUUAAUUUAACACAUUAUAGACAAUAAAUUAACUACAUCUAAAUUAUUAAGGAAGAUAAAAAAAAAAAAACAAUUUAAUCCCUCCAAUUCAUAUAUAACACAACUCUUAAAAUAGAGGGGCAGUAUUUGUACUUCAACCUAUAAGUUAUCAUUAAUUGUUUUAUAUGACGUUUUGACAAAUUAGAUGAUAAUUUAUAUGUAAAUUUAAAGGUGGUGGCAAUGAGUUUGAGAAACGAACCACGAGGACCAAAUCAAAAUGUGGAGAUGUGGUUUCAAUAUAUGAGCCAAGGAGCUAAACUUGUUCACCAAAUUAACCCAAACGCUUUAGUAGUGGUUUCUGGACUAAGUUAUGACACCGAUCUAAGCUUCUUGAAGAAUAGGUCAAUGGGCUUCAAUUUGGACAACAAGCUUGUAUUUGAAGCUCACUUGUACUCCUUCACAAACAACAUGAGUGAUUAUUGGACGUCAAAGCCAUUGAACACGUUUUGUGCUAAUGUCAAUCAAGGAUUUGAAGACCGUGCUGGAUUUCUUGUGAGAGGACAAAACCCAAUACCUCUCUUUGUGAGUGAGUUUGGGAUCAACCAAAUGGGAGCAAAUGAAGGACAAAAUCGAUUCUUGAGUUGCUUUUUUACCUAUCUUACUGAGAAUGAUUUUGAUUGGGGCCUAUGGGCGUUGCAAGGUAGCUACUACUAUAGAGAAGGUGUGAAAAACGAUGAAGAAACCUUUGGCGUCUUAGAUUCCAAGUUUACAAAUGUCAAAAACCCGAAAUUCCUUCAGAAGUUUCAGCUUAUGCAAACCAAGCUUCAAGGUAUAUAACGUUUAAAAAGUGAUACAUACAUUUGAAUCAUGUUUUAGUUAAGAAUAAUGUUAGUCUCUAUUCAUUUUUUCUUCUCACCGAUGAAUCACACAAUUGCUCUUUAACACAGAUCCAAGCUCAAAUCUCACAACCUCAUUCAUAAUGUACCAUCCUCUUAGUGGUGAGUGCGUGCGAAUGAACAAAAAGUACCAACUAGGAGUUAGUAGUUGCAAGACAUCAAAUCGUUGGAGUCACGAACAAGAUGGCACUCCAAUUAAGUUGGUAGGAUCUAUAUUGUGUUUGCAAGCUGUAGGAGAUGGACUCCCUCCAAUUCUAUCUAAAGACUGCUCAAGCCAACAAAGUGCAUGGAAAUAUGCUUCAAAUGCUAAGCUUCAACUGGCCACUGUUGAUGAAGAAGGACAAGCCUUGUGUUUGCAAAGGGCUUCUCAUUCCCAUCAAAUUUUGACUAACAAAUGCAUGUGUCCUAAUGAUUCUGAAUGCCAAGGAGAUCCACAAAGUCAAUGGUUUACACUUGUACCAUCAAAUGUACAUCUCAAUUAAUUUAUGUACAAAAUUGUAAUUAUCUAUCUAUUUGUUACACAUCCUCCAUUUUAAUUUGAACGAGUUUAUUAUUCAAACAUUUUUCAUGAAGGCCAAAUAAGAAGUUUAAUUAGAUGUUUUUAUCCAGAGAAUUAUAUUAAACCUACUAAUAUUACUUUCAUGUUUAGAGAAUAAUAUAUUUUUUAAAAAAUGAAGUUUAAUUAUAAGUUAUAAUAUUAGUAAAAUAUUCAAUCGAAACUUGUGUACAUCAAUUUCAACAAUCUAAGCAAAAUGCCGAGUAAGAAAAAUGCACCUUGAAAGAAAAAUGUGACAUUUUUAAAAAUAGCAAAAUAAAUUAAAAUAUGUACAAGGCAUAGCAAAAUUUUGGAUUCUAUCAAUGAUAGUCUUCUAUCACUAUAGCAUAUCAAUGACUAUCAGUGAUAGAAUUUGUUAUAGGUUGUAAAUAUUUUGUAAAAUUUGCUAGUUUUGAAAAUUCCCCAAGAAAAAAAGGGUUUGAUAUGUAAGUUAUUCUCAUAUGAAACUAUAAUGUUCAUUUAAUUCUCGGGUUUAUCUUAGUCCAAACAAAAAUUAAUUUUGAAUUUUUUAAAUCAUCAAAAUUAAAUGAGUCAAGGCAUGUAUUUGGAAGAGAUCAAAGUUUGAGUCAUUCUAAUUUAUUUCAGUUAUAAAAUUUUAAUCAAAGUAAAUAACAGAAAGGAAGAAGAUAUAUAACAGUAAGCAACAAAUAACUUCUAAAUGUUCAUCAAUAUUUUACCCUAAUUGAUUACUAAAUCUACUAUAUAUAUAUAUAUAUAUAUAUAUAUAUAUAUAUAUAUAUAUAUAUAUAUGUACAUAAUUUUGUGUUGCUUGUUGUUAUCAUUAUAUCUUUUCAUUUUUGUUUAGAAAUUUAUCUUGUUUUGCAGCAUUACUUAUUUACGUUGUCCAAUAAAAUGAAAAAGAAAAAAAAAAGAGAAAAGAAGCCAAAGUCUUGAAGUUGGACAAACACGUCAUUACAUACAUUUGAUAGUUAUAUUUACUUAAAAAGUUUAAGUUUUACAAAUUAAUUUAGGUCAUUUAUAGUAACGAUAAUUCGUGUGUGUAUUUUGUUAGACUUUAAGAAAUAUAUUCUUAUUAUAUUGUCUUCAACUUUAAAUUGAGAUUUUUAUGUUAUAAACAUAACAAGUGUGUCAUGUCUCUAAUUCAACAAAUUAUUUAAAUUUUAUUUAAUUUGAAAGUUGAAUGAGUUUUAAAUCACUCUUGAAGAAGGACGUUAAAGAUAUGUUAUAUAAAUAGAAUGGGUAAAAAAAAAAUUCCUAACAUGAAAUAAUAUAUUUAUUCCCCAAAUAAUAACUUUAUAUAAAUAUGCAAUUGUAUGUAUGAAUCAAAUAAAACUAGAGAAACAUAGCAAGAAGUAUUAUAUAAAAUUGAAGCUUCUACCUAAGUGAAUGUUUUAAUAUCUAAUUUGAGAGAUGGAUGAAAGAAGCUCCAAAGUUUUAUCCAAGAAGAAGAAAUUACAAAAAGGAAAUUGAUUUUAUGUUGGUUGGAAUUUUGAUUGAGACUUAGCAUUAAUUUGUUAGCAAAGUUUAUCCCGAUGCAACAAAAAAAACUUGUAGACACAUAUUAUGCACUAAAUUAAGCUUCUUAGUGUAGAAAAAGGUAUGACAACUAAGUUGUAAAUUCACAACAAACUUUGAACAAAUUUCAAACUACAUAGAAGUGUGUGUAUAUAAGGCAAUGUAUGGGCUAUGUUUCUCUCAUCUCACUCGCAAUCCCAAAAGAAAGAAAAAGAAAAAGAUAUCAAUUUGACAAAAAGAUUAAGAAAAUGAGAACUUUUCUAGUCCUUCUUCUUCUAGCUUUAGUAUUUGUGUUCUCAUCUCUUUCAGCUUAUUCAUUACCAUUAUCAACACGUGGAAGGUGGAUCAUUGAUUCGCAAACAGGUCGUAGAGUGAAACUUGUGUGUGUGAAUUGGCCUUCCCACACACAGAGCAUGUUGGCAGAAGGGCCUCAACCAUAGGCCAUUAAAAGACCUAGCAGACGAGGCGAUCAAGUUAAGAUUUAAUUGUGUACGACUCACAUAUGCAACUCAUAUGUUCACUCGCUAUGCAAAUAGGACGAUUGAGGAAAACUUUGAUCUUCUUGAUUUAAAACAAGCAAAAGCUGGAUUGGCUCAAUAUAAUCCUUUUGUGUUGAAUAAGACUAUUGCUGAAGCAUAUGAAGCUGUUGUUGAUGUGUUGGGGGCAAGUGGUUUAAUGGUUAUCGCUGACAAUCACAUGAGCCAACCAAGAUGGUGUUGCUCUCUCGAUGAUGGCAAUGGCUUCUUCGGAAACAACAAUUUUGACCCUCAAGAAUGGCUACAAGGGCUUAGCUUGGUUGCUCAACGCUUUCGCAACAAAUCAACGGUAUGUAAUUAAUUCACAUCACGAGAUUUUCUUAGAUUCUUAAAACUAAACUCAAACUUUUAAGAACAUGUAUAGUAUUUCAUUAAUUAACAAUUUUUUUUAAUGGCUGUUUAGGUGGUAGGAAUGAGUUUACGAAAUGAGAUACGAGGCUUUAUGGAAAAUGCAAAUGAUUGGAACAAAUAUAUAACUCAAGGGGUAACCACGAUUCAUAACAUAAAUUCGGAAGUUUUAGUCAUUGUUUCAGGGUUAAAUUAUGACAACGAUCUUCGAUGCUUAAAGGAAAAGCCUUUGAAUGUUGGCACCUUAGACAAUAAGUUGGUUUUCGAGGUACACUUAUAUUCUUUCAGUGGAGAUUCCGAGAGCAAGUUUGUAAAACAACCAUUGAACAAUAUAUGUGCAAAUAUUAUGAAUGGAUUUAUAGACCAUGCUGGGUUUGUGAUGCAAGGACCAAACCCGUUUCCAUUAUUUGUUAGUGAAUAUGGAUAUGAUCAAAGAGAAGUUAACGAUGCUGAAAACUGAUUCAUGAGUUGCUUCACAGCCCAUCUUGCACAAAGAGAUUUGGAUUGGGCAUUGUGGGCUUGGCAAGGUAGCUAUUAUUUUAGAGAAGGUCAAGCAGAGCCUGGAGAAAGUUUCGGAGUGCUCGACUCUAAUUGGACUCAAAUUAAGAACCCUAACUUUGUACAAAAGUUUCAACUAUUGCAGACCAUGUUGCACGGUAACUAUAUAAAUGAUUAUUACAAGUACAUGCAAUGAUCUAUAGUUAUAUAGUAUCAAAGUAACACUUUGUAUAACAUCUUUUUAUGAUAUAUAUGCAGAUCCAAAUUCUAAUGCAUCGUUCUCAUAUGUUAUAUAUCAUCCACAAAGUAGCCAAUGCAUCCAAGUCUCCAAUGACAACAAAGAAAUUUUCCUCACCAAUUGCUCCACCCCAACUCGAUGGAGUCAUAACAAUGAUGGCACUCCAAUUGAGAUGUCAAGCACUGGUUUAUACUUGAAGGCCAGUGGGGAAGGCCUUGAGGCAUCUCUUUCAACUGAUACCUUAAGCCAACAAAGUGUUUGGAGUGCCAUUUCAAACUCUAAACUUCAUUUGGCCACCUUCACUCAAGGUGGAAAGAGCCUUUGUUUGCAAAUGGAUAGCUCCAACUCUUCAAAAGUUGUGACCAACUCUUGCAUUUGCACCAAUGGUGAUCCAAAUUGCCUCCAAGACACCCGAAGCCAAUGGUUUGAACUCGUUGAAACCAACACAUUAUGAUUCCCUUUCUAUUUUUAAGAUUUAAACUAUGUGACAAUGCCUUGUGUAUAUGUACCAUUUCUAAUUCAAAUGUGAUUGAAUUUGUAUUUGUACGAUAUUAAAUUUAAAUGUAUAUACGACAUUGACAACUGCAUGUAUUUGCACUAAUGACGAUCAAAAUUUCUCCCCAAAGAUCCAAUCCUAAUGAUUUGAUGAACUUACUAUAACCAACACAAUGUGACUUAUCACCAUAUUUAAAAGAUUAGAUAUAUACGACAACCGUUCUUGAUCAUUCACUAUUUUUUUGGAGACAAUUUUUACUUUAAUUAUAAAAUAUUACCUCAUAAAUAUAUUAUUUUUUUUAAAACUAAAUAAUGCAUAGCUAUGCUUAUUUAAUUCGAUAUAGUGCAACACUUUUUUGUAUUUAGAUUAUUAUAAAUCAUAGUUUGAGAAUGUGUAUGAUUGUGGGGUUUAUAUAUAAAAUAUAAGUUUUAGGUUUAAAUAAAAAUGUAUGGUCCCUCUACCUUUAGCUAAAUAGUUUAGUUCUCAUACUUACAAUGAUCAUCCUAGUUAACCUAUAUUUUCAAAAUAUCAAUAAUAGCUAGAAGUUAAGAUUUUGUAGGGUGUUUUAAAUAUAUAUAUAUAAUAGAAUGGUAUCUUUUGUACUUUCUUUUUAAAUACGAACAUAGAAUUUAUUCGAUUUAUUUGUUUCUACUGCUCAAGAAACAGGACGUGUGACAUCUAGAAGUUUUAAAUAAAAUUUGUAAGUAAUAGUGGAAUUUAUUAUAAUGUUUUUAUAAGAUGAUCACGAGUCAAUUGCUUCAUGCACCAAAUUUUGGUGAGAUUGUGAUGAUGAUUGGCUACACUUAGUGUCUCUUAUUUCAAAGAGUUGUUGGUUCUUCGAGUUCCAUCGACUUGAAGUCUUGAUUAAUUUUUCUUAAUUAGUUUAUCUUAGAGACGUUUUGUUCUAGUUUUAUUCACAACCAUCAAAGGCCGACAUCAAGAAAAAUAGUUUUCUUGUCAAAACAUGUCAUCAAAAACAGCUUCGACAAAUUUUUAAUGUAGGAGUGGACUUCUUGUCUACAUAUACAUACAUGUGCCAGUUGAGCUAAGCUCAUAUUCUACAACUUCUACAAAUUUUAAAAACCUUAAAUUAUAAACUUUCAAUUCAACUCAUUAAAGUUGAACACAAUAAAUAAUUUAAUUUCGAUAGUGUCACUUAUUUCAAUAUAAUUAUAAUUACAACAAUUAACUUUUAAAAAAGUAAUAUUUUAUUAUUAAUGUACAGACAUUAAUAAUUAAAAAAAAAAUAGUAAAGCUUUAAGAAUAUUAUUGAUGAAUAUCGUGUUUUCUGAAUCCGUUAAAGAUGGUCCAAAUUUUGUGCUUCUUAGUAAAUAGUUUUUUCUUUUUGGGUAAUACCCAUCAAGAUAUCAUUUUUCUAUAGGUCUUGUCCAUGAUCUUAUCAUAAACCCAAAAUUGUAAAUUGCCCAUCAAGAUAUCAUUUUUCUUGAUGGACCUUGUCCACGAUUUUUUUUUUUUUUUUUUUUUUUUUUUGUCUUUGUUCAUCAAGCAAACCCUAGACACAUCAUGAAGAUUCUAAACCCAUCAAAAAUCCAAAACAAAUAUAUAUAUUUUUUUUUUUUAUGAUGACCCUUGCAAAUCAAGAAAACUAAUUUCUGGUGGGUCUCGUCCAUCAAGAAAACCUAUCUAACUUGAUGGACACUCCUAGUCAACUAAUAUAUUGUCUUUGAUGUUUAUUGUCUAUUGAGAAAUAGUUUUUUUAACGUCUGUGCACCAUCAACAAAACUAAGGCAACUUUUUCCAUCAAGAAAAUAAAAGAAUUCCACGUUUUUUUAAGUUCUUUUCAUAUUUCUUAAACAAGAUAAGGAAAAUUUUCUUAACGUACUUUACCGUCAAGAUAAACAUUGUAUCAAGAAAAAUAUUUUUCUUAAUGGUCAUUUGUCAUUACCACCAAGAAAUUAAAAUUUGUGUGCGUCAAGAAAGACUAAAUUUGUAGUAGUGUCGCUAGGAGACAAGAGUGAUAGUUGGGGAUGAUGUGACAAGGAACAACUACUUUCUGCACCGAUAUUUGGAGGCAAGGAAAAUUAUUCAGCUUAGACAAGGACGGACAUACAACAUGAGCAUUUAAUUUUCUGCAUAAAGUAUGCCUAUAAAAGAAGCCCAACUUUACUUGGAAGAGGAGAAUUAGAGGACUCCAUCUCUUAAGGAGGUUGGUGAAGGACGAGUUUUAGAGUUCUUCACCAUUGUAACAGUGUUCUUUCUUCCAUCCUUCCUCUGAUCAAUGUUUGAGUGAGUGCUUUGAGAGAGAGAAGUCCCCUUACCAUUUUUCCUACCUUAUGGGUGAUUUAUUUGCAUUUUUGGCAUGCCUUUAGACAUUCCAAAAUGACAAAAAGAACAUGGCAAGUCAUUUGUUUAUACUUCUUGCUCAGUUUAAAAUGCAAGUACAUGGAGAUCCUACAUUUUUUUUCUAUUUCAAGGACAUAAUUCUCUAUUAUCAAAGUUCUUAGACUUAAAGGUUAUAUGAGUUCUUAGUUUUAAUGAUAUUCACAUUUUGUUUGUAGAUUUCAAAAAGUCAAGGAUAACAAUCGGUGAGAUUUUGAGUUUGGAGUUAUCUAAGAGUGUUAUGGUACUCUUGGAGGAGGGUGAUGUCUUUGUUUCUUAUUAUUAGAUAUACUUUGUGUUUAAGAACGAUGAUCAUAACUUAUUUUGUAAUAUGAAUAAGAAUAAUGUUAACUUCAACUACUCAUAACUUCUUCAAUGCUUAAUAAAAAAUUAUAUACUUUAUAUCAAACUCUUCAUUUUGGAACCUUCUACAACGUACUUGAAGGAAUGAAAAUGAGAUUCCUCACAGAUUAACAUAAAAUUCGUCCGAAACAUGGUAAAACAAACUCCCAUCGUGAAAGUUGGGUAAUUAGGCAUAUAUAUAGCAUAUUAAUUUAGUAAGCUCAAGUAAGUUGGAGCAAUUGAGAGAAGGGAUAAUAUAAGACUAAUCAAACAUAUAUAUUUAUGUUUUAGAGCUUUUAACGAUAGACAAUAGUUGGAUGAAACUUAGGGAUAAGUUUUUGGUUGAGUAUAGAGAAGGAGUGUCCCAAUUUUUAGAGUUUGCAAAGAAUAAUGUGAAUGAUUGCAGAUGAAUAAGGUAUCCAUGCAAGAGAUAUAUGAACUCAAAUUAAGACUCAUUAGAGGGUGUAAAGCGACAUCUAUUAACCACUAGAAUAUGCCCCUUCUAUACAGACUAAGCGUAUCAUGGAGAGCCCAUGAACUUGCACUACAUGAAAAUAAGUCUUUUUCGACGCACAACACAGACGUCGGGAUAAAAGACGUCAGAAGAAAAAACUUCACCUCACGUCGUAGAAGCUCCAUCGGUAACGGUUGACAAUUUCGACGUCGUUAUGCAUGACGUUGGGAAAAGUUUAAAAUUUUAAAAAAUAAAAAAUUUAAACUUUUUCCGACAACCGUUGUACAUUGCGUUGGGAGAAAUUUAAAAUGUUAAAAAAAUUUAAACUUUUCCAAUGUCGUUAUGCAUGGCGUCAGGAGGAGUUUAAAAAUUUUAGAAAAAAUUAAAAAAAUUUAAACUUUUCCCGAUGCCGUUAGUGAAACAUCGGGAAUCGAGGACACUUUUUCCGAUGUUGUACUUUAUGCCAUCAAAAAUAGGUGGAUCGCCCGACGUUCACGAAGUGUGUCGGGAGAUCCCCUACAUAUUUGAGUUUUGUAUUCACAUAACACAUAACUUAAAUUGAAAGGAAAAGAGGAAUAGACCACGAGAGAGAGAGAGAUAGUCAUCCGUUUGUGGUCGUUCACUCUAUUCGAUGUCGCCAUUCCCUCCGUCUUCGUGUCUUUCACAAGUUCUUGGUUAGAGGUAAUUCAAGGCUCAAAAUCAUAAAUAUAAACCCUUUGAACUUGUUCCUAAUUUCCUUUUCUAUCAUUGGGUUUCUUUUAUUCUAAGUAUCUAAAUGUUUCUUAUUGAUUUAUGUUUUUGUUAUAUUCAAUAGUUUGGAAUGUGUUGUAAUUGCUCUUUAUGUUCUUGGCAACCAUGGUGAGUUUAGAAGGUAAAGUAUGAUAUUAUUUUUCUUGUUGUUUAUUUACUGCUUAGUAUGUCUUCACGAUUUAAAUUUUUGCAUAUGUUUGUUUGCACAUAGCAGCUGCAAAAAAGGAGGAAAUGGACGACGACUACUACUACUACUACCACUACUACCACUACUACCACUACGACCACUACGACUACGACUACUACGACUACCACUACCACUACCACUACCAUUACCACUACCACUACCACUACCACUACCACUACCACUACCACUACCACUACCACUACCACUACCACUACCACUACGACGACUACUACGACUACGACUACUACGACUACUACUACUACUAUGACUACUACUACUACGAUGACGACUACGACUACUACAACUACGACCACCACCACUACGACCACCACUACGACCACGACCACCACCACUACGACCACCACCACUACUACCAUAAUAAUUUAUGCUGACGCAUAUUAUACGUUGGCAUAGACGUUCUUUCCAUGACGUCAGACAAACCUUUGCUUCAUAUCAUGUCAGGACAUCUUUGUUCUACGUAAGGAGGUGACGUCGGACUUACCCCAUUGUCGACAUCGUCUACAUGGCGUUGAAGAUAGAACCAGCCUAACAUCCUCCCUUUAGAGCGUCGGCGAAAGUUUUGUUGACGUCUUGUAGCCGACGUUCUUUCUAGUAGACGGAGAUUUUGAUGUGGGGAAAACUUCGCUCGACCUUUUUCCAUUUUUCUGACGUUUUGUUGCAUCGGCAAUACCUAAUAGCCUUGUAAUGAUGAUUUUAUAUAAAUUGUUAGGAUAUUGGUAUUGGUGGGUUUUAUGUCCUAAAACCUGUAGAUAGUAAAUAUAUUAUGUUGACCGUUAUUAAUAAAGUGUUAUUAUUUUAAUUUCAAUGUUCGAGAUACAGCUUAAAGGGUUAAUAGGAUAGGGAUAAGAUUGGGUACCUUAUCCUGGUAACACUAUGGAUAUGAUUCAUUUUGUAUUUGAUACAAACGCAAUGAUCCAACGCGUUCCUGUAGGUGAUAUGCGAGUGAAGGUAUUCUAUUCAAUGAGUUUGCAUAAGAUCGGACUAUGAAAUAGUAACUACUAGAUGUAACACCGUUAAUUAGUUAGGUUUCUAUUUCAUUAUGAAGACCUAGGUAACUUAGUCUUAAUCUUGAUUAUAUUAUAAACUCUUGUUCGCGAGGAAUUAUCCUUUGAUUUGUAUAUGUGAGAAUGGUCAGAUUGUCGACUCAAUAUGCUUAUGAUUUUAAGGACAAGAUCGAGUGGAGAGCUGGAAACAUAAUCACACAAUAUGGAAUUCACUCAUUCCCGACUUUAAAUUAAGUAGAUGAGUGUUUUCUUAAGUCGUGUCUCUGAGACUUGAAUAAAGGGCCCUACCCUCUCUUGGCAUGAGAGAGAUUUAUUUUUAGUGGUUGAACCAUAAAAAAAGUUGUUCAUUAGAGGAACAUUGAUAUUUAAGGACUAGAAGUAACUAAGGGAUAAAAUGGUAAUUUGGCCCAACUGGUGUUACGAGCAUUUGUAAAGGAAUAACAUACUAUUAUUGAUCUAUAUCCAUGGACAUAAAUAUAUUUAGAGUGAGAAGAGUUCAACUGUGAGUCUUUAGUGAAGUAUACACACAUUUAAGGAAUAUUAAUUAAUGUGGUUAAUGAGUUUAGCCAAUUAACUCACAUAUUGUUGUAGCUUCUGAUUUGUAGACUCAUAAGGUCCUCUUCCUAGCUCAUAAAGAGUAAUGAGAUUUAGUUGCAUCAGUUGUAAUUUGAAAUGUUCAAAUUUACUAUGAUACAAUAUAAUAUAAAGUUUAUAUUUUAAUUAAACUUUAUUAUGUAAAUUUAAUUUUGGAUAUGACUCAAAAAUUAAUUUAUGAGAGAAUAAAAUAAGAAAAUUUUUAAAAAUAGCAAAAUAAAUUAAAAUAUUUACAAGUUAUAGCAAAAUUUUAGAUACUAUCAAUGAUAGUCUUCUAUCACUAUAGCAUUUCAACAACUAUUAGUGAUAGAAUUUGCUAUAGGUUAUAAAUAUUUUGUAAAAUUUGUCAUUUUUGAAAAUUUUCCAGUAAAAUACUUGAAUGAGUUCAAGUAUUAAUUUAAUAUGAAUUAGGUUCAUAUUCAAACUAUGAAUUAAAAUUUAAUGUGUAUAUGAUACACAAUAAAACCAUAGGUUAUGAGAGAAAUUUAUACGUUUUAAAUUUGGAUUAAAUUAAAUAUAAGAUAUUUAAUUUAAAAACUAAUUAAUUGGAGAAUUAAUUAAUAGUUUGGUUUAAUUUGAUUUAAUUAAAUUUGAUUAAAUUAAAUUAAAACUAUGAGUUAUGGGAGAGAGAUUCAUUUAAAUAUGAUGUAAACAAAAUAUUAAUUAAAUAUAAUUUUAUUAAUUAUUGACUUAAUUAAUUAUUUAAUUAAUUUUAAUAUUACUUUAUUAAAUUAAUAGGGAACGUGGGUGUUUUUCCCGUGUUCCCACAUUCUCUUAACUUCCCUCUUUUCUAUGAGAUAUUAGGACGGUAAAUAGUUAUGAUGAUGUGAUUUCUGUGCACAAUCAACUCUCAAUUUUUCUCUCGAGUAAAAAAUAAUUCAUUCCAAUUUUGGUUUCCACCGACCAAAAUCUUGCUUAGAGAAUAGGGAGGUUUUUGAGUGGUAGUCUUUUCAAAGUUGGUGAUUGGCACAUCUAGAGUCAUCAACGAGAUUAAAUUUCUUCUCAGUAAUUUGUAUUUCUCUAUAUUUUUUAAGCAUGCUUAGCAAUAAGAAAAUUAGUUUCUAUAACUAUUUUGUCAAUGUAUUCGUAUUUUUAGUUUCCAAAUAAAUUGAGUUUAAGGUAAAAAAAUUCACUGCAUGAGCUCUUAUCCCUUCAGGUACGCAAUCAUUUAGAUUGUAUAUCAAAUCUAAAUGAAUCUUGCAUACCAAAUAUAUUACGUGCACGAUUGGUUAAUUAAUUACGCAUUAAUUAAAGCAUUUUUAGUAUUUUUUAUUGUGGAUAUGUGAACUCUUUUUCGUUUUUGAAAAUUUUGAGUGUACAUAUUUUGCCAAAUUGUUAUAUUUUUUAAAAAUCUCCAAGAAAAUAUGAAAACUUUCCCCUGCUUUAGAACUUUGAGGCUAUCAAAAUCUGGAAUGAAAAGUUUCCACCAUGAUUAAAACCCUAAAUAACAACUUGAGAAGACUAGAAUUCUAUUGCUAAUAAAAUAAGUAUAAAUAUGGGGAUAAAAUUAGAGAAAAUCAAAGGAAAAGAGAAGAGAUAAAAAACACAAGAUAUAUCAUAAUAAUCAUUUAUUUUAUUUUAUUUCAUAUAUAUGUUUGCAUACAACAAUUAUAUUGUUGAGUAGACAUAUCACAUUCAGCUUUGGUUUCCAUUCUCAUUAAGCACAGCUUCAAACUCCAAGAGACGUACUCCAGCCCGUUGAUUAAGAAAGACUUUAACUUUAUAAGUCCAAAUAAUUCCAAUAGAGUUUUUAGCUGACAGGACAAGGGUGAAGUCUAUUCGGAAACCCCUUCGUCCCUGUUCCAACCCAUUUAUCACCUUCACAAACUCCAGAUUUUCUCCCGUUGCUUCAUUAUGCUCACUCACUGCAAACUCUCCAAAUCCUCGUAUCUCUUCGCUAUCAACAUCCUUAAUUGGCACUGCUGGAUCAACCUUGGGAAUUGAAAUAUCCUCUGAACUCAUUCCUAAUACGUACGUACCCUUCUGAUAUAGAUAGAUAGAUUUAUAUAUUUUUGUAACACUGGUUUGAUUUUGGAUAAUGGGAAGGAGUUGGAUAUUUAUAGUUGUUGUUGUUGAACCUUAGACACUGUUAUCUUUGAAAUAAUCAAUGGGGUAAUAUUAUUUGCACGUGUUGGAUAACUCCAACUACAACUACAACCAAGAAAAUUAAAAAGCCUCCGACUAGUAGGAUUAUUAUAUAAUUAUUCUAUCCAAUUUUAAAUUCUACAAGAAGUUUUAUUGUCUUAAAUAAAUAAAUACCUUACGUUAGAUCUGUUGUUAUAAUUUGACUUUUCAGUUACGUCGUGUUUACUACAUUCGUGUUAUCGUAAAAUGUAGUUGUUUGAAUGAUUAAAACUACUAAGAUUUGUACAGGUUGAAUAUGGAAAACUGCAACUAGGAGUCUGCCUAAUAAUAAUAUAAAAGCAAUAGAGAUGAUUAAUGUAUAUUAUAUUAUCCUAUCUAAUUUUGAAUUCUUCAACGUUUCAUGAUGAAACUUUUUCAAAUUUAGUUUCAAUCAAUUAGACCACCAAACAUGAAAGAUAUUGAUGAAGAUAAAGUGAUGGCUAUGAAUAUAUUCCCACAGACACAUUCUUUAAAAUACUCUUUUGAAUCAUAUGUUUGAAUUGAUUUUAAACUCUCUUAAUAAAAUAGAAACUAUUUCGAGUAGUUGUGUAAUAAUAUUCAAAUUUUGUUUAAAAUGAAUUAUCUUUUAUAUAAAAUACUUUGAAAUAAAUUUCAAAUACAUCGUUUUGAUAGUCGGUAUGUCAAGAAAGAAAGAGAGAGAGAAUUUAAGUUUUUCUCUUUAUUUAUUUAUUAAUUUGGUAUUAACAUUUGAAGAUUUAAACUUUGUUGGGAAAAAAUAAAUGUGAUGAUCUGAAAGACUAUUGGGGGAUAAUAUAUGUACGCAUAAAGACAAAACAAUUUAGUUAUAAUUUAACAAUAAUAAACACCAUACAUAUAUAAGGUUAUUCUUAAUUUUAAUUAAUAUUGGUUGAAAAAUUGCACAAAUAGACAUAUAAACACUUAUUUACUAUGAAGAUUAUAUCUACUUUUCUAAGUUUUCUUUGUUGCGAUUUAAUCAAACUCAAUUUUGAUUUCAUACUAAAAUUGAUUCGAUUCUAAGCUAAAAUUGUUAGUUUGAUCCCAUAUACACAAUACUAUAACUUGAUCGGGUAUGUUUGUGUGCUCGUAUCACCAACCCUUAAACUAAUUUCAAUGUGGGAUAAAAAAUAUUCUUCUAAGUGAACUUGCUAUAGAUCAUGGGUCGUCUAGGUAGUUAUGGGACAUUGCCAAUAGGUAGUUGUAGGUUACUUAUAUCUAUCUUUAAAAAAUAUUUGGAAAAAAAUGUAUUUUUUUAUAAUAUUGUUUUUUAUUUUGUUUGCUUUUAUUAUUUUAAACGGGUUGUUUUUUAAAUUUUGUAAACUCUUAUCUUAUUUGUUUAACAUUUUUGUGGAUUAAUUACAAUCUUUAUAGUAUAUCUUUUAGCAUUAGUUUUUAAAUACAAUAAUAUAAUUAUAACAAACAAGUAUUUGUUAUUGCUUUACAACGGGUAAAGGUUGUUUUGGAUGGUAGAUGGACUGAAUAUUUAUGGUAUCUCGAUUAUCGUGUUGUUGAUGAGGUAUAUGUUCCAUUUUCAUCUUUCGUUUCCAGGAUUUGUAAAAAGUAUUCAAGGUAGACUUUUCUUGUCUUCAAAUUUUUAUGUGUCUCAUUUGACUGUUUAUUGGGAUGGCUGCAACAAUUCCAACUUCAUUCGGAUUAUCAAGGAUAAAGAUGUGUCUUGGCUUAUGUACUUAGUUUUGUCAAAAUUUCAGGAUAAUGAUUUACUUGUGGUUGUUGACUCUGUAUUGGCUGGUGCUUCUGGAAGUACAACAUAUUUGUACAAUGAAGUACCUAGAUUUCAACAUUCACAUCAUGAAACAUAAAUUAUUGACAUUGAUGUCUUUGAAUUGUUGCAUGUCGGCAUGCCUAUUGAAGUGGGAUUAAUGUUUACAAACAAAACAGUACUGAAGAAAGCUAUUUAUUUGCUUGUUGUGAACAAUAGUUUUGAACUUGUUACUAGUAGGGCCAAUCGUACCUGGUUUGAUAUUUGUUGUAAGGAUUUGUCUUGUCCUUGGUAUUUACAUGUUUCCAUAUUAGAAAAAAAAAAGUGAUAUUUGGAUAGUUUGUAAAUUCACAGAUUUCCACCAGUGCACUGCUGAGAUCGUAAAAAAUGAUCACACAGGCAAGCAACAACUUGGAUUGUUUAUGAGUGUACGAAGUUAUUUUUUAAAAUGAAUGACAAGGCUCCAUGUCGUCCUUUUGACAUUAUUAAUUAUAUGAAAAUUCAUCAUGAAGUGAAUGUAAGGCUAUGACAAGGUUUAGAGAGGGCGUACUUCGAAGGUCUCAUAUGCCAUGUUGUCAGCAUUUUUGGAUGCACUUAUCCGAAACAACCCAUGUAUACUUUAAUCACAAAUAUACUGUCAUUUUUUGUUUUGAAAAAAUUACAAUAGUACAUAGAAAUACACUGAAAUUUGUAAUUUAGGUGUAUUUGAGUCAAAUUUUAACAGUAUUUUAUUUUAUAAAUAUUGAACUAAUUUCAGUUACACUUGUUGUUCCUAAAAUUAAGGGAAUAUCUUUUAAUAUCUUCUAGUUUAAUUUAAAACAAUGAUUAAAAAACUAAAUAAUAAACAAUUUAGAUUCACAAGUGUAUAUAUAACAAUAAUGAACGUGAUUUGCGAUAAUAGGGAACGAUUUACCGUUGUUCUUUUACAUGUCACAAUCAAAAAGUAUUGGCGUGUUAUUAAGCAUCAAUUUCACUAAGCACUAGGAAAAUAGACCUUUUUUCUACCGAGGACGAAGCUGGAAUCAUUUUAAUGAAGAAGGUUUUGAAGCUCCUUCGGAAGAAACAAAAACCUGCAAAAGAUGACUGAAGGAACCCAUCAAGAAUUCGGGAAAGAAAGUGGAAAGCAAAAACUUGAAGAAGAUGAGUGAAGCCAAAAACCUGAUCAAUACUUCCCUGCCACGCGCGGAAUGUAUGAAGAGCUUGAAGGGUUUGAAGAGGACGAAGUUGAAGAUGAGUUUUAAUUGAUUUGAUUGUGUUGGUAUGAAAAAUUAGGAGAUAACUAUAAUCAUUGGUUGUUGGAGAGUUUCAGUCAAUUAUGGGGUAUUUGUGGUUUUGGUAUAAUUUUUUAUAAUGCUAAUUUUUUCACUAGAUUAGGAGCAUUUAGGACAUUUUUGCCGCCGUUUUUUUUCAAUUUUUAUGAUUUUGCUAUUGUAUCAAUUUAAAUUAAAUUUUGCUAUUUAUACACAUUAAACCUUCUAUUUUGCUAUUUUUCUAUAGUCAGUUCCAAAUUUUAAUCUAGGCCUCUAUUUUAUUAAAAGAUAUUCUCUUAAGCUCUUAUUUAUUAAAUAAGAAUAUAUUAUUUUAAUUCGAAGUCUUUAUCUCUAGAUAUUAUUUUCAAGAAAAGAUUUGUUUCCAAGAUUUUGAUUCUCCUCAUUCAACGGGUUUUGACCGAAUCUUGGCUGCUUAUAUAUGUACCAUGGUCUUUGAUGUAUUUGUGUGUGUGCAUCAAGAACAAAAUAUGGAUCAUAUUAUGGGUAGCAAUCAAGAAAGUUAUUCUCAUUUCCUAGAAUUAAUCUUGUUGAUUCCAUAUUUGAAUAAAAGUCUUAUUCUUUCGGCUUAAACAGCAAGAUCUAUUAUGAAGAAACAUUAAACCUUAAUCAGACGAUUUAUGAGAAACUUGAUCAAAGAGGAUCCUUCAACUAGAACACCUUAAUUUGCUUAUUGAUGAGAUACUGUUAGUAAGUUAAAUUCACUUAAGUACAUUCACUUAACUACAUAAUGAUGAAAUUGAGUUAUAAAUUAUGUACUUAUAAUGAUCAUAAGGAUGUUAUUUUGAUUCAUUUUUUAAAGUAAUACAAAAUCUCAAAUCUCGGGUCAAGGACCCUCCAAACGUAAAUGUUAUGUCAUCGAACUGAGUUAACAAUGUUGUGUUCCUACUGCUUUUGCUUUUAUUUACUAAUCCUUAUACUCAAGGAUGUUUUUCGUACUUAUUUAUUCCUCUGCUUAGCAUAUUGUGUCGAGACUAAAAACCUAUUCAAACCUCUCCUUCCUUCCUAUUCGAGACUACUUCAACCUCUCGCUUUAGUAGCUAAAGCAGCUUAUUUGAACCUCUCCAUUGACCGCUUUUAUUUACUAAUCAUCUUGACCGCUUUUAUUUACUAAUCUUGCUGUAUCUUCCGUUAUUAAAUGGAGUAUCUCCUCAACGUACAUUUAUUGUUUUAUCACAUAGUUAAUUAGAAAAGGGACAUCAUCAAAUAUAGUUAUGUUUAUUAGUGAUAUUACACAAACACUAGUAUAAGUCUAUUAGUGGUUUAUUAUUAAUAAAAUUUAAAAAAAAAAUUAAAUAUUUUCAAAAGUUUAAUGAUUUAUAGUAAUUUUUUUAUAAAAAAAAUGUAUAAGAAAUUUCAUAAAAAAAUGCGAAAUUAUUUCAAAAUAUGGUAUAAUUAUAUGUUUGAUCAAACCAGUAGUCUAUUGUUAAUGAAAUAAAUACCAAUUAGGAUACCAAAUAUUGGAGAGAAUGGAAGGGGAAGAGAAGAAGAAAAAACACCGCACAUAUCAGUAGACAAGAGACUAUAAAUUAAUAAAGAUCAUAAUGAAGCAUAAUUGCUUUAUUUAUUUUAUUUCAUUGCAUAAAAGUUUGCAUAUUGUUGGGUGGUAAGAGUAGAUGAGAGUCCAGCUUUAUUUUCCAUUCUCAGGAAGUACAGCUUCAAACUCUGGGAGACGUACUGCAGCCCGAUUAUUGAAAAUUACUUUAGCUUUGUAAGUCCAAACAAUUCCAAGUGAGUUUUUAGCUGAUAAGACAAGAGUGUAAACUAUUUGGAAACCCCUUCGUCCCUUUUCCAACCCAUUUAUCACCUUCACAAACUCCAGAUUUUCUCCUGUACUUGUUUCAUUAUGCAUUCUCACUGCCAUCCCUCCAAUUCCUUGUAUCUCCUCGCUAUCAACAUCCUUAAUUGGCACCGUAUCAUAGUCCGGAAGUUUGCUGACUGGCACCAGGGGAUCAACACCUGUAGAACUCAUUUUUGCUAAUAUAUACCAAGAUAGAUAGAUAUAUAUUUUCUUAAGAGUUGGUUUUGCUUUAUAAUAAUGGGAAGGAGUUGGAUAUUAUUUAUAGGUGUUGAACCUUAGAAAUUGAUAAUCUUUGAAAUAAUUAAUGGAUAAGGAUAUCAUAUUAAUAGGUGAAAACCACAUCUUUCUAUUGAAAAACAUAGCUAGCUAGUUUUUAUUGUCUUAAUUAAAAUAAUUAAACUUUACACCCAAAUUUCACCUUUUUCUUUAUCAUUCUUCACUGUUAUAUAUAUAUAUAUAUUUUUUUUUUUUUAAGAAAUCAUUUGGAGCUCAAAAUAAGUUUGAGCACUCUAUUUAGACAAUAAUUAAUAUACGUAUAACUUGAUCAAAUAAUAUAUAUUUUACCAAAGCAAGUUGAUUAAUAAAAAUAUGAACUUGAAGAAAAUACAUCUAUAUAUAAAAUAACGAUAUUUGCACAUAUUGAGAACAUGGAAAACUUCAACUAGGAGGUCUGCUACUCGUCAAUAAUAUAAUAAAACUCCAACUAGGAGAAUUAAUAUAUAUAUCCUAUCCUAUUUUAAAUUUCUCAACUAGUUUUAUUCUUUAAAGUAAAUAGUAUAUAUCCUAUUUUUUUUAUAUAUAAAUGGUAAACAAUUUCAAUAUUUUACUAUUACAACAAUUCUUCUAUAAAAAAUCUAAUAAUAACUCUGUUCAUUCAUAAUAAUUUUGUUACGAAAGAAAUUGACUUGAAGUUCAAAAUAGGUUUCAACAUUUUAUCUAGUUAGAUAAUAAAUAAGUAUACUAUAACUCAAUCAAAAAAUAUUUUACUAAAAUAAAUUCAUAAAUAAAAAUAUAAAUUUAAAACAAAUAAGAUUAUGACUACUUAAAAUAAUUAAUGAGAUAAUUGCACGUGUUGGAUAGUUAAAGAUACCAUUUUAUCCAAUUUUAAAUUCUACAACUAUUUAAUUGAAAAACGAAUCUAAUUCUAAAGAACUUAAAACGUGUAAUUGGAUUUACUUUUUUAAAAAAAUUCUUAUUUACUGUAUCGUUACAUCUACUUUUACCUUUGACAAUCAUAUGUAUUUAGUUGUAUGAUUAAAAUUAUAAAUAUAACUCCAACUAGGAGGUCUAUUACAAUAUACAUUUGUACAUUGUUGAAUAGGUGUAACUUCAGCUAACAUAUAUUAUAUAUAUAUCCUAUAGAAUUUUGAAUUGAUGAAACUUUUUCAAACUUAAUUAAUUAAUUUGUUACCUAAUUUCAAUUAAUUGACCACUAGACGUCAAAAAGAUGAUGAUCAACAUAAAUUGAUUGCUGUGAAUAUAUUCACAAAGCUUGAUUAAAUAUAUUCUCUUGGAAAUCAAUUUAAUAAUUGAGAUUAGUAGUAAAGUUAAGGUAUGCAUAUUUAGUACUAAGAAUAUGUAAGGAUUUGGACGAGGUGAAUGCUGAAUUUUGUUGAUGUGGUGAGAGUUGCAAUCACAACAUGAGAAGAAAAAAUCAACUAAUAAAGUAGAGUAGUGAAGAACAUUCAAUACAUCUCGUAAUGUGAAAAACUAAAAUAGAUUAUUUUAGUUUUACUUAAGUUAGAGGCUAAAGCGAUAGCCAAGGGAACAUGAAGUAAAAAGAACACUCUAUGUUUUAUAAUCCAGUUGGGUGAAAUCAACCUAAUUCUCGAGAGCUUUUAUAGCUUAGAUAAAGAGAUUUUAUUAAGAUUCAAAUGAGUUUUAUUCAAUGAACACGCUUCAUUAUUCUAAUAGACAUUUCCCUCGUAUUUGAACUCUUUUACUAAUUAAGUUUUACUAGAAUAAUCAAACUCCUCUUAAUUUGAUAUUUAAAUGUAAUGAAGAAUGUUAGACUCCUUCUAAACUCGUAUUCAAAUAUCAAAGUCUUCUUUAAAUCUCUUAUAUUUUAACUUUAGGCUCCCCUGAUUUGAAUAACUCGAGUUUGAGCUUUCAAUUAUUAAUGUCUUUUUUAAUAGGUCACAUAAUAAGCCAAGUUUAAUAAAAUAACCCAAUGUGAUAAAUUAUUAGUUAACAUACGUAGCCCACACUUUAAUUAUACAUAUUAUUUAAAUACAUUUAACAAUCUCCCACUUGGACUAUGUUUGUAUUCCUGAUAUAAUUAAAUCACAUGAACCUUAAGCGCGCAUAAACAUGUUAUUUUAAUAAUAGAAUUCCCUCUUUAGUUCAAUCUGGUUCAUCGCUUGCAUGAUCAUGGAAUCAGGGCGGCUUUUGUCAUUAUCCUUGUAACUAAACAUUCUUGAUCGCCAAUUUUAAUACAUUUGCCUGAGCUUUUUCUUCCUUUCAUAUGACUCAACAUAGAGAUGUCCAUUUAACUCGCAAGGUCGGGGGCUCGCGGGGACCCGGCUCGAACGGGGCAGGGAAUCCCUAAAUAUACGGGGAAUGGGGGAGGGAGUGGGGAAUUAUUUUUUCUCCAUUGGCAACACGAGGUCGGGGACGGGGAAUACAUUCCUUGAAGGCUUUAUAUUAGAAUACUUAUGGAUUGAUCCUUGAUCUUUUUUAUAUGGAUUUUUUAAUUUUAUGGACGAGUUUUUAAAAGUAUCUUCUAAUAAUUGAAUUUUUAUUUUUAAACAAAUAGCUAGAAUUUCACAUUUUAAUGGUUUUAAAUAAGAAAAUUGAUAAUAUUAUAUCAAAAACAUUGAAAAUAUAUAUACAUUUAAGUAAAUGUGGAUUGAAAAAUGAGAUUAAACUUUAUAAAAAAACAGGGAAUAUUGUCCCGUAGGGAAUCUCCGCCCCGCUCCCCGCAGGAAAAUUGGCAGGGAUGGAAAAUGGGAUAGGGGGCGGGGAUUCCCCGAAAAUAUUGUCUUACAGGCAACACAACUUAUGGCAUGCUGAGUUAGAGAUGCCCACGGGACACAGACUUAUCUAGUCUGCCUAUUUGUUUGUUCGUGAUGUAUAGAUGGGACAUUGAAUACAAAUUGUAGCCACCUAACUUUAUCCAUCUUUUAUUAUUUUCUUUUUUAAAAAAGAAUUUUUUAUUAUAUGUAAGGGCAUUCCUCAGUUAAGACAAAUCUUAAAUCGUCAACCACUACUAUCAUGUUAAGAUUUGAUUUCCAUGCCGCAUAAUUAUCGCCAUUAAGUUUUUCGGAAGCUAAAAGUUGAACCAUUUAGCUAUUUAUGUUGAAAAAAAAACAUAAUUUUUUUAGAAAAACUAUAAUCAUAAAGAAACCAAUCUAAUUUAGCAAUUACUUAUAAUGUACCCUUCAUUAUUUGUAUUUUGCAACAAUAUUUCAAAGGUUUAGAACAACUUUCACCAAAGGGUAGUCAAUUAUUUCUCCUUUGAACCAAGACAAUCUUGACUAGAUGCAAUCUCUUGCUUAUUCUUUAUAGCACCUAGUUAUCGCUACUUUGGUUGAGAAUAUACUAACAACUUAGUAAUUCUUGUAAGUGCUACCCACCAUUUUUGGAUCUCAUAGAUUAUAAUCAAUAUGAAAACUAAUUAAUCUAAGAAAACCUAUCCAUAUUUGGAGUUCGCAGUAUUCCAAAUCCUAUAAUACAACCCUCCGAAGGGAACGUCGCUCCAAGGUAGACGAGUAGGCAUAUUAUAGAAAUCUCACAGUGCGACCUAGUGGAAGAGACUGUGGGAUAUGUUCACAUAUCCCUUACCCAUUUACUACGAACUACUUCCCCUAUUUACCUUGAUAUUGAUCCAUGCAAACACUCUUCGAAGGGAGUCCGCUCUUAUGCAUGACCCAAAGCCCAACAUAGACCUCACGGUAUGAACUCUUAGGGACGCUAGAGCUAAAAAAGUACAUUACUUCUCUCUAGCUGAAGUGUUCUAUAACGGUUUUUUAAGGGUAAUUAAAACUUCAGGAUUUAUAUUUAGGCUAACUUAAACAAAUCCUAAGUCUAGGUAAAACAUUCGAGUAUAACCAUUAUACAUAAUUUUAACCUAUGAUGUCUAGGUGAUAAACCAUUUUUAUUACCUCACACCUCUCACGCAUGCUUAUAAAACUUGGUUAACUAGGCUCAAUAACUGAUUAUGAUCUCCAAGUAGAAGGUGUUCCGUAAACCGUCAACUUAAGAACCUCCAACCCUAAUCAUCUUAUCUGACUUCUUGACAAGAUCAAACCAAGUGAACCUCUUGUAACCAAUUUUACAAGAUAUCGACCUAUUUCUAUGAAAAGUUUAGGAAUAUUUGUUUAACCUAAGUCAGCAUGCAUUUAAUCUUUGUUAUAGAUUUUAAAAGUCUAAUUUAUUUUAUAACACUUAUAAAAACUUUAGACAUAUUCUAAAAUCAAACGUUUAACAAUAUAUAACCAUGGUAAAAACCAAUCAAUUUAAUGUGAAUUUUAAUUUGUUUAACUUUUAAUUAAAUUAUAUUAAAUUAAAUUAAAUUAAUUAUUGAUUUAUUUAAUUUAAUCAUAUUAAUCAAUUAAAAUGCAUACUGUAUAAUAUAACCAUUAUAUCAUAUUUUUAAUGCAUGAACAUGUUAACGUAUGGUGGACUUUAAAAUCUAUAUGACAUUCAAAAUGAACAUACAAAUUUAAAAUAAUUAAAAUAUACAUCACAUGCAUAAAAAAAACCCCUAAAAUAGACUGAUUUUUGCCCUUAAAUUAAGCUAAGUACUAAAUUAUUACAUUAAUAAUUCGAUGUAGUAUAGAAACCACUCGAACUGGCUUGAAAACCAUCCAAAAUAGCUUGAACUAGCCCAAAAUACAUUGAAUAGGCCCAAGACCCAACUCAUUGGGCUUAAACCAGCCCAAACAUCCAAAACAAGUCGAGAUGCACAGGCAGUCUGGGCCGAAUGGGGCGUGCGGGCACAGGCUGGACAGAAUGGGGGUUGGGCUGGGUUUUCGGGUCGGGUCAAUGGUCUCAACCAAGUUUGAAGCCUUUUUUCGGGUCUGUCUUCUUCUUUUCUUCAAAAAUUAGCAUUUCUAUUUCUCUCAUCCGGUUGAAGAAAUUACACCCAAAUUUCAACUUUAACUCUAAUGACUCUUUAAAAAAAAUACAACAAGACUAAUUACAAUAAUUAAAACAAAAACCCUAAAUCUAAGGUCAAAAUUAUAAUAUAUCCAUUUUAGUUCAACCACAAUUUAUCUAAUAAAUUUGAACCCACCACAUGCAAUUAGUAAAAUUAAAGCAUGCUCUGAUACCACAUGAUAGAACUAAGACAUGCACAGUGGAAAAAGAAUCGAAAUUCUACCAUAAAUGCACUUAAUUUACGAAAAAACCCUAAACCGAAAAAUAGAGUUUUUAGAAUACUUACACUCGAAGCUUCAUUUUUUUUCAAACAACCACUAAAGUUGACCUAAUAUCCUCUGGACUCAAAACCGGGUUUUGGGAUCUAUUGGAUGAAAGGAUCGGGAGAGAGAAAAAGAUGGAAAAAAAUAAUUGGGCUUGGUAAAUUUCCUUUCUUCAUUUUUUAAGUAAAUAAGAAAAGAAACACAAUUUGGUGUGAUAGCCCAAAUCAAAAUUAUUCAACUCAUCAAAUGAGUUCAAAGGUCAUCUUUAUAGGGAUUUUCAAUGCAAAAUUGCAUGUUCAUGCAAUUCUAGAGCCCAGCAACUCAAAGUCCACUUUCUCAAGUGGACUUUUUGUCUUCAUCAAAAGACAACACCUAGCGUACUAGAGUUAGUGGAACUAUCCAACAAAAUGUUGGAUUUUUCCACUAACUAUGGUCAAAGCGCAAAAUAGUCUUUGACAAAAGUCAAAGUUUGACCUUUUCAAACCUAAAGUCAACGUUUUUACUUUUUAUUAUUUUGAUCAUCUUGACUAAUUUUGACCUUUCGAGCAUGACUUCGCAUUCAUUUUCUCAAAAUUCAAAUCAUAUUUGAAUAUAUUGUCGAUCAAAGUUUGACUUUUCAAAGUCAAAAGUCAACAUUUUGACUUUUUACAACUUUGACUAUUUCCAUCAUUUUUUAGUUUUCGAGUAUGAAUUUUUAUUCACACUUAUAAUAUUUAAAUUUUAUUUAAACAUAAAGCUCUAUUUCUAAUAUGAAAUUCGAUGGCUAUAUCACAUAUACUUGUCGUUUUCUCUCUCUUCUCCCAAUUCGAUCAAUUCAACUUAUUCCAUCACAUUGUUCUAAGUUUAUUACAUAUGGGCUAGCAGGAGAACCUAAUGGACCUAGAGAUCAUGGGCUCCAACGAUUCAAGAUUAACUGGCUAAGCUCUUAUAGACCGAGUUAAUCAACAUUUGUUAACUAACGAGUCAUUCCACUAAAGUCUCAUAGUUGCAUCUCUUCACUAUAGAUAUAUUUGUGUCCAUUUGAUAAAACCAUAAUCAGUAAGUUAAUUCUUCACAGGUUGUUCGUAUCUUUGAUUGAGUCAAAAUACCGUUUUACCCCUAAGACUAUAUCUUGCUUCUUAAGUCCUACUAAUCCACUAUUGGACAAUUGGUUUAAGGACCAACCUAUAAACUUAAUCCCUCUCAAGCCAAUGAGAGGGUGGGAUCCCUUGUUCAAGAAUUAGAUUCAGUGCUUAAGAGAACAACCUAUCUAUUAACCUAAAACAGGUAUGAGUGAAUUCCAUCUUGCAUACUAUGUCCCCAGCUAUCUACCCGAACUUACCCUUGAAAUGGGAGGCUUAUUGGGCCAAUGCUGAUGCUGCUACCCUCACUUAUGCAUAUCUAAGGAUAAUCUUGUGUGAACAGGAGUUCAUAGUUAGCUCAAGAUUAAGAUUAAGUUACCUAGGUUAUCAAUAAUCGAGAUAGUCAGUUUUAAACAGUAAACGGUGUUGUAACGUAAAAGUGAUUAUUUUGUGGUUCAGUCUUAUGUAAACAAUUUACAUAGGAUGCCCCAACUUCCAUGCCUCUACAUGAACGAUUUAGGAUCACCUCGUUUGUACUUACUACAAAGCGAGCCGCAUCUAUAGUUUCUCUAAAUAAGGCACCCAAUCAUUAUUUAUAUACUAAUUAAGACUAUUUUAGGCUAUUUACUCAAACUUGAUCCACGUUUAUGUCUCCACAUAAAAUUCAAUUUUACUUAAAAAUAGCCUCGAGACUUAGUUUAUUGGUUUUAAGAUUAUAAUAUUCAAUUUCUCAUUAAUGACUUUAUUAAAUAGAAUAUGAUUACAAACUACGAGUUUUAUGACAAAAAAUUCCAACAACAAAGAGUAACAGUAGUUUGUCAAGAUGACAAUUUAUGUUUUCUUCGUAUUUAUGUUUCAGUAUAUGAUUUAUAGUAUUCUUGUGACAUUUUCUUUUGUUUUAAAUAGGGUCCGAACUAGUAUUUUAUCUAAUAUUUUAUUUAUUAUUUUCUUUAAACACUUUACUUAUAUUUUAUAAAUAAAUAAUCGAAGUGUUUACUUGAGUUGGUUCGUUACAAUGAAGGACCAAAAUGUAUAGACUUUUGCAAUUUUGGAUUCAUUAUAUCUUUAAUUUGAUUUGCCAUUUUAAGAAAGGGAAGAAAAGAAAAAAAAAAAAAAAAGAAGAAAAGAAAAACUUAAAAAUGGCUUACUGUUUUUGAAGGCAACCAAAUAAAAUAAAAAAAUGUAUACAGGCGCUACUAAAAAAUUAAAGCAAAAAAAAGGAGAUGAAAUUUAGGUGAGGAAAAGAUAUAGAAAAUUAAAGAAAAGAAAAGGUGGAAGGAAAGACUGGGCGUUAUGGGUUUGACGAAUCAUAGAGUUUGAUAUUUGGCGAAGCGUAGAGGGAGCGGAGAAUGAUGAGUCAAAUUGGGGGAAGGAUCGAGGGUUUGAGAGACACGCAAAUGGCGAGUCGAUCAAUCAACUGCAAGACAGAAGUUGGCAAACCCUUUGUUGCGCUCAUUUGCGGUUCUUUGGUUUAUUAUCAUUGCGCCUUUCGAAAUUCCAGUCUUCUCUCCCUUGUCGCUGAUGUUUUCAUCGUUCUCCUUUGCUCUCUCGCCAUUCUCGGCCUUCUCUUCCGCCAUAUGAAUGUCUCGUAAGCAUUCCCUUCUUUCCGCCAUUUUUUAUUUCUACUUUCUUUUUUUUUUUUUUUACUAGAUUGGAGAACUUCUUCCAGAUUGUUUUAAAUGCUUCGGAGUUUAUGUCAACGAUCGUAUAGCUCCAAUUUUGUUGAAAUUAGAUACUCAAUCUCUAUGCAUAUCCUUAUUCUCGUAAUUAUCUUUAAUUAACAUUAUCUGUAAUCUAUAAUAAUCUAAAAUUUAAAUGAUCUGUAGGGUUCCAGUAGACCCUCUUGAGUGGCAAGUAUCGCAGGAUACUGCUAAUAGUAUGAUCGCUUGGUUAGCCAAUACCAUUGGUGCGGCUGAGUCUGUUCUGAGGGUGGCAGCUACAGGGCAUGACAAGAGGCUUUUUGUUAAGGUAUUGUUCUUUGAUUAUCACAUUUUUGGGUAGUCUUAACUUGGCUUCUUUCAGUGAGUUUUGGGUUAUUAUUUGUACUCGAAUAUGUCCUUUUUUCUUUUCUUUUUUUUAAAACUUUUAUUGUCUCUGUGAAACAUAAAUUCCUUCGUUUCAAAUAAUAUAUGAAAUUACAAAAAGAGAGGUACCCUUUGUAUAAAAGGAAAUUAAGCUCUUACGUUGGAUAUAGGAGCAGUAAGACACAAUAGGUAUCCAACAAGUUAUGUGAGAAUACACACCAAAUAACGGCAAUACUAGAAAGAUGUUAAAAAAACAUCAUUUUCUCCUUCAGCCAAAUGGACCAUAGAAAGGACUUAAUGGAAUCGAGCCAAAUAGCUUCCCUUUCUUUCUUGAAUUGCGCAAAUUCCAGUAAUGAUAAAGAGUAUUUGAAGUUUUCUAUCUAUGUUAACUCUUCUUGAAAUUGAAAGAUUAUUGUAUGUAUGGAAAGUUUAAAGGUAAAAUUUAAUCCGCAUGGAGUCGAAAAUGCAAUAUUGUAAAAAUAAAUAAAUUAUAUAUCUAACAGACAUACAUUGAGAUCAAAUAUCAAACAUCGUGUAGGCAUCAGCUUACAUUGAUACACGGUGAGGUUUCAGCAGCACAUAUAGGUUAAAUGGUACAAAAUACUCAUAAACAUUAGUGUAUUUAAUCAUGUCCUUGACAAUGAUAAAUUUUCAUUUUGACCUUUACACUUCGGAAUUGUUUCAACAAAUUCAUUUGGAAAUCCUCUCCGGGCGUAUGUGAUGAGUUCUUUUUGCUAUUAUUUAUUAGGCCAUAUUUUGUUAGAUUGGAGACCUUUAUUAUAGAGUUCUCCCUUCCCUUUUGAGCUUGGUUUUUUUGUAUGUAGGGUUUAUGGUUUGGUAUUCUUUCUUUUUUUUUCUUUUCUUCAAUGAAGGAUGAUCCUUUAUCAAAAAAUAAUAAUAAUUAAUAAUGUACAAAACAGCUAUGGUGUAAAUUUAGAAUGCAAACAUGAUUUCAUUUACAACAUUUUUAAUGUAAAUUGAUGUGACAUCUGCUAUGUAGAAUUUGAUUUUGGAAAUGAUGUUUAAAUGAUGUCGACGAUAUCUUGCUAUAUUGAAAUGAAUAGUAACAAUGAUCGUAUUAGUUUAUAUGGUUGAAAUUGAGUUGUAACCAAUUCUAUAUGUGCUUUUCAAUGUAUAGAAUUCAUUAUUUCAUUUUUACAAGAAGGGAGAAACGCUAAAAUGAAUAUGUGGGAGGAUCAAAUGAAUUCUACUUUCAUUUCUCCCUAUAGAGCACAAAAGGUUGAGGUUUAAAAUGAAAGUUUUCAAAUUAAAAGGACAUAAAUAAAGGUUAGGUCAAAUAUCAGGAGUACACAUGGUAUAUGUGACACCAUUUGCGAGAUCUAAAUUGCUCUAUCUGAUAAGGCCUUUCAAAGAACCAACUCGUAAAACAAAUAGCUGUAUUGAUCUUUCAUCUUUUGCUUGUAAAUUAAAGUCAUGCAAAUCUUUUCUGUAGGUCGUUGUUUGCCUUUACGCUCUCUCGGUGCUUGGAAGAUUGGUCUCGGGUGUUACAGUUGCCUAUACUGGUAUGUCUGGCCUUCCUAAUUGUCUCUACUUUUUUCUAUCUUACAAGGUAAUAAAUAUGCAUGAUGUUUUGGUAGGACCUUUUUCUCGUCAUGUGGUGAAGCAUUGCAGUUUAAUUUGUUUUACCAAUCUGAUUUGUAGCGCUUAGCAGUUACAGAUACCCUAUUUGCAAUUUUGCUACACUUAUUCUUAUAAUUUUAAAAGAUUAUGCUGAGUCUCAUUUCUGUUUAUAUUAGGGAUAGUUAAAUUCUUUUUGCAUAUCUAUGGAAAAGCCUAUCUGCAAUUGAUUCUAGUAGCUCUGGAUGAACAGGUUUAUGUAUGUUGUGUAUAUACAUGGUGUUGGAGAAUUCUGAGUCAAUAAGUGCUGCUAUUUCUCCUAUUCUUAGGAGAGGAAAUGAACGUACUUCACAUCAAGAUGAUAUCUAAUCUUCACUGGCUGUUACCCUGUUUUUCUUUUCUCUUUUUUACUGUAGAUGAAUUCAUCUGUGUGAAUAUUAUGGUUAACAGAAUCUGUUUAGGCGGAAUGGAGUAAUAAAUUUAUUUGAUGGAAAUAGAAUUUUAGGAGCCAUUGUUGAUUACUGAUUGACCAUUGUGGGUAUCUUUUUUUCUUUUUUUGUGAAGUUGAAGUGAGUUGUUGUAUGGUAAAGAAAAUAUUUGCCAGAACAGUCACUUGGGUUAAUGCAAUAUUUGUACCAAGAAGGGAUGAUUAGAAGCAAGUUUGGUUUGAUUCUACAAUCUCACCUGAAUAGGAUUUGUUAGGUUAUACUUCUACGUCCUUCAAUUCUAAAGUUUGGUUUGGUUUGGUUGUUUGGUCCUUUCUUAAGAAUCAUACCAAUCUUUUAUUUUUAUGUUUAUUUGUAUUUAUUACUUUUUUUUUUUUUUUUACUAUAAUUGAGUACAAUAUAGGGAUUUUAACCUUGUUUGUAAUUCUCACCAUUCUGAAUCUCACAAGCUCUAUGAUUUUAAUUAAUUAUAUGUCAGGGAAAUCUUUUUAAUAUGGACAAAAAUGUUAGAAAAUAUUAACGAAUAUAACAAAAUUUCAAAUAUAGUGAAAUGAUAAAAUUGAUAGAUGUCGGUUCGAUAUAUGUCUUUUAGUAUCUUAUUGUCUAUCAUUAAUUAUAGGGUGUAAUAAAUAGUUUCAUUUUGCAACCAUUACAUAAGUGAAUCAUUUUCAACCAUUUAUCAAGAUUAUAUACAUUGCAUUCAAUUCUUUCUAACUUGUGUAGAUUUUUAAUCACUAGUCUUAACAAUUUAGAUUUUUUAAAAUUGUUGUAUAACAAUUAAAAGUUUAACUGAAACAAUUAUAUAUUGUUAAAUACAAUGGCGGAUACAGAAAAAAAUAAAAAUUUAGAAAAAAAAUCUAUUAAACUCCGAUUGAAAGGGGCCGACAAAUAUAGUUACCACUAAACUGUUUACAAAUAUUAAAUAUUAAUUGAUUUUGUUUAUACAUAUUAUAUAAAGAUAAUAAAAUUAAGGGGAGGUUCGAGCCCUCUAGGUCUAUACUAAAUCUGUCGGUGGUUAGAUAUAUUUCAAAGUAUGUAUGAAGGAGGGGUGUAAGUCAAUAUACCAACAAAAGUUUAAUAAUAUUAGAAUUAUAUAUUUAUUUUGGACAAUUUUUAAUUUAUAAACUACAAUGAAUUCACUAAUUGACUUUUAUCACUAUCUAUAUCUAUCAAUGUAAAAGUAUGCAUAAUCUAAAAAUUUUGUUAUUUGUUAUAAAUAUUUUAUUAAAUUUGUUAUUUAUUCGUUUAAUUAGUAGUUCAAAUUUAAAAUUAUUUAGGGAACGAUCAAAACUAAAACCAAAAGUUAAAUGCAAUGAAUUUUGUAAAUUGAGUGAUGUAUAGAGUGCAAACCGUUAAGUUUUUCUAUUUUUGAAAAAUUCCUCAAACUAGUGGGUAUAAAUUUAAAUUUUUCCUAAAUUUAUUUCAAGAAAAUUAUUAAUUCACACCUCAAUCCUCUAUACAUCUGUCGAUUGAGCUAUUUUGAUUUUGGCACCUCAAUUUUCUCCACUCCUAUGUAAAUAUAUUGCCAAUCCUUUUAUUUAUUUAUAUUUCAUUUUACUUUAACUUUUGAAUGUAUAUGCUUGUUUAAUUUAUACUAUUUAAGGGUUGAAAUGUGGAUUUUUUUUGUAAUACCUAAAAUUUGAUAAAACUCUGAAAUUUAAUUUAAUUUUUGUAUAUAAUAACAUUUUUAGUUCAACAUAUAUUAAAAAUUUUGAUUUAUAGGUCAAACCACAAUGUAAAUAUAUAUAUGUGGACUAAGUUGAACAUUUGGAGUACUAAAUCUGUUUUGUAGCAAAACUAGCAGUCCCAGUUUACACCUUUCUCAAAGGCCAAAUUUUUUCCAUUACAUUUCCUUCAUUAUCGACAUCAUAACUAAUCGGUUUCAUCUCAUCCCAUUAAAAUAUUCAGUUAAUUCAUAAGAUACAAAAAACUCAAUAUUCCUCAAAAUACAUACUUCACAAAAAUCAGUAACACAUUUUCAAAUAUCUAUUUACAGAGGUCUUCUCCCUUUCUGUAAUUGCACUGAUGCCCUCAUUCAAACAGGGUUUCAACUAUACAAAGAUUUUACAUCUUUAACUUACCUUCAGUUGUUUUUUAAUUUCAUUGCAACUCUUCAGUCUUCACAGGAGUCCAGUUGUUUCUUGAAAGUGAAUUCUUCCUUGCAUGUGAAACAAAUCCAAUAAUGUAUCCAAUGAAGGCUCCAAGAACCAAAAUACUUCCUCCCAUCACAUACCACGAGAAUGAGAAUUCUAGCAUCGCAUUCCCUGUCGUCGAGUUUGCAAUACUACUGUUGAUGAAUUUUGCACCAACUCCACCAUUUAGAACUUGUCCAGAAGCCAAUAUCUCGACAGAAUCAUGCACCUCUCCAUCAUGGUUUCCAACGUAAGAGAUUGUAAGUUUCUCUUUUGUAGCAACCAAUCUGGUGUACCCGAAUUCGCCUCCACGGUACAUCGACCGUUUUGGUUGUGGGAAGAUUGGGUCAUCUGGGUGGUUUGGUCUUGGCUCCCAGAUUGGUUGCCAAUCUUGUCCAGCCAUUCCGAUUACGAGAUGGACAGGUAAUGCCUCCCAGUCUUCCCCAUCUAAACCCAUACUUCCACAAGUGUAGUUAUUAAGUGGACAAAACCUCUCAUACCUAUGGACAUGACCCCAUAAUGCUAAUGUCACAUUAUUUUUUACUAACAAUGGUUCCAAAUGGUGCAGCAUUUUCUCCCUCAAUGGGGCAUCUCUUAGUUCGUUGCUCGUUGUAUACAUUGGUCUGUGCCCCUGCACUACUAUGAAUGGCGUUUUCUUCCGAUCAACCGACUCCAAAUCACGCUUAAUGAACUCAUACUGGCUACUUCCUUGAAGGAAAUUGGUUUCUGUUGAUAUGUACACAAAAUGCACCGAUCCCAUGUUAAAAGAGUAGAAAAGGUUUCGAGUAGGCAAGCUGUGGCUUUCAGUAGGUUCUGUGGAGUUUCCUGGCAUGUUGAACUUCAAACUAUAUGGCACCCCACACUCCCCUCCCCCGUCUUUCCCGUAUAUCCCGUUAGCCCACUCGGGUUUCCAUGGCUGAAGAGGCCAAUCAUAUUCAUGAUUGCCAAUGCAUACAUGGUAUGCAACCUUAGAUGCCACAGGUUCAACCUGAUUGAAGAAAACGUCCCACAACCACGAGUGACCCCUUGCAUAGCUGAUAUCUCCAAUGUGAGAGACCAUUGCAGGUUUGUCACCAAGUGCUUCAAUGUCGCGAAGUAUCCACCUAACAGUAGAUAUGCUUUCAUCCUGUGUUCGGACAAAGGUCGUGUACGGUGUUGCAGCUCCCAUAUCACCAAAAAGGAAAGCAAUCGUUUCAUCCGAGUCCUCAUUACGUGACACGAAGUUUAGAAUACUACUCCAACCUUUAGAAUCACUCCCAACCUGGUAAAAGCAAACAGCAUUGCAUUAUAGUUAUGUACCCUGAUACCUAUCAGUAAACUCAAAACAAAAUAGAAGCACCAUCAAUCUAAUUUCGUAUUUUAAUGCGUCAUUGAAUGAGAUUAGGCCUUCAACAUUUGAAACCUUGAUUUGUCAACCAAUGUCCAUGAAUGCUCAUGUCUAUAGCAAAACAGAAUCCAUAAUGAAUCAACAUUUAAAACAAGCUGCAUAAAACUUCAUCUUCACUAAACAAAUAUCCUAAAAACUAUUUGAUUAACUGAACUACCAAGGCCCCGAUGAUCAAAACUCAAAAGCAAAAGCAUCACAAAUUUCACCAGAAUCCCAAACUAGGCAAAAGAAAAACAAGUUACCUGAUAAUAAACCUUAGCUCCUUUCUUCAAUUUAUUCAUAACAGCAUCAUGAAUAAAACCAGGAUCUCUCCAGCCAAUGCUAUCAUUAGCUGGGGAAUCGCACAUGUGUUCCCUCUCAUACCUCUCAACACCCGCCACAACAAUCUGAUCAAGCUUCUCCUUCUUUUCCCCAUAUCUCACAUACCUUUUCGAUCCAUCCUUCGUCACAAACAUCACUCUCAUUUCGUCAUCCUGGUCAGUGAACGCCAGAUGGAUCUGCUCCGGGCCACCGCCGGGGGCGAAUCGGAGCUCAUCUGAGGCCGCGAGGAGGUGCGCGGUGCCAGGUAGAGGGUUGUGAUCGUGGUCGUGAUGCUUGUCAUCGAUCUCCGAUUCCGUCCACCGGAAAAUCCUGAAAGCGUAAUUGGAUCGGAGGUUGACUAAAGGGAUGGAAACGGAUCCAUACCCGGAUUCCCAGGUGGGAGAAGAAGAAAGGAAAAGGUAGCCGAUGAAAUGCUUAUGGGAUGAAUUUGGGGGAGAGUAAAUUCCGAGCCAGUCGAGCUUGGAAGGGGAUUCGAUUCCAGACCAUUGAAUAUGAACAGAAUCGCCGGAUUUGGAGAGAAUGGAAGGGGAGAAAGAAACGGAGACUUUGGAUUGGAAUGAAAUGGGGAUGAAGGAGAAGAGAAGGACGAAAGGGAUGAUGAGAUAAUUCAUGUAUAACAGGUAUGGAAGAAAUUUACAAGAGUUCUUAAUUAUUGUUGAUGAGAUUGAAAAGGGAGAAACUGGGCGUGGCGUCUUCUUCAGCUGGGAUUAUGCUUCUUUCUUCUUACUUCACUUUCAUUCAUCAAAUUCGAACGAUUGAUGAUUUUGAUCCGUUUUUUCUUCACAAAAACUUUUUCUUAAAUGGAAAGCAAAGAAAAGGGUUUUUCUUUUCCGGAUGGUUGAAUUUUGAUUAUAAAUAUGGAUGUUGAUGUCACCGUAGAUAUUUGUUUACGUCUCUACAAAAUGCUCCAAAAGCUUCUACACAAUUGACAAUUUUUUCUUUUUUAACUAUGAAAUCCCAAAUUUACAAUCAAACUUUUCCUCUCUUUAACUUCUUCUUAGGCAACGCCAAUCCAAAAUUUCAGUUCCAUCACAUGCUAUUCUGUUUACUUUUUAAAUUAGGAAACUUUAUACCCCUUUCUUAUACCAUAAAUAAUUCAAACUUAUGAGUUCACUUUUUGUUUUACAAAAUUAUAUAUUUCAACUAUUUCUCUAGACACUAUUUUAAAACUUUAUAUUAAAAAUUUUACAUUUUCACAUGCAUCACAUCACAUAUGUCCUAGAUACGAUUGACAUUGUAAUUUAUAUAGAGGAUUUGUUCACAAUUGUUGCGUGGACACUUGUGAGUGAGGUAUUGUUGAUACCACUUAAAAUCUGUUAUCUAACUCCGUUUAAUUUGAGAUGUUUUAUUUUUUAUUGGGCUAUUUUAUAGGUUUACAGCAAUUCAACUUUAAAAUUUGGUGUUUGUGUCAUUUUAGAGCUAAAUUGAACAAAAAUGAAGUGACGAGACAUCAACUUAGGUAAAGCAUGGAAAAAAAGCCAUAUAGGCUUCUGCCUUGCACCAUCGCAAUGGUCUAUGGCACUGUCCAAUGUUGCAAGGCAGAAUGGUCGAAUGUCACAAAAGGCACUUAGCGCCAUGGCGCUACAUUCAUGCGCACCAAACUUCGGCCAAUGUCGCGACGCUAUUCCUAACGUCACCAUGCCAUUAUGUUUCUUUAUAAAAUAUUUUUGGCACCUAGGUCAUUACAAUUGGGAUUCCAGCCAAUUUCUACCUGUUUUCUCUUUAUUUUUUGUGGUCUUUUUAUUCUGUUUUAGUCCUGUAACUUGUAUUCUCAUCAUCCGGCAUGUGUCAUGAGAUGCUAAAUUACUCUCUGGUAGCUUGGGUUUGUGGCAAUCUCCCUUUAAUUCAUGUGUUUGAUGAUUAUGUUUAUAAUGUGAAACGCAUGGGACUUUUAUCAUAAAUUCUUUUGAUUAUGUGCGAUUAUCUUCGUAAAAUAUAUUAAUUUCAAUUCAAGCAAUAUUAGGUUAUUUUGCAAAAUCUAUUAGAUUUUAUAUUGUUCUAAUAAGUUGGGAUUGUACUCGAUGAUUGUGUAAUUAAGCCCAUGGAAAUCAGGCUUUCAAUCCAACUUUGUCAACGUAAUUAGUGUAGAUUUGAUCUUGUAUGUUUUUCAUGGUUUAAAUUGUAUGAUGCCUAGGAUAAUUUACCUAAUCAAAUUGGUUAGGAGUAUCAAUUGUUAGAUUUAGUAACGAGAAUUUAAUGAUCAAAUGUAUUGCUUGGAGAGAUCUACAAAACUCAAGCUAAGUUUUCUCAAAUGGAUUUUCAUUUUUACAUUAUUUCUCUUGCAAUUCAAAACAACUAAAAAACCCUCCUUGAUUACCUUGGGUUGGGAACCAUUUGCUAGAGAAAUUUAUGUGCUUCGUGUGUUCGAACCGAACUUGCUACUAAGACUAGUUUUUUUGUGUGUGAUUCUUUUUAUUAUUUGAUCUAGAUUUGGACGACGAAAUCCGAUCGAUCGAUUCUAUACAAGGAGUUGUAUAAGACUGGACAAGAAAAUCACUUAAUCUAUCGUUAAUAUAUUAUUAAGAAGAUUAAUAUUUCAUAUAAUGAUCAUAUGUGACGAUUCCAAUCCUAAAUGAGUUGUUAACUUUUCUACCUAUGAGAGUUUGUCCUUCGAUUUUUUUGAAUGAGAAUGACUAAUGUCAACAAACGCAUGUCAUGAUAUAGUUAGAAUGAGAAUGAUCGAGUAUCCUCCUUGGGAAAUCAAUUUUUAGUUUUGCUAGCUAUUCAAAGAACUUUGAUAAAAUUAUAAUAUAAUCCUAUUAAACGUAAAUAAAAUAUGAAUCAACAUAAAGGAAAUCUUGGUAACUACUAUACUGUUUUCUCUCCAUUUGCUGCCUUUUGUCCUUAGUUUUAGUCUUUUAUCACUGUUACCUAUGUCUGCAUGUCUAUGUAUUGCUUCACAAGCAAACUAAUGGCAUACCACACCAACUAGGAUAGAUCUUAAUACAAAUUUCUCUAAAUCCUUGUAAGAUCUAGUAUAUUUCAUUGAUGAUCAAAUCUUAAACUCCACAUACACAGAUAUAUUGUCAACAAUCUACAUUUUGAGAAAAUUUUAAUUUUAAACUCAAUAAUCAUGCCAUUGAUUCAACAAAUAUAGCUAACCAAGUGUAUAUUAAAGGUUAGUCAAGCCUACUCAUUAAUUGUCUCUUACUUAAAGUAGAUAUUUAAUCAUAUAUCAUCAACGUUUGAGUUCUUCUAAAUCAGUUUCAUAAUACAGAUUCACAUUAGAACAAUACACACUAUCAUCCUACCUGAGGUAAUUGCAUCAAACAUUUAACAAACAAUUUGUAUAAUUUUUUGUUGUAUAAGAUGCACAUCUAUGUUUCUUCUUAAAGAUUCUUUAACAACAAUCAAACAAAACAUUAUGAACACAACAUUAUCGUUGAAACUCGUACAAGUUUUCUAAAAAAGAAUCAAUGUAUUUAAGCUUUGAUUUUAUAAAACAGGUUUUUAUAAACAUUUUAGUAUGGAAUGAUAAUGUGUAUUGUUUAUAAAAACAUGUUUUAUAAAAAGGCAGUAGUAUGUUGAGCACGUGGAGAUCAACAAUCUGUAUACCUGGAAAGAGGGAAAACAUUUUUAAAAGAGUAAAUUGAAAGACUUAGUGAGCAACGGUUUUAUAAAACAGGUUUUGAUAAACAUUUUAGUGUAAACCCGAAGCUUAAAUACAUUUAUUAGUAAAUAUUCAUAACAUGAAACUUGAAAUGUUUGCAUAGCUUUUUGAAGACAUACCUCUAUAGCCACGGGCAGUAUUUACUCCUUCGUUUGAAGAUAGAAUAGUCGAUGGGUAGCUAACCCUCCUCCUUUUAAGACAUAACAUCGAGGUGGGGCACGUGCCACAUGCUAACCCUAUAGUGGGGUUGUUGCGCCAUGCUUGACGUCUACCCAAUGCCCCUCGCAUGCAUGGCGGCGUUGGUGCUCUCCGCACACCAUGUGUGGCAUGCUAACCUCUUAAAGCAGGGUCAUGAGCGCAGUGUGAGCGCAUGCCUUGCCGCUUGGCUGUGUCAUGGACUUUUCAUGUGUGUGCAACAUGACUCAAAAUAACCUCUAUGAACAAAACGCUCACCCAUACAUGCAUGACUCACGACCACUAUCCAGACACAAAUUAACUUCCAUAAUCAUGUUCCAACUUUGAAAAUUCAUAACAUAAAAUCCAUAACUCUUUUGACAACACUUCCUUCUACAAAGUUUCUCUAAAUUAAAUUAAAUUUCUUACCUCAAAUUUGUAAAGAAAAAUUUUAAAUAAUGAGUCCUAUAGCCCUCUGGAAGUGCACCUUGUUCAGAUUCACCUGAGAAAUUAUCUAUUCACCUUCUCUUGAUUAAAAUGCAAACUUUCUUGAAUUCAAAAUGCACAACAGCCCUCUAUCACAAACUAGACUCAAUUUUUUAACUUUUAAGAUUAAAAUGAGUGGUUUUGCACGAGUGAGUUGUGAGAAAUUCAAUACUGAAGUUGAACUAUUUAUAGAGUUCCUUGCAUGUGAUUAAGAUGACACUUAAUCCUUGAUUAGACUCAUAUCUUAAGGAUGUACUUACACCUCAGCAACUUCUUCAAGUCCUUCUUGACCAUAAAAUGCAUGAUGACAUGAUUAUGACACUUCGAUUUACUUUUAAUCGAUUGCUUAGAGCAUGCCACAUACUUGAUCCAAAUGCAUAGCUAACCUCCUCGGCCUUCCUCGCAUAGCUUGGCCGCAUAACAACCUUCCUUGCCUAGCUUGCUUCCUCUCUCAACAAGCCUUAUCCUAACCUCUAGACGCCUAGUCAAUGCCUUCCUCGCGUAACAAUCUCCCAACAUUUGAUCGCAAGCCUUCCUCACCUAGCACCCUUCCUUGUGUAAACAAACCCUUCUCGACAAUACUAACCUCUUAAAAGUUAAACGCUAAGUCAUGCCUUAACUUCAAAUGCAUAACCCUCUCUGUGAUUGUCUUGCCACUCAACAACACUUAUUUGGAGAAUUUCUUAGCCUUCCUUUGUCGCCCAUUCAACCUUCAAACGCCUAAUGACCUUCUUUUGACACUUAGUCAAAAUUUCCAACUUUUCUCUUUUCCUCAAGUUAAAACCUAAAUUCCAAGUAUUUUAUUCUCUUUCUUAUAAAUUUUAUCUUCUCCUAUCCUUGACCAAUUUAAUAAUUUUCAAGGGUAUAAGAAAUUUUGGGGUUUCACAUAAAAUGAGUUAGAAGAAAGGACAAAUUUGACAACUUCUUUUCUAUAAUCAUAAAUGUGUAUGUUGAGAAUGCAAAGAGAAAAAAUGGCAUCCUUGAGAAAAGAAAUUUUGGUUUUACAUCUAUUCAAGUUAGUGAGGGUCAAACAUUAAGCAAAAAAGAUGAUCUCGAUGAAGAGUUGAUGGAAUGUUUCAAAAUUUUAAAUACAAUGGAGGAUGUUGAUGGUGGGGCUUAUACCAAAGUACUGAAACUUUUGCAUUGAGAUGCUGCAUGGAGAAAAAUAUUUUUGCUCAUGCCCGAUCCAAAGAAGAAAUAUUUCAUAAAUAGUCUUUAGAUGUCACUUAUGGAUAUUUUAGGUCUAUUCCAUUUACUUCUUCAUAUUAGACUUAAAGGAUGUUUUGUAUGUUUGACUUUGUAGUUUUGUGUUAUUUUUUAACAUGGCUACUUUGAAUGUGAUUUCUCUCCGAAUUUAGAGAUGGAUUUGAUUUUUGUUUCACAUGGUUAUAUUAUGUUUUGUUUUUUUUUUUGUUUAUGAGAUGUAUUUGUACUUUGUUUCAAAAUUUCAAUUUUUGUGUUUGAUUUAGAGAUAUACUAGUGAACUGAGAUGAACUUGAUUCAAGACAUUCAUUUUGAGGAUUUUGAUUCUAACGACAAUGACAAUUGUAUGUGCAUCCUUUUUCACUUUAUUCUACGUCAACUGGCACAAGUGACAAUCUUCUAAACAACCAUGUAAAACCUCUGUACUGAGAGGAUACAUGAUUAAGUGAUCGAGUUGUCAAAUGAAAACAAUAGUAGAUGUUUUGAUUGUUUUAGGAUGAAAAGAGUUACAUUCAUAAGCUUUUGUGAAGAUUUAAAAUCCAAGACAAAUUUUAAAGCAUCUAAAUAUCUCACCGUUCAAGAAAAAGUUGUUAUUUUCUUAUUAAUCAUACCACAUAAUGAAAGCAAUCGUAUAGAAGCAUAAAGAUUUCAACAUUUAGAUCAUACUAUUUCUCUAACUUUUAACCUUGUUUUGAGGAAGGUUUGCAAGCUUGGAGUAGAAAUUAUUAGCCCAUCCAACAUGAACAUUGUACCAAUAAAGAUCGUAUUCAAAUUCAAAAUAUAACCCUUUCUUUAAUGUAAUGGGUUGAUGUUUUGAUUUGUUUUUUAGAAAUAUAUUUGUGUUUAUGUUUAUCUUUUAGGAUUGUAUUGGUGUUAUUGAAGACACUCACAUUGCUGCAAGGAUUCCUAAAAAAAAAACAAAAUAUUUAGUGGAAAAAAAAACUAACACAACAUGGAAUAUAGUGUGUGUUUGUUCAAUUCACAUAUGUCAUGUCUGGUUGGAAAGGAUUAGUCAAUGAUUUUCACAUACUUCUAGAAUGUAUCAAGAAUCCUUAGAAUAAAUUUCCUAUGUCUAAGAGAGGUAAAUAAUUAUGUAUUUUUAGAACUUAUAUUCAAUAUUUGACUUUAUUAUAAAUUUUAUUAUUAUUAUCUGCGGAUCAAUAUUAUCUUGUCGAUUAGGGUAUUCAAAUAUGUUGAUAUUUUUAGCACCAUUUCGCGAUCAAAGAUAUCAUUUACGAGAUUUUAGAGAAAGGAGACAUCGCCCUCAAGACAAAGAAGAAAUGUUUUAACUAUUGAUAUUCUUCACUGUGAAAUGUCAUUGAACGUUGUUUUUGUGUGUUGAAGGCUCGAUUUCCUAUUCUUAAGCAAAUGUCUCCAUACCCGAUCAAGACAGAAAAAUAUAUCGAUAGCAUGUUGCACAACUCACAAUUAUAUUAGAUUGAAUGAUCGUCAAGAUGAUCUAUUCAAUGACUUUAGCGAUGAAUCAAUAAUCAUUGAACAAUUGAAGGGACGAGAGCUCUACGUAGCAAAUAAAUUAACAAACCAUUAACUCAAAUUAAUUGAAACUUCAAAAUACCAUUACAUUCGCAAAAGAAUUAGAAACUAAUUUUCUAUGGCUAAGCAUGCUUUUAAAAAAAAAAAAUACAGAGAAUAGGAAAGGUACUUAUUCUUGUUGAUGACUUUGUAUCUAAAACACCAAAUUGAGGCACCAUUGCUUGGAGACUUCCCUAUCUGAGAAUGAAAUUUUUGGAUGUGGGGACAAAAAUUGGAAAAGGAAAUUAAUUUUAAAGAGAAGUAAUUUUUCAGAGACUACUGGAUCUUUGAAUGAAAAUUUAAGAGUUUACAUGUGUUGACUGAUUAUGCAUUAACAGUACCUAAAAUGCAUAGAUAAGUGAUAGUAAUUAUUGGUUGAUCUUAUGUGACAUUUAUGCAUGUUUGAAUUAUAUGUUUAUGGACAGUUAUGAUUGAUGUUUUAUGUCAUGUUUAUUUUGACUGUUACAUCCUUCUUGGACUGUUGGUGUAUGUUAGUUUUGGCUAUUAGGAUGUAUACUUACAUGUACGAUACUAUCCCACAAAAUCACUACCUUUCACUGUUAUAAUUGUGUGCAUUCAACAUGAUCACUAGUCUGUCAUGAUUCAUGUGUGGUCUAAUAAGAUCAUUAGAUUGUUCGAUAUGAUGUAUGCUCCUACGGGAUCAUCAAAUCAAUGAGUGUUCCUACAGGAUCACUAGAUCAUAUGUGUUCAUUCAGGAUCACAAGACUUUUAUGAUUGAGGGUACCUCCUAAUAGGAAGUUAAUAAUUCACCUAGUGAGACUAGUAGUGAGUCUCUUGUUGGGUGUACUUUUAUACUUACUCUAUGUUUAACGUUUUAGGCAAAUGUAGAGAAAAUGAAAGGUUGGUGAAUGGCAUGAAGGGCUCAUGAUAUGCCAUAUAAGGACUUCACAGUGUUUGCUUCCGCUUGUCUGUAUGUAUUUUCAUGAUUUGACUGUUAAAUAUUUUAUUCGAUCGUUGAUUAUUUUAUUUUUUAAAAUUAGAUAGAGCCUGAAUUAGAAUAUAUUUUUAUAGUUUUUUUUUUUUUAAUGUUUUGCCAGGUUAUGAUUAUAUUCUUGAAUAGUUGUUUUGAAAUUAUUUAAUAAAGAAUUAGUUUUCCUCUUUUCAAGAAAAUAAAAAUUUGUAAUUUAUUUUAAAGUUAUGAUCUUAGCUUACUUUGAAAAGUUGGAUCGUUACAAGUCAUGUUUUGGUUCAAUCUAAUAAUAAAGCAAUACAAAAAAUUAAAUCACAAAUGUAGACAACACAGAGUAGAAAUAAAAGUUACUUCGAUGUUAGGCAUAAUGACCUUGAGUUUGAAGCAAGGGAUAAAAGGUUCUUUUGAAAGGAAUGGAGAACUAAGAAAAUUGAGCCCAUCACCCAACGUUUUUGCAUUUGCAGAAAUGACAAAUUAAUAAGUCUAACCUAAUUGAAACUAUCGAGUGACAAAAAUGCUCUCAUAGUUAAAAAUGUGAAACUACAUUUGAUUAUCGUUUGAUUGUUAUCAAAUUGUCAUUAUCAUCUAAUUACCACUAAUUAUCAAUUGUAUCAAUUGUUAUUUUAUUGUUGUUUAAUUACGGUAAUUAUCAAUUGUAUCAAUUGUUAUUUUAUUGUUGUUUAAUUACUAUUUGAUUGUUAUUUUAUGUUUCUUUCUAUAUGAUUGUUAAUUAUAUCUAUUUACCUAUCUAAUUGUUAUUUAAUUGCAAAAUGAUAUUGAUUGCUAUUGAAUGACUUUACAUUUUUUUUAGUACUAAGUAGAAUCUGAUAAUCAUCUCAUUACUUUCUAACUUUUCUCAAUUAGUAGGUAGUUUCUUAUUACCAUCGUAUUGUCAUAUAAUUACCUAUAAUUUUUUAUCAAUUGGUAAGAUAUUUUUUUACUGUACUAUGAUUGUCAUCUGAUUACCUUACAUUUUCUUUCAAUUACUAAGUAGUUUCUGAUUACCAUCAAAUUUUGUAAUCUACAUAAUAUUGUCGAUCAUUCCAUUGACACCAUGGAAAGUGACCAUAGGAAGUUUAACCACAACAACAAAAUAUUGAGAUAGUCAUUAUCCGACUACAUUCUACUUUUUUUUUUCAAUUUUAGUUAACUUUAUGAGAUUACCUUCUAUGUUUCACCUUCUACUUUUUUUUUUAAUUUUUUCAAUUUUAAUUAGUACUCUUAAAUAAUUAUUUGAUUUGAUUAGCUCCUAAGGAUCAUUUGAUUACUUUGAUUAUAUUUCAAUUGUUAUAGGGGAUAAAUAUUUUAGUUUAUUUUAUUUUUUAUUUAUCCAAUAUUAUCAAUAAUUUUUGGCAUAUUUAAAAUAUACUAAAAAAGUGAUCAUAGGAAUUCAAUUUUAUUAGAAGAAUUUUGGUAAUGCAAAUUCCCUGGUAGUAAUGCGAACCCAAGUUUAUAUGAUUUGUAUACAUAAGAACUCUACCAUUAUCAAAACCGAAUAUUUAUUUAUUAAUUUUGAAGUCGGGCAUUUAGUGGAGGGAAGAAGAAGAGAGCGUCAAUGGCUUCCUCAUCCCUUCCCCUUCUUCCCCAACCAUUUGCUCGAAUUCCAUCCUCUACCUUUCACUCCUCUGAAAUUUCUUCUAAUCUUCACAACAAUGUCCGAUUCACUUCCCUCGUCCACAAAUCUCCAACUUCUCUAACUGCUCCGUCUUCCUCGUCUUCUUCCACUUACUCUCCACUUCUUCGCAAAUCCAUCGCAUUUGCCGCCUCCAUUUCCCUUCUCAUGUGGCCCACUCCAGGUUUUAACAUUGCUUUAUUCUAUUAGAAUCACCAUUUCCUUCCAUGUUUGUUUGCGAAAUUAAUUGUGUUUUAUCUUAUCCACAAUUCUGUACGGAAUCGAUUUUCUUUACCUUUUUUGUCAUCCUGUAUAUUCCGUAAAUUCAAUAAUCGAUUCCUGUUAUUUGGAAUCUGAAGUUGUUUAAUUAGCCGAUUAUCUGCAGCGAAUGCCGGAUUUCUAUCGGGAUUCUCUGGAAUCGAAUCGGUUCCUGGUCCGGAAUUGCCUCAAAUCGACUUUCUCAAUCGCUUCAAUGGUUCGAUUACUUUCAAAUUCUUAUAAAGAGUAAGAAAAACGGUUCAACCCUUCAAUUAAAAACCUAACUUCUGAAACUGAUUUGCAGAAGAAAAUCAGAAGAAAUACGCGGAAUUUGAUGCCAGAUUCAAAUCAUCUCCACUGCUGAAAGAACUUCUAGAGCGAUCGAAGAUGAACAAGGAAAAGUAAAACAAGAAUUUGCUAGGUUUUUCUUUCUUUCUUGUUUUCAGGUUUCAUCCGAAAUUUGGUUAACGAAUGAAAUCGUUGUGUCUCUGUUGUUGUGCAAAACUUCAGGAACCGUCAGAAAAUUGUUGAGAAAUAUUGCAUCCGUGGUGCCGAAUGGGGAGUUGGAGAUUGCUCGGCAGAGGGAAUGUCGCCGGAGGAGAGGGACAAAUUCAUCGCAAUGUUGAAGCAAAAGGCUGGAGUGGAUGAUUGAACUGAACUAUGAAUGAAUUUGUGUUGGGGAUUCCGAGCAACCAAUUUGAAUGUUGUUUUUUCACAUUCAUCACAAGGAAGGAUUAGCAGAGUGUGAAGAAAUCAAAGCAAAAUGAGGUCUCUACUAUCUACUCAGUGAUAAAUCCUUUCAUCAUUGUGUUCAUUAAAGGCUUACUUUUCAACACUUAAACUAAGCCUUCAACCUAAUGCCUUUCUAUAAACUUCUGGGUUACAUUAGUUGAGUUAUGAACUAUUGUUUAUAAAUAGGUAAUAGUGAUUUUAAUUAAUUAAUAAUUAUAAGGUUUUUUAGGCAUUUUUUAUAACUAUUAUAAAUGUAAGGUUGUUUUUCGAAUUUUGAAGUGUUAGUUAGAUAAAAAAAAAAUAUGGUAAAAAAAUUGUAAUGUAGGUUUGCAAUGUUGACCUCCAUAGAAAUAAUAAGCUCUAGAUUUUACAAAAAAAAAAAAAAAAAAAGAAAAAAAAAGAAACUUUGAAAAUGGAAAUUUAUGAAAAUCAUGCAAGUUGAUCAAAAUUGUUUGAAUUAGUUCGUGAAACUUUAGUUAUGAUUUAAUUUGACUAUAGUGGACUUUGUUUUUUUACAAGAAUAUCAAAAUCAGAAUUGGGUUUGUUUCACAGGAUUUGUGAAUGUAUUAAAUUAAGUUUAUGUAAUCUUCAAAUAAUGCCCUUUUGAGUAUUUCUUUAAUUUAUUUAUUAAUUUUUUAUAAUUUCAAUUUAUAUAGCAUAGCAUAAAACAAAUGCAAGAAUGGAAAUGUUGAAACAAACUACUCUAAUCACUUGUUAUGAGAAGUGCUCAUACGAUCAAUAAAAUUUUUAAUUAAUUAUAGAGCAAAUACACUUUUGGUCUUUGAGGUUUGAAGUGUUGUCAAUUUGGUCUCUAAAGUUUCAAAACAAACACUUCAGUCAUUGAAGUUUGAAAAAUAGUUCUAAAUAGUCAUUGAUGUCAUAUUAACCAUUCGUUGACUAAUAAUUAAUCACCAAAAUGAUUUGACAAAAAUAAUUAUAAUAUUAACUUUUUUUUUAAUGGUGGGCAUCCCUCUCCUCACCCUCUUCCUCAACUUCCCAUCAUUAUGCUCCAAAUUCUUUUUGUUCUCCCUAUUGUUGCUAAUGAAGACCAAAGAUGAAUUUAACCACCACUGUACAUUUUAUUUAGAUCGUACACGUCAUUUUCUUUUUCAUCACCGUACAUGGUCAACUUUGGUAACGAACGGUAGAAAUGCUCGCUAGUAUUUAUGGUUGAACUCUUAAAUAAUUUCAAAAAGAUGAAGUAAAAAAAAAAGGGUUAGAAUCUUGCAACUAAGAAUACUUUUGAAUAAAGUAAUAUGUAUGAUUCAUUUUAGAAACUAACAUGAAUAAUGAAGAGGCUAAUGGAUGGUCAAACUUCAUAUUGUCAGAAAGACAACUCAAACUGCAUCAAAAGAUAAAAAGAACUAAGCUAAUGGUUAAUAAUUUGAAGUAAAUGAGAUAAUUAGUUGAUAUACGUACAACCCAAAAGUCAUGUUCUCCACAUAUUAAGCGGUCUAAUUGUCAUGUCCCACCUCAAAUGUUACUCCUUGCGAUUAGAUGGGGACGUGCCACCUAGACACUCAUCGCGUACCUCUUCACGAGAUGACAUGUUGAGCACCUAGUAAAAAAAAAACAUCUUACUUCACUUGUUUUUUCGCGAAACCUUUGCCUCAAACUUAGACUUUCUUGAUUCAAUGAAAAUUUACAACUUUUGAUAACGCAACUCAACUUUAACUCCUAGGCGACAAUCUCAAGAGAUAAUAAUAAAAUAGCGGAAUACAUAACUACUUCUCUUUAUUAAUUUAACAUCUUUAUAAGGUUCUUACAUAUAAAUUACAUUCCUUUUUCUUACGAAACAUAAAACUAAAGUUGACUUCUGGUCCACCUUUCCUCAUCCACUGCCUAACACUACUCUUUUUGUGGAGAGAUUUUCAAGAGUAUAAGGACUCUGAUUUCAUCCUUUUCCAUGAGUUGCUAACAACAUAACUCAAGGACAUUCUUUAGGGCUUCCUUUCCCUGACUCAGAUCUUUCACACUCAACAUCUUUUAUUCCAUAACUGUGGCACGCGUCCGAUGACCUUUCUUCGAUAUAAGCUGGAGUCUUUUGCGUUAAAGAGUUAUGCGUUUUCCAACCAGCUCCUUAAACGCGAGAUAGGAUGACACAGCUUGUACACCGCACAAGUCUACACAACCAUCCUCUAUCCUCUCACUUACUUGGCUUCCAUGCCUAACUUUCAUCUCUUACUUGGCUUCAACGUCUAACAACCUCGGGAGGGAGAAAACUUAAUGUAAGGCCCACACCUAAAUUAAAGAGUUAAUAAGUAAAUUUUUUGGCUAAGUGUCCAAAUUUGGGCGUUUUGGAUGGUCUCUGCAUAAAGGUUAUGCGAGAAGGCGAUUUGAAGAAGGUUAGGCGAUAAGAAUUGGUAUCUAGGGUUGUUCGUGAGGUAAAUUACUGUAGUGUAAGUGUAACUAUGCAAUAAGAACUGGACGAGAAGAAACAAGGAAAAUUCGGAGAAAUUUUCUGUGUUAAUAGUGAUAGAACUAAGUCAUGCACAGUGGAAAAAGAAUCGAAUUUCUACCCUAAUUGCCACAAUUAACAUAUAACCAUAAACUAAUCAAAUUAGGGGUUUUAAGAAAUAUUACCUUUGAAGCUUUCAAAAGGUUUGAUAUCUUCUUACCAAUUCUAACCGAGACCACCACUAGUACUCAACUGCUAUCCUCUAGACAAAGAACCGGGUUGUGGGACCCAAUUUUGGUGUAGAAAGUAAUGGAGAUAAAAUGAAUUGGAAGUUUCUUUUUUCUUUUGUUGAGAUGAUGAAAAUGAUAAAAGAGGCAAAAGUUUCAACAUUUGAAAACACCUCUAUUUAUAGCCUAAUUACAUGCAAAAAUGCAUGCAAUUCAUUGCCAAAUCUCAACACCUAAUGUUCCACUAACAAUUAGUGGAACUUAGUGGGCUAGGUGUCUAUAUCUCAUAUAGCCACAUAUCCCACUAAGAGUUAGUGGGAUUAUCCAACAAAAUGUUGGAUUUUCCCACUAACUUAGUCCAAGGGUAAAAUGGUCAUUAGAUUUUCUAGUCAAAAGUCAAACUUUGACUUUUCUAAGUCAAAAGUCAAUAUUUUGACUUUUUACCAUUUUGUCCGUCUUGACUAAUUCCAACCUCCCGAGCAUGAAUCCGCAUUCAUUUUUCCAAAAUUCAAAUCACAUUUGAAUAUAAGGCCGGUCAAAGUUUGACUUUUCAAAGUCAAAAGUCAACAUUUUGACUUUUUACUAUUUUUGACCAACCAAUUCCGAGCUUCUUAGUAUGAAUCCGCAUUCAUACUUAUAGUAUGUAAAACAUAAAGCUCUAUUUCUAAUUAGAAGACCGACGACUAUAUCACUAUAUUUGUCGGUUUCCUUUCUUCUCCCAAUUCGAACAAUUCGACUUAUUUCAUCACACUGUUCUAAGUUUAAUCCAUAUGAGCUAGCAGAGGAACCUAAUGGACCUAUAGAUCAUGGGCUCCAACGAUUCAAGAUUAACUAGCUAAACUCUUUUAAACCGAGUUAAUCAACAUUCGUUAACUAACGGGUCAUUCCACUAAAGUCCCGUAGUUGCACUCCCCUCACUAUAGAUAUAUUUGUGUCCAUUUGAUAAAACCAUAAUCAGUAAGUUAAUCCUUCACAGGUUGCUCGUAACCUUGGCUGGGUCAAAAUACCGUUUUACCCCCAAGAUUACAUCUUGCUCCUUAAGUCCCACUAAUCCACUAUUGAACAAUUGGUUUAAGGUUCAACCUAUAAACUUAAUCCCUCUCGGGCCAAUGAGAGGGUGGGGCCCCUUGUUCAAGACUUGGAUUCAGUGCUUAAGAGAGCAACCUAUCUACUAACCCUAAAGCGGGUAGGAGUGAAUUCCAUCUUGUACCCUAUGUUCCCAGCUAUCCACCCGAUCUUACCCUUGAAAUGGGAGGCUUAUUGGGCCAACGCUGAUGAGCUGCCCUCACCUAUGCAGAUCUAAGGAUAAUCUCGUGUGAACAGGAGUUCAUAGUUAACUCAGGAUUAAGACUAAGUUACCUAGGUCAUCAAUAAUUGAGAUAGUCAGUUUUAAACAGUAAACGGUGUUAUAACGUAAAAAUGACUAAUUCAUGGUUCAGUCUUAUGUAAACAUUUUACAUAGGAUGCCCCCACUUUCAUGUCUCUACAUGAACGAUUAGGAUCACCUCGUUUGUACUACAAAGUGGGCCGCAUCCAUAGUUUCUCUAAAUAAGGCGCCCAACCUUUAUUUCAUAUACUAUAGACUAUUUAGGCUAUAUACUCGAACUUGAUCCACGUUUAUGUUUACACAUAAAGUUCAAGUUUAUUCAAAAAAUAGCCUUGGAACUUGAUUUAUUGGAUUUAAGAUUAUAAUAUUUAAUUUAUCAAUAACAACUUUAUUGAACAGAAUAUGAUUUACAAACUACGAGUUUUAGGACAAAAAAUUCCAACAAAUAGGUCACAUGUAGUGUUUAAGUUAAACAUGUUUAGGAUAAACAUUAAGUUUACAUGUGCAAUGCUAAAAAGGGGAGUUGGCAAGCAAACAAGAGUUUGAAGGUGACUAAGUUGUUUAAGAAGUAGUAUAAAUAGAAGGUCGAGGUCAGAUUAUUAGUCAUUUUGUUAUUAUGAGAAUUUGAAGAGAAAAGUUUAAGUUUUGAAGUGAUGCUGCAUUGCUACGCGAGAAGAAGAGAAGAAGAGAAGAAGAAAAAAAGCGUAGAAGCAGUUUGGGUUAAGGCUAAGUUGUGAGUGUUUUCUAUUGAAGUAUUUAAAUGAUUUUUAGGUCUUAUCUAUGUUGUUUUGUACUAAUGAUUGACAUUGCAAAUGUUCUUUAAAGAGAAAUGAUUAUAAAAUGGUUUUCAAAUCACUGGUUACUUCAUUUUAAAUGAGCUAACUUUUAUAUGCACAUAAAGAAUAAAGCUCACCAUGGACCGAAAGGGGCUACAUGAUGAAUUGAGGUGGGACAAUGUAUAAAAGAUGUGCAUUGCGUCUCGAUCUGAGCAACAAGGAUAAAUUUAUAUAUUCUCGAAUGUUGUUGUUACAAUAGUCUAAAUGCAAAGCUUUUUGACCUAACAUAGAUAAUGAUUUUGGAUCCUUGGUGUAAGGAAUGUUUGGUAACUAAUGUGUGUCAUGUGAAUUGAUAUAUUAUGUAUUUGAUAUUUCCAAUUUAUGAUAUUAAAUGAUAUUUGUGAAAAUGAAUUGUAAAAAGUUUUUCUUAAAAACUUCGAUGAGUUUCUUAGACUUAUGUUUUCAAAAUUUAUCUUCCACGAAGCAAGCUUUAAGGCCAAGUGAAGAAGGCUAAAGGUUUUACUGGGUGAGAAGGUUGUUUGGUGUUUAGUUCAAUUUGAAGUUGUAAUAUUUUAAGUUUUUGUUUGUAAAGUUAUUGUAAAAUGCCUAGUUGCAGUUCAUUAAAGUGUUAGUUUGGUUUAUCUACUAUGUCUUGUACGUUAUUGCCUAAAGGUAUUUGUUAAGUUGCAAGUUGAUCAAAGAUAAGUUAAUGAACGAUUAAGAAAAACUUAAGAACCUCAAAGACUGAGUGUUUUGGCGUUUAACGUGUCAAGAUACUCAAGUUACGUUGCGUCUCGCAAGACAAGCUUGUAGGUUUUCAGGUAGAGUAUGACUCUUAAAACGUAAGUAAAUAACUUAGUGAGUGAUGAGUUUAAGAAACACCUUUUGUGGAAUACAACAAUUCAGAUAUGAGUGAUACUAAUGCCAAAACGCAAACAUAAAUAUAUAAAAACAUAACAUAUAUAAAUAAGCUUGUCACUUCACAAUCACAGGAUUUCAUCACAUCAAACACGACCCAACCAUCACAAGGAUUCUACAUGAUUAACAUUAUCACACAAUCAUUUCUCAUUACAAGGACCUGAGAUUCUCCCCUCGCCUGAACCUAGGACACAUCUCACAUAGUAAUUUAAAGCUAGUAAUGUUAUUCUCAACCUCUCUUAAUAAUAUGUGAUGGCACAAGGGUUAUUGAAAACCAACUUAAUGUUCAAAUACGAUUUUCCUAAAUAUAUACAUUUCCCUAGGUGUUAACUUGUUUUAAUGUUUAAGAUAGUCUUUGCUAAGUAUGAAUAACAUAUCAAGUUUGCAAAUAAGUCUCCGCUGCCAAUUUUGGUGACAAGAGGCAUAUGCCAAACAGAAAACACACAUAACAAACACAAAAUCAAUAAUAUGUCCUAAAGUUCGGGACAAUCUCGUCCUAGAAUAACAUGAAUUAACAAUGAAACUUCGGGCUACAUUGCAUCGGGAUGCCAUGAUAAUAUGGUUUUACAUGCAUGUUGUGAUGUAUUUUAGGUUAAUCUCGACCAAAAUUGACACCGAGAACCUCACAUAAUGCAAAUAAAACGCAAAAGACCUCGACUCAUUCAACAAAUCUUUGGACAAUUUUAUCAAUCUUGACCGAGAUUCAUCAUUUACACGAGUCGAGAUUCAAAACUUCAUAAGGUAUGCCACACAAAAAUCAGUCAAUCUUAAGAGCAAAACGUUUAAACUCGGCCAGAAUGAGAAACUUGUUUAAUGAAAGUGAACGUCAAAUAUUCGUGAAAACAAGGGUAUUUUAGUAAUUUGAACAUACUUUGAUUUUGAAUUUUAAAAACAAAACAUGAAAUCUCGAUUUUGACUGAGAUUGCUUGGGAAAAACAAAAACGUGAGUUUUUUAAACGUAAACGGUGUCGUAUUUGUUAUUUUGGAAGAAAACCUCUAUUUUAAAUUUAAGGUUGGUUUUAAAAAUGGUAGAAAACAAUUGGAGAGUGAAAUGGAAGGAACGACAUGGGAUGGAAAAAGACAAAAAGAAACCAUUAAAGAAAAGAAAAACAUUUUUGGACAAUUAAAGUCGGAAUUAUCUCCCAAUUCGUAUUAUAUUCGCUAGCUCAUCAUUUUAUCAAAAUUCGCUGGACAUUUCUUUUGCAAUUUUUUAUCUGAAGAACAACAAAAGUCCCUCAGAGAAAAAGAAAGAAAGAAAAAAAAAAAAAAAAAAAGAGAAAGGAAGAACACUUUCUGAAAUCUCCAUAGGAAUUUGCAUUUGCAGGUUGUUAAUCUUUCUCUCAUCAUCAUUUUUUCCUUUUGUGAAUUUCUUCCAUUCAAUUUCCUUUUUCUUCUUCGUUAAAUGUCAGGUUAGGGUUGCAAAAUGAAAUCCGGUUCGUUUUCGUUUCUAUGGAAUUAUUUGAAAUUGCAACAGGUUUUCUUAUACUUUAUUAUUAGAUUUUCUGUGGAUUGUUUCUUUUGUUCCUGAUUGUCUAUGGAACUUCGUUUGUUUCAGGGAUUUCUCUCAUGAAUGUGGGUCUUUGCACGACCUUUCGAUUUUUGAGCUUUCGAAGGGUUUGGUUGCGUUGUUGUUAAAAUGUACAGGACAGUGGCUACAUCUGCGGCCACAACUACCACAACAGAUAGCCUGGAUUAUGUUGUAAAUUUGGAUCAAAUUCCACGUUGGAGUGAUGCAGAACAUAGGUCUUCAUUGGAGUUCGUUAACGAAGAUCCUUCCUUCUCUAAUUCUUACUUUCCUGAUCCCCUCACGUCUCCAUCUGACGCCGAAGGUGGGACCAAUGGAGUCGUUUCGAGAUUUCCCGUAGAUCAUGAAAUUAAUUCUAAAAUAUAUCUCUGGAGGGGGAAUCCAUGGAAUCUCGAGGUAGAUGCUGUCGUGAAUUCUACGAACGAGGUGAGAGUUAAUCUUCUUUCUAUCCUCUUCUUUUCCUUCUUAAAUAGAAAAUCGUCACUCAUACACCAAGACAGUAAACCGAUGCCAAAAGUUCCGUGAACUUUAUAAUAAUAGCUCCAAAAGAAUUCAGAAGGAAAAACCAGAACUUUGUACAUUACAUAGAAGAAGAAAAAAGAAGAAGAAAAAACUAGAUGUAAUGUAAGCUGGGAAAUCAAUUUCGAACAAGAAUUUCAAUUCUUUGGUUUUGGGCUACAUCAGGGCGUACUAAUUAUCACACAACAAUUUCUUUUUAUCUCGUUCAGAUUUAAUGUCAUAUCAUUUGAAAUAGGAUAUAUUAAUGGGGAAAUUAGUUGAAAUUGGAAUUUCGUUGAUUAUUAACGUUUGGCAUGCCUAAUUGACUAGAAAACCAGUGCCUCGUUUACAUGCUGUGAAAUAUGGCUAACUAACUUCAAGGGAUCACAUUGCCUGUGUGCAAUUGUGUUCAUUAGCAAUAUGUAACUAGAUGGUGGUCCUCUUACCCCCAAGAGUUUCUUGACAAGAUAUUCAUGAUGUUAUUGGAGAAGUUGAGAGUCCCACAUUAGAAAAACCAAGGGGACUCAUACUCCAUAUAAGGUAGAUGGGCUACUCCUCACAUUGCCAAUUGGUUUUGAGAUGGAACCCCAUACUAUCAAAUUGAACAUGGUAUCAGAGCCCAGUAAACUCGAACGGGUAUUCGGUCCAAGAUAGGUGAACCCAAAGAGGCACCAUCUUGAGGGGGCAUAUUGGAGAAGUUGAGAGUCUCACAUUGGAAAAACCAAGGGGACUCAUACUCCAUAUAAGGUAGAUGGGCUACUUCUCACAUUGCUAAUUGGUUUUGAGAUGGAACCCCAUACUAUCAAAUUUAACAUGGUAUCAGAGUCCAGUAAACUCGAACGGGUAUUCGGUCCAAGAUAGAUGAACCCAAAGAGGCACCAUCUUGAGGGGGCAUAUUGGAGAAGUUGAGAGUCUCACAUUGGAAAAACCAAGGGGACUCAUACUCCAUAUAAGGUAGAUGGGCUACUUCUCAUAUUGCCAAUUGGUUUUGAGAUGGAACCCCAUACUAUCAAAUUUAACAGAUGCGAAUACCAAGGAGCCAAAAACUAAAUGCCUGAGCUCAAGCAACAUUUUAACUUAGCCGUGGAUUGGAAGUUGUGUGUGAGGAAGUGGAAAAGACAUUGGUCUAUUGUAAAGGAGAUAGGAGAAGAAAGCUAGAUAUCCUCCAUUAGUGUUGACUUUCAAGUGCUUCAAGAGUUACCAAGUUUCAAAUGCUGUGAUACCAUCAUCACCUAAGAAAAUAUCGUCUUGAACAUUGUUCGCACCAACCAAGUCAAUUGACUUCAUGAGUAGUUGUAGAAAAGAUAGAAUAAAAGAGCAUGCUGGAAAUGACAAUUGGUUGUAUGAGAUAAAGAGAAAGUAGGAUAUAUCCAUGAGUGUUUGAGCUACCUUGUGUGUAUCUUAAGAAUUCUUAUGGAAUAACCAUGUGACUUUACUAUAUUUGGUUGCCAAAGUAAGUUAUACAUAUUAAAUCUUGGGUAGGUUUCUAGGGCCUUUAUUGUUCACCUAACCCUUACUGACCACCAAGCCAGCCCAUGGUGGUUAUGCAGGAUAAAUACAUAGUUAUUUACCUUUAUUAUGAGCUAGGGAAGAUCAUCACUUGCUUCUGGAUCUAAUGAUGAAGGAUCUUUUGUUACAAGACAUAUACUUGGAAAUUUUUAUGUACUAGAGCUAGAGUGUAAUUAGAAUAUUGAGGGAUGAAUAGGAAUUGUUAUUGAGGAAGAUGAAAAGAAGUACCGGCAAAUAUUUCUGGUUAUGAGAAAAUUUAGCCUUGGAGGCGUUAUAGAAACAAAGCAUAAUAUUAAAUCUUACCAUUCCACUCUGAAGGAGUUUUAAUUUUUUACAAAGAGUAGAAAUUUCAAAUAUUCAAGUAACUCCACAAUGUCAUCAUCAUUGGUCAAAGCAACAACUGGAUUCUUGAUUGAAUCCUUUAUCUGCAAGGCCAAACUCCAGAUUGGCAUCAACUUGGAGCCAAGUUGUGCAACUAGUUGAUGGAUAGGUCAUGCCACAUGCGACCAUAUAGUGAUGAUUAUGAAUGUAAUCUGGAUGCGCAAAAUUAGAGUAUGAUGAUUGAUGGUAAAACCACUCAACAAAUAAAUGUGGAUAGAAUUACAAACCAAAAUCAACGAACAAGAUGUGAAUGCAUUUCUUGGAAAUUUUCCUGGGUUCCUUGAUAGCUUGGAACCCACCGGAUUCUAAUUAUAGACUCCUUGAUAGCUUUCUUUCUGCCGACGAUGGAAGAAUCACGGGGAAACGAUCAAACUCAGUUUUGAAAGUAGUCCAAGGUUCGCAAAUCCUCUUGGCGCGAAAAACCUUAUUCGUUGUAAGCCCUCAAAAGGAAGCCCAAGAGUCAUGGGCCAUUAAAGAGCCUUUUUUAAAGAGGAGAGAAAAACAUUCUUCAAAAGUGAAAGGAAAAAUGCAGGGGAAGUCGAAGAGAAGCUUUUAGAGAGGAAAGAGAUUACUACAGUUGAGCAUUCUUUAUUGCCAAUUGGAAUUGUAAGUUCCAGUACAGAUGGAAAGGCAGGUCAGUCUAAGUGUGGCCACACUUUUUCCGCUCUUUCUUUCUCCCUUAGGAGGUCACUUCCCUCAACUUUGUCAGUUUUUUGCUUUCAUUCCCAUUGCCGGUUCUGUGCCCACCAAAAUCCCCUCCGAAAAGCUCCAACCAACUCUUCCUGCGCUGCUCUUUCUUCUUUUUCCCUCUCUUUUUCGACCAAAAACAGUUCAAAGGCUAAGUCUAAAAAACAUAAAAAAGACAAGGUUCUCCCACAUUUCUUCAAGACUUUCCCAAAGCAUUUUGUUAGAAACUUAGAAGGAAAGUGGUAAAGGAGGCCUUAAAAAAAGUUUACAAAAGAAACAUUGAUUUUGGAUAAGAACCCUGAUUGUUUGGAGGCAAAUUGUGCCCUUUUGCAAGCCCCUUCUCAAUCUAACAAGUCAGAUUCUCAGAGCUCUGUUCAUCUUUUUUUUAAAUACUCAGUUUUCUCUAUGCCUCAUUCAAAGGUAAAUUUUUCAAGAGGUUCUCUCCUCCUAACUCCAAUGUCUUCAUUGAAAAAGAAGAGUGUAUAAGAUUUCGACUCUCCUUUUAGUGUGAGCAGCGAGGAAGUUGAACAUUUGCCAAAGACAGCGGAGAAGGUGACCAGUCAUUAAGUAUCCUUUAGAAUCUGAUCUUUUAGUACCUUGUUUUAGACAGAGGAGGAUUUAAUUGUUGAGAAACAUGCCUCUUUAUUUCCUUCACAAGCUCAGCACUGCCAAAUUCCAGAUCACUUGAAGUCCAUUGUUGAGAAAUGUGGAAUUAUUUUGGUUUGAGUACAGAUUUUAGACCUGAUCUUGUUUUUUCAGCCAUUUAUUUUUGAAGACUGUUUUAGUGGAUCACGAGAGGUUCGAGGGAUACUUCUAUUAUUUUGGCCUUCUAGUGUUCUUCUCUGGUUCUAGUCAUCCACUCAAGAUUUAAGGACUACUUAGGAGGCAUAUUUUUUCAACUACAAGCUGCAUGGCUGUUUGCUCUCCCUUGGUGUUUUCCUCCUAUCUAUUUUGAAGUUUUUAUUCUGCAAUCGACAGCUGUUUUUGGGCUUCUUGUUGAAAGUUUUUUAAGUUUGCUUUGUUCUUAUUCUUCUACUGUUUUGCUCAGGGUUUUGUUUGUGUUGUGUUGUUUUUGUUGUUCAAUUCAUCUGUACUUUUGUUUGUGAUCACUCUUUUUGCCAUUUGUGUAAUUCUCUUGUACUUUGAUCAUUAGUCUUUUUUAUUAAUAAAUUUAAUAUAAAGAGGCUCGUAUCCGUUUUUUAAAAAAGUACAGUGCAAUUGUAGAUAUGAUGGGGUUCUGUGGCAUAUUCAAUUUCUUUCUUUUCUUUUUUCUCUUUUUUUUUUCUUUUGAACAGAAACGAGAUUUUAAAACCUGUUAAAUAAAAGCUUGUUUGGUGAAAGUUAUGAAGUUUUGUUAUAGAUAAUCAAUGAUUUGUAAGUCAGAAUGUUUCUUUUUGGUUAAGUUUACAAUGAAAUAGGUAACUACUUUAUAUAUCUGCAAUUUCUUCUGAUUUUACAUUACAUUAUACAGAACUUGGAUGAAGCGCACAGCAGCCCUGGUUUGCAUGCUGCUGCAGGACCUGGUCUAUUGGAUGAAUGUGGAACACUUGUACGCCUGCAAUUAUUUAUUUUUCAGUUUGGCUUUUAUUUAUUGCUUUACCCUUGAAAAUUUCCAAAAAUUAACAGAUGCAUAAUGUAAAAAAAAAGAUAACUGUAAAUACUUUGGAGACAAAUGGAAUAUGGAUUUUACUAUUGUUAGAAAAGUUCUUUUAUAGCACUUCUUUGGAAAAUAAGAAUGUCAAAAUCUGACUCACUAGAUACACUUUCAUUUCCUGAAGGGUGGUUGCCGCACAGGAAUGGCAAAAGUCACUAAUGCUUAUGACCUUCCAGCAAGGUGAGUAUGUAGUUGAUGUUUGGAUGUCAGAUUGAAUACCUAUAUCCUCACUAUUGUUAAUUUUUCUCCCAAUUCAAUUUGAUAUUUACCAUGUUCUUUCAGAAAGGUCAUACAUACUGUUGGUCCAAAAUAUGCUGUCAAAUACCAUACUGCUGCAGAGAAUGCUCUGAGCCAUUGCUACCGUUCUUGCCUUGAACUUCUCAUUGAAAAUGGGCUUCAGAGGUUGUGAAAGUAGCUGAGUUCCUGAUGUUACAUUCUAUUUUCUCCAUAUUAUUGCUCAUCUAAUGAAUCUUGGUAUUUUUAACUUACAUGGUAAUGGCAUUUAAUGCAGCAUUGCUAUGGGUUGUAUAUAUACAGAGGCAAAAAACUAUCCCCGUGAACCUGCUGCACACGUAGCAAUAAGUGAGAUAUUUAACUACACGUUCCUUUUUAAGUUGUUUAUAUUUUUUUCUAUUCCACUGAUUUCAAAUUCCGUGCAGUACAUUCAUAAAUUAUGGGCUUCCAUUAACUACCAAUUUACCUUGUAUGUUCGGACCUACUAUGUUUUUGGGCUUGAGGACUUGCACAGGAUGCCAGCUAUAAAUUUUCAACCACUUAUCUUAUUAUUUUUCUUUGAUGGUUGGCCAGUUUGGGUCAUUUAGAUCUAGUUGUCACCAUUUAUGAUUGUUACCAAAUACCAACUUGCAUUCUUUAGAUCAGCAUAAUGAUCGAACUAAAUUAUCUGAGAUGUCAAAUGUUCCUUUAACGAAAAUCUUUGUAUACAACUCUGUACCUGAUCAAUUUCUUGAUAUCCAACCAAAGUAGCUUUUCCGAUUGUCUGAUGAACUAUGUUGGGACUCUAAUUAACAUCUUGUAACAAAAAAAAAAAAGAAAAAGGAAAGAAAAGAAAAGUUCUACGUCUUAUCCCCCAUUUAAUUCUUUUUUUUUGUUUAGGAACUGUGCGCCGUUUUCUCGAGAAGCAGAGAGAUAAAAUUAAAGCGGUUGUAUUUUGUACAACAUCAUCAGUAGAUACAGAAAUAUACAAGAGGUACUCAACUCUCAGGCAACUGAGGCCUGCCAUUCCUGGAGGUUAUGUUUUUCAUGGUGUAUUAAAUAUAAUGAUCCAUGUUGGACUUAUUCUAUCUGCUUUUGUAUGUUCUGAGGCAGGUUGCUUCCUCUGUACUUUCCUCGUGAUAAACACGAGGAAGAAGUUGCAUUAUCAAAGCUUCCUGCAGAUGUUGGAGAUGAGAAUGGGGAGACCAUUAUAGACGAGCGGAAAAUAAGGAUAAAAUCUUUACCCAAAAAGAAUGUUCCAAAGCCUCCCCAAGUUCUUAAUGAUACUCCUGUUAGUGAUGUAAGGUUGACACGGAGGUUAGUGGAAUGAUUUAUGCAAUAUAACAAUCCUUUUCAAAAAAUAUUGCAUUCUUGGUAGAUUUAUGUGAAUUGCAUACUCGAGUAAAAGUUGCCACAAAUUUGAUGAAAUUGAUCAGAGUUGCUAUGAAUUUGACGACAUUAAUCUGUUUUUGUAGAUUUGAAUGGAAUGGAAUGGAAUAUCUUUUAUUCUUAUUGAUUAACCAUAAGAUACAAAGCUUUCUCAUAUAGGAGAAAGGCUAAAUACAUAAAAAGGAAAGUAUCCAAAUAAGAAUAAAAUAAAAUCCUAAAUGAUUUUACAACACAUUUACAACCAACACUCUCCUCAAGCUGGUUUAAGUAUGUCUUUUAUUGACAGCUUUUUAAUAAUCUUUUUAUCCAUAUUUUUCACAUACACCAUGUGCCAGAACACUAAAUUCUGCUUUUGCACCACUUCUGGCAACUGCAUUUUGUUUUUUGCUAUGCCAAGUGAUUAGGUUACCUCCAACUAAUGAACAAUAGCUAGAAUUAGAUCUUCUACCCAUUGUAUUUCCUGCCCUAUCAACAUUAGUGUAAACUUCAACCUGAACAUAGUUGUGUUUCUUAACCAAUAUGCCAUUUUCUGAAGUUCUCUUCAAAUAUCUCAAGAUUCUAUAUGCAUCUUCAAAGUGGGCCUGUCCUGGCGAGUUCAUGAAUUGACUUACCAUGCUUACUACAAAAGCAAUAUCUGGUCGUGUGAGAUAAAUAAACAAGUUUUCCCACAAGUCUUUGGUAUCGUUCCCUAUCUUUUACUUUCUCAUCUUUUGCCGCCUUCAAUUUUAAAUUUGAUUCACAAUCAUGCCACUUUUGGAUCUCACAAAUUUCGUCCCUAGGAAGUAUUCUAGUCUUUGAUUUGAAAUGCGCCAGCAAGCCUUUUCUCUAACAUGUUCAAUUCAGCUUCAUCAUUACUUGUAAGAAUAAUGUCAUCUACAUAAACAAUCAACAUGAUGUAUUUGGUGUGUGUCUGUGUUCUUGGACAGAAAACGCGUAAAAGAAAACUAAAAAUCUUCUUCUGGAAUUUUUCUAUUUGAAAAAAAACAAAAUGACAAACUAAGGGUUUUUAUACUAAAACCCAACAGUCAACUAAUUACAUCAGCCUAAUUAUAAAGCUUCUAAAAUAUCAGAACAAAUAUAAAAUAGUAACAGUGAGUUAGGUUAACAGCACAGUGACAAACAUAACGGCAGAAAUACAUAUAAAACCCAUCCAAACUACAAAAGCACUAAUUCUGAAUUGGCAAUCAGGGGAAACUACAAUGAAACUCAUCCGAUGAAGGCGGUCCAAUUGAGGCAGAUGUCUUGAAUGGAGUAAUCUUUGAAUUCUGCAUUUGAAGAACACCAAGCUGCUGCAUUUCUUUUAGAAAUCUGUACGAUGUCAACCCAAUUCCUUUUUUUAUCAUGGAAGAUGCGUUGGUUACGUUCAAACCAUAUCUCUGCUAGGAUCGCUUUUAUCAAAUUAACCCAAAUUAGAAAAGGCUUUUUUGAUAAAUAAGGCCCCCUUAGUAACUGAUGCACAUUGGCGCUAAACUAACCAUCAAAGACCCAAACUGAUUCGAGCAUAGAAAAUUUCUGCCACUCUACUUUCAAUGAAAGAUUUCAAGUUUUAAAGCCCCUUGACACCGGUUCAAUCGUUAAUGUCAAUCAUUUUGUCUGCUAGAUCUUAAGAAUAUUAAAAAAUAAAUAAUAAUUUUUUUUGUUACUUUUUUCCUCGAAUUUUACUUUUCAAAAUUCACCUUCCUAUCUAAUCCUACUGUAUAAUCAUCAUUUUGCUACACUUCGGAGUUGUUACUUGGUAGUACCUUCUAUCUUAAAGGCCAUUAGAAAUGAAAAGAGGGAAUUGUACCAGAGAAAAAGCAAUAGAAAUGGCUAUCUUACCCUUGUAUUUUUUUUUCAUACUAAUUAACUGUAGUAUCAUUGGAGACAAUUUGACGGGUGGGGAUUGGCAUUACCUUCAUUGCCCAGAAAAAGUGAACCCUAUGGUCCUUGGACAGAGAGAGAGAGAGAGAGUAUGGUCCUUGGUUAGAUUUUAUGGUUCUCUUUGGGCUUUAAUUUCGAAGCAGUUUUGUAACUAUACGAUUUGUCAAAUUUUGCUUAGUUGGACCCCUUUCAUAAUCUGAGGUCAUUAUGGGGCUCCUUUGCCCUUGUACCUUUCAUUAUUAAUCUCAAUGAAAGUUGUUUUAACAAAAAAAAGAUCAUGGUUCCUAUGAUUUGUUCUAUUUUCAAAUAGUUUUGUUUUGAAAAUCCUUGGGAUUGAAUCUCCUCAAUCUAUGCUGCUUCUGGUUUAGGUAUUUUAACUUGACUGAUAGUGCUUGGUAUUUUUAGGAACUCAUCAUAUUUGGAUUCAUACUUGGAUCCUGCUUUCAUGGCUUUAAUCAAAGACCCCGAUCAAAGACGCAAGGAACAAUGGGAAAAAACUGCCCAGGCGCAGACUGGAUGGAACUAUGGUAGAAUACUUGGAUUUGGUGACCUUGGGGGACCUCCUUUAUCUGCUGCCGAAGAAUAUUCACUUCAUUCAAGAUACCUUGCUAAAGCAAAUUCUCUUAAUCUCUCUGAAAUUGCGGAGAUGAAAAUAGUGUGAGUAUCAAGUUUCUUGCUAGUUUUCAUGUCUUUAUGCAUAUAAUGGUCUGAAAUGACAAUCAAAAGGUGAGAUGGACAUAAACAAGGAAAAAAUCGUAGAACCUUGGAAUUUGGAUAUAUUAAUUUAUGCUUCCUUUGUGAAAAUCAUUUAUCCAAGUAGAGUUGCUCUCGGAGUUCUGGAUCUUCAGGUCAAUUAGUGUUUACUUAUUUAUCUCUCUUUAUUCACUACUUUUUGAGAGGUUUUGUUACAGUUGCUUGGUAAGAGAGAACACUUUAAGAAAGUGUUCAUUAGAUUUUUGAUGUGCCAGUGGCUAACUGAAGUGUCUACGAUAGAAACACCAUGUUGUGUCCCGUUAUGGAAUGUACUGAGUUUAAGUUUAUGUCUCUCUUUGGCAGGCUAAUUAGUUAAAAGCUUGCAAAAACCAGAAGAGAGAUUUAUUUAUUUCUGAAAAUAUCAUUAGCUUGAGAUGCCUUUAUUUACAAUAUAUUGCAGUUACCGUGGUGGAGUUGAUAGUGAGGGUCGCCCUGUUAUGGUUGUUGUGGGAGCACAUUUUCUACUGCGUUGUCUUGAUCUUGAGCGAUUUGUACUCUACGUUGUAAAGGUAAUUUAAUUUAAUCUUAAAUAUUAUGCAUUUUGUUUCUCAUUUUAGAUUGUUGUCUUGAGACUCCUUAGAAGCAUGAUUAUAUGGACACAGAACACAAAGAAUCACCCAUUUUUCAAACAUUGAUAUGGACCUUGUAAUAUAAUAUUGAUGAACUUCUUAGAGCUCGAGGACAGUUGGACAAUCUAUAGAUUGUUCCAAAGCUUCCAUACUUUAUAAGGAUGCAAGUAUGAAUUGUUCUCAAUCGUACUUUGAUAAAUUAUUAGUAGUGGUGUAUUGAUACUUUUAAAAUCAUUUGAAGCAUAAGAGACACGCCCAUGCCACAACCUCUCUGCUUAAGCCUUUGAGGUUUGGAGGGUGUAAGCCUCCAGUUUCAGUUGCGUAACAAAUAUUGUUGGCUUUGUUUUUGUUUUCCUUCGUUUAUAACUUCUCACCUUUUUUCUGUGGUGGCAAGUUCAAUAGUUUUAUUUGUUACUUUCAUGUAUAAUAUUUAUUGUUUUAUAUCAUUAUAUUAUUAAUGAUAUUUAUUUAAUUUAUUAUUGAUUAUUUUAUUAAUUGCACCUCCCUUAACUCAGUAAGUUGACGUUUUUUUUUCGCUUCUUGGGUUAAAGAAAUUAAGAGAGUUUGUCACCACAGAGUGUGCUUUGCACCUUGGAAACAUUAUCCAAGAUGAAAAUCUUAGGCUAUCCAAAUCUAUCAGUGCAAAAAGGAAUAACUCUAAAAAAUUAUUUGAUCUCUCACCUAGUAGUACCCAGUAAGUCUUGUAAGCUAGUUUUGACCUUGUUAAAGGUUAGAACCCCUUCUUGUUAGGUCCUCACAUUAUGUAGAAGUGGGACAGGACAGCUGAGUGGUCAAGAAUCAAGAUGAUGAGAAAUAAUACUAUAGAACGGAAGGAUCUUGGCAUAGAGUAGCGGCAAUGUUGAACACUGUGGGUCUUGGCCUGAAGAGGAUGAAAGUUGAUUGCACUCAUGAAAGGUAAGAAAUGCACAAAAGGGCGAUGGGAAUUGUGGAGGCAAGUUAAGGUAUGCACGGUCUUGGCCUGGUAGAGACAAAUUUGACAAUGAGCAGAAGGAUUCUCAAUUGUUCAGCUAGUUUAGUUUGGGUUGACGUUCAAGAUUGCUUCGUGAAGUUGGCUUUGCGAAGUAAGCAAAAGAAGCUUGGUUUGAGGUGGAGAGAACUCACGUAUGGUCAGAUGGAGGAAAACGAUUGUUAAAAGAAUGCUGGGGGAUAGAGAUACCCUUAAGGUUGGCCAUGAUUUGGUAAGAUUCUAGCGCCACAGGGAAAAGAGUAGUAUCCUGAUGUUUAAAUAGUAUUGUGACACAACACUUGGGAUAUAUUUAGCUCAUAGUUAGGCCAGGUCAUCUUGGAUAUGUACACACUUCAAGAUAAUUCACCUAGGGAUGGCUGUUUGUCUUUUCAGUUUGUGUUGUUUUUUUUAAUCCUUUUUUAUUUCUUUGUACAUUGAUUGUUAAACUUAUUUCAUUAAUUCAAUUAGAUUGCUUGUUUCUGGUACUUUUUUUAAAGACAAUUCAUCUGGUAUUUAAUAUCCAUGGAGGUAAGAGCAAUCAGAAAAAGAUUAUGAUGUAAGGGAAUUGUUAAAGAAAGUAGUAUUGUGAUAAUCGGUACAUAUUUAGCACUUAUCUAAGUUGGGUCAUCUUGGAUAUAUACAUGUUUCAAGACAGUCCACUUGGGGAACAACAAUAUACAAACGAUUCAAGAUACUGAAGGUAUAGAGUAUCCACUGACGUAAGAGUAACUGGAAAAAAGUUAUCAUAGGGCAUUGUUAAAAAAAUGAGAGCUUUUUUUUUUGCACGUUAUGGUGUGGUCCAUUUACAAACCUUUCAUCAAUUGAUACUUUUUUGGUUUGUUCAUUCAAUUAGUUCUAACAUUAAAUAAUGUAGAAUAUUGUCGUAAUAAGAAUGAUAUAUUUUUCAAUAAUUAGUCUUGCACAUCAUUUCUUUGUUGUGCUAUGAUAUUAUUCAGUCUAUGUACGGAUUUGUUUUAAAUUUCAGGAGUUUGAGCCAUUAAUACAGAAGCCCUAUACAAUAGUGUACUUCCACUCAGCAGCUUCUUUGCAGCCGUAAGUGCAGUAAUAUCUCUUGAAGUGACCAUCUAUUUUAUUAUUUACUAUUUACUCUUUAAGCAAGCAAGGAUUUGUGGGAUGAAACACUUUUUUUCCAAGCAACAAGUCUAGACAAUGAAGAGUUUUUGGAAAAUCAUGCGGGUAUACCUUAAGGAUUAAUUGCGUUGAUGUUUAGGAUGUUUCAAUUGGUUUUCAAUUCUUAAGGAAAAUAAUUUUUCAUUGAUUAAUUUGCAAGUCUGAAGUAAGAAAACUAAAAAUUUGAACCAAGUCAUGAUUGAACUGCAUAAUCUAAAGAAGUAAGCAAGCCAAAAAUAUCAGCUAGAGUGUACAAACCACCCUAAAUACCUGGCCUUACAACUCAAACCUACACAAACAUACCGUUGGUCUUAAAAGCCUUGACAAUCUGUAGUCAAAACUUGGUAAAAGCUAAACAAUACUUAGAUUUCCUGCUCCAGUGGAUGAUAUCUGUUUAAAAUUGAAACACAAACGUAUUAUCCACAUAAAAAACACAGAGAAUGAGAAGUUUUUAGAAUAUCAUGCUCGAAAACCCUCCUCGUUACUUUGUCACAAAUAUUUAGACAAUGCUUUCUACAAAAGGAGAUGCUAUGUAAACACAUUUCUCUGUUUCAAUGACCCAUUUCAUCAAGUCUAGGUCCAUAAACAAGGAUGUGCCAUGAUGUUUUUCUUUUCUUUUUGAUGGUAGUGCAAUUUAUCAAUAAAAAGGUUCUGAGAAGAUUCUUCAAAAGAACUAGAUAUAUGAAUGUACCCUGUCAUACAUCAUGAGUCUGACAGGACGGCAAAGUGGUGAAUCUCCACAAAAUAAAAUCUUUAUGGAGGUUGGUACAUGUAGACCACUGUAAUUCAUUUUCCCAAUUCAAUAUUCCCUUCAAAUGCCAUAGAAAGGCUUGAAGGAUCUCUACUGCAUGUGAAAUCAAUACUCAUCUUCAAUCACACUGAUGCCUCCAACACUUCAAAUAGUUCCUUAGAAAGAGGGACCAUCCUAUCUCAAACUCCAAUACAAUUUGAUCAGUGGUUCUUGUUAACUCUAGCCAUUUCAGACAGUUACAAGAUUACAACCGUAUUGCAACCUUCUCAAUCGUCUUUUCCUUAAGCCACGGGCCUUUGGCCUAUUGAACCAAUUCUAGAUUUGUCACCACCUUCAACCACUAUUUGCUAUUAUUCUUUGUGGAAACUAAACAGAUGUGUAAAUGUAACUUUCUACAUUGCACCUUGUCAUGGGAAAUAUUUGAAUGCAUCAGAAAUGCUGUUCUUGAUAUUUGAUAAAGAAUUCUGUAGCUCUGAAUUCAAACUUCAAAAAAUAUAAAAUUUAAGAAUCCAUCAUUAAAUGAAAUGCCAUACUGGAAAAAUGCCCAUUUUGGAGCUGACUGUUAUUGACCUUCAUAAUGAAAACCUAAUUGUGUGCAUUCAGUUCUUGAUGGUGCAUCAUAUAUGUAUAUCCGGAUGUUAUCCAACUUCUCUGACCAUGUUUAUGGUCUAUAUACUGUUAGUCGGCCAGACAUGGGAUGGAUGAAGAGAUUGCAGCAGAUUCUUGGCCGAAAACACCAGCGUAACCUCCAUGUAUGAACUCCAACUUAUUCCACUACGUAGUACUUGCAGACCAAAAAUCUGCCUUCAUCUUUCUUAUCAAUCUGUAUGAUCUUUAUAGGCAAUAUAUGUUCUUCACCCAACCUUUGGAUUGAAAGCUGCAGUAUUGGCCAUGCAAUUGCUCGUGGAUAAUGUGGUAGGUUUGUGUUUGUUGAUGUUGUAAUCCUCUGAUAUUAAAUGCACCGAAUGAGAUUAAGUGUUAAAUAACUGAUAUCCAGGUAUGGAACAAAGUUGUAUACAUUGAUCGGCUACUGCAGCUAUUCAAAUACGUUCCUCGUGAGCAGUUGACCAUCCCCGACUUUGUAUUUCAGUGAGUUAAUGUUUACCUUAAACUCCUUUUCUACAAUGAUUUAGUUCUUUCUAUUCAAUUAAAGGUGAAUUCCUUAGGGAAAUUGUGCACAUUCACAAAUUUAAAGCAUAGUCCUGAGAUUUUUUGAAGAUUACAAUUCAGAAAAAUUAAGACGCCUCAUUGUGUGAUAAAUGCAGGCACGACUUAGAAGUAAAUGGAGGGAAGGGCUUGAUUGUAGAUCCUCGAACAAAAUACGUAUACCAUCGGCCUUAGCCUUAACGUGAAGGAAAAUGAAUGUACGGAUACAAUUCGUCAAGCCACAAAUCACAGCAUUAGCUAUGAUUUUUUAUGCUGCUUAAUCGUAUCCUUUAGCGUGUGUGUUUAGGUGGGUUAGGUAUUGAUUAUGGUUGUAGAAAUGGUAUCCCAUUUUUCUUUCAUUUUUUAUCCCUCAUGUUAUUGGUUUGUUUGUGUGGUGAAGGUGAAGUAACGUUAUUCCUUUUGUAUGUUAUGUUGGAUGAGCUCUUAAUAAAAUGGAAAAAAGUGGUUUGUUGAAAUUUACAUCAUUCUAUUAUUCUUGUCUAAGAAUUCCAUUUGAUUAAUUGCGACCUCUUAAUCUUGCAAUUUAGCAAUUCCAAUACACUAUUCCCCCGACCUUUUUCUCAUGUCCUAAAUUGUGAAUUAUUCUUAAAACUUUUAGUUUCAUCCAUUAAUUGAUCAAAUUGAAAUAAGAGUUACUAAAUUAAUCUUUCCUCUUUCCUCAUGUUUUAACUGUUAUUUUAAUUUCAUCAAUUAAUCUCUCAGUUUGUUAAUUGUUCCAACUAUUUUUGUACUUCACUGGAACUUUACAUUUAUCUUUAUGUUGAGGCAAAAGCAUACAAACCAACUGUUUCAAAUGUGUUUAUUGAGUUCUGUAAAUAUUUCUAAUCUUAUUGAAGUACUUCUCAGAAAAUUAACAAAUUACGAGUUGACUUGCAAUGUAAAAAAUAAAUCAAAACAUUUAGAAAUUAAGAUUGAGUUUUCAAGUUCACCUAGUUUCUGAUUUAUAGAAAUAUUCUAGUUUGGUUGCUAAUUGUGGUAAGAGUUCUAAAUUUGUAGUUUGUGGGGGGAUUGAGAGUGAGAUCUUUACUUUAUUGGCUAAUUGUUUGAGACUAUUUUCGCAAGAUCUUCUUGUUUAGUAUCUUGGGCUUCCUUUGUUCUAUGACAUGUUACGGAUUAUUGAUUGUAUCCAUUUAAAAAAUUGGAAGAUCGCUUGCAAAAUAUGAAAAAUCGCUUAAUAAAAGUUGAACAAUUGUUUAACGAAAAGUUGAAAAAUCGCUUAAUAGUUUACACCAAUUUCAAGGCCAUGAAUAACCAUCAAAAGCUUUUUCUUUUUUGCAUGAUAAUUCUUUUUAGAGAUUCUAUAAUGAAUAAUCUUUUUGGCAUAAAAUAUUAAGUAUAUAGCAAUUUCUUAAACAAUUUGUAAAUAUAGCAAAUUUUGUAUUCUUUUUUAAACUAUUCCAAACUCACCCUUGUUUUAAAAGAAAUCUUCACAAUUUUCUCUUUCUACCCCAUUUUCUCUCAUUCUCUACAAUUUUCUUCAUUUUUCAUCUUCGCAAUUGUUUUCUCCAUUCUCCAUAUUCACCGUCUUUUUCUUCCUUCUCCAUCUUUACCAUUGUUUCUUCUCCAUCUUCUUUGUGAUUUUCUCCUAUUUUAAGAUCAUUUCUUCUCUUCACGAUUUUCUUUCAUCUCACUUUGAUAUUUAUUCUUCCCUAAAAUUUUACUUCAUCCAAUUUUCACAAUUUGAUUUAAUUUCAUCACUUGAUUUUGUUCAAUUCAAUUGAUUUUGCCAAUAUUUUUAUAUUUAAAAAUGUGUUCAAUUUCACUUGUAUUGUACUUCAUUAGUUUGAGGAUUCAUAGAAAUUGAGCAUAUUAAGAAUUUUUCUAUCACUUCUACAAUUUUAGGUUAAAAGAAAUUGAGAUUUUUUUCCUAAAAAUAUUGAUGAAUAUAAAUUAUCACUGAUAGACUAUUAGUUGGAUUAGUUAAUAUGAGCAUAGUGAUGUUAGUCUAUCAUUGGUAGACCUGUAUCCUAGUGCAACACUAAUAUCCUAAGUUAUCAUGAUAGUAGUCUAUCAAUAAUAGACUCUUAUCCUAAUCCAUAAGUGAUAUUAGUCUAUUAAUGAUAGACUCUUAUCUUAGUCCAUCACUGAUAGUAGUCUAUCAAUGAUAGACUCGUAUCCUAAAUCAUCACGAAUAUUAAACCCUAUCCUAGACCAUCACUAAUAUCCUAAGUUAUCACUGAUAGUAGUAUAUCAAUAAUAGAUAUAUAUCCUACUCCAUCACUGAUAGUAGUCUAUCAAUGAUAGAUAUGUAUCCUAGUCCAUCGCUGAUAGUAGUCUAUCAAUAAUAGACUCGUAUCCUAGGUCAUCACUAAUAUUAGUCAAUUAUUGAUAGACUCUAUCUUCUAUAAUGUUAUGAGUGUAACACUAGGAUGAUAAACUGUGUAUAUAUAUAUUGCAACGAUUCAGAAUUAUGAUUAAUCAAUGUUAUGAGUGUAAUACUACCUCUAUUCCCACACAUUUUUAAAUAUAAAAGUACCAGUCAAAUCAAUUGAAUUGAACAAAAUCAACCUAGAGUGAUGAAAUUAAAUCAAAUUGUAAAAAUUGGAUCAAGUAAAAUUUUAGGAAAGAAUCACAUCUAAAAAAAUAUUAAAGUGAGAUGGAAGAAAAUCGCGAAGAGAAGAAAUAAUCUUAAAAUAGGAGAAAAUCACAAAGAAUAUGAAGAAGAAACGGUCGUGAAGAUGGAGAAGGGAGAAAAAGACGAUGAAGAUGGAGAAUGGAGAAAACAAUUGUGAAGAUGAAAAAUGGAGAAAAUCGUGGAGAAUGAGAGAAAAUUGUGGAGAAAAAGAAAAUCGGAAUAUGAAGAAAAAGAAGAAAGUGGAAGAUGGAAGACAAUAAGUAAAGUGUAUUUGGGCGUAUUUUCGUCUUUUAUCUUGAAAUUUAAUUAAAAUUUGUCAUACUUGCAAUUCUUAUAAAGAUUUGUUAUAUCCUUAAUUAAUUUGUAGUAAUUUGCUAUAUUCCCACUCACCCCUAUAUACCCUUUUUUCUCAUCACAUCCACGAAUAUAUAUAGAACUCUCUACUCUCUAAAUAAAUUUUUCCAACAAUAAUUAUAUAUAAUUAAGAAUGACUUUUCCCUCAAAUAGUACAAUUAAAUAUAUAUAUAUACAAUUUCCUUGUGGCUCGAGAGUUUUCAUGUGAUAAUGGAGAGAUCCAAUUUAUAUAUAUAUAUAUGUGUGUGUGUGAUUUGUUUAAAAAAUGUAAAAAAUCGAUAAAAUAUUUACACUAUAUAGAACAAUUUUGAAAACAGAAAAUACUCAUGCACCCAUAAUGUGAAUAUAACAAAAUGACUUAGUCAACACUCGAUUAAUCAGCCACAUAAAUAUGUGUAAUUUUUCUUCUAAACGAUUAUGAUAUAUGAUUAUAUAUCAUUUCCUACAUAAUUGUGUAGGUAGUAUCAACAUCGACUAUACUCGCACAUGUAAUUCUUAUUCUAAAUGAGCAUGAUACAUGAUCAUAUAGUUUUUUUUAACAAUGAAAAAAUGUUUCGUGUAAUUCUUUUUCUAAACGGUUAUGAUAUGCGAUCAUGUAGUUCUUUUUAAUGAUAGAAAAAAUGUUCCAAAUCUAAACGAUACAAUUGUGUUGACUAAGCAAGCAAUCAUAUAGAUCAGAUCAAAGUGAUAUUUAAAUAAUUUUGAUAUUCUAGAAGAGAAGUUAUAAGAGAGAAAGAAAGAAAAAAAAAGAUGAAUAAAAAUAUAAGAAAGAAAAUCUUGAAGAGAAGUUGAAGAAAUUUAGAAGAGAAAAUGAAUAAAUCGCAAAGAAUGAGAGAAAAAAGUGACGAAUCGUCCACAAUAUUAAGAGAAAACAUGAAAUUUAUGAAAAAUUUCUACCGGUUUCAUGAACCUUUUAAUUUUGUAACCGUAAAUAUUUUGAUAUUUUGUUAUAUUUAUAAAAAUUAACCUACUAUAUAACUCAUAAGCAUGACAAACUUUAAUCAUUAGACCAUGGACUAUACUUUAUCAGUUUGAAUCUCUCUAGCAUUUCAACGAAUUCUUUCAAGUUUCGAUUUAAUUUGGCACUAACGGGACAAAAAUGAAAACUUUCAAUUACAUUUGAUACUAACAUAGCAGAAGUCUUUUAGACUCUGUAGUAUACUUAUUUUUCAUGAAAAAUCUUUUCUCGCAGCAAUUCGAAAGUGUAGUGUACUUCAAUAUUUUGUCACGAGAAGAGAAUAAAAGGAGUAUACAAAUUUGAGGACAAAUAAAAAGCUUAGAGAAAGAAUGGUUACGUUAAAAAGAGUAUUGGACAAUGUACUUCAUUCAUGUUCAACGAAUGGUGAUUUUGAGAGACGAAUGACCAAUAGCUUAAGCAUAAGUUUUUGUAAUUUGAAUUGUUUGCUUUUGUUUUUAAUGUUUGCUUUGAUGAUCUGAGUUUGGUUUGAAAAGUUAAUUUCACUUUUGCACACAUAAGUGACAAAAUACAUACAACUGAACUAAUAUGUGUUCUUAAUUCAUCCGGUCACUCUCACUCGUACAAAUUAAAGGACAAUCCAUCGCAAACAAAAAGUUAUAAUACACCCAAGAUAUAUUAAGAUUAAGUUACCUAAGUCAUCCUUAUGAAAUAGAAACUCAACUAGUUAACGAAGUUACAUCUCGUGGUUAUUAUUUCGUGAUUCGGUCUUAUGCAAACUCAUUGCAUAAGAUACCCCUACUCACAUGUCACCUACACAAACAUGUUUGAUCAUUGCCUUUGUAUCAAAUACAAAGUGAGCCGUAUCCAUAGUGUUACCAGGAUAAGGUAUCCAACAUUAUCUCUAUACUAUAGACUUUUUAAGUUGAUCUCGAACGUUGAUCCUUAUAUGUCUCUACAUACGAUUCAAGAGUUAUCAAACAACUUAGGAUAUUAAUUUAUUGGAUUUAGGUUAUUAAGACAUAGCUAAUAAUAUAAUCAAUAACGUUUAUUGAAAUAAUAAUAACAACAUUUUAUUAAGAAAUAACGGUAAAUAAAUUAUAUUUACUAUCUACGAGUUUAGAACAUAAAACCCAACAAGAAUCUUCACUCUUUAUUGAACUCAAGAAAGGAAAAGGAAGACUGUUAUCCAAGUUAGUAAACAUAAAAAUCUGGAUCCCACAAGCUAAGGUUCUAUAUAAUCUGCAGUUCUACGAUACGAGCACAGUUCACAGAUUCUCAAUUGAUCCUAAAAUUUUUUAAACAACUUAAUUCCUAAUCUAAGUCUUGCAAAGUAAAAUUAAAAACCAAAUAACUUCAAAAUAGUAUACAAUAGUAUCUGCAUUUUCCUCAAAUAGCCUGAUUUAAUCAACUUAAUGGCAUGGCAGAAUAGCAAUCAAACAUGACAAAUUUAUUGUAUUUCACUGGAGGACUCAAAAUAGCAAUCAAAUAACUCAAAUUUCAACCAAAAAAAAAAAUCAAAUGGGAGAAAAGAGAGUGAAGGAAACGAACUAGCAAUAAGGAGCACUAUUGGAAUGAAGCACCAGACGAUAAAAGAUUUUGUGCCAUAGGAGAAUCACCAAACGACGAACUUGAUUUAGACGGUGUUGCGACCCAAAAUUCAAUGGCAGUUGCUAGAUUGGUAGGUUCGACGAUGAAGGCUUGUUGUGGCGUCAAUGACGACAGUGGCUGGAGAGCACUGAAUUAACGACGACGGGUGACAGAAAAUUGGAAGGCAAGGGUUCUUCACAGUGUUUUGCAGUUGGGAAAUUUCGUUCGACGGCAAUUUUUUUGAGAUUUUGGUAAAGAGAGGGAGAGAGAGAAAAUAAGCAUUUUUUUAUGUAAUUUUAAUUGCGUGAGAGAGGGAAUUAAAAUUUUUUGAAAUUUGGGGCUUUUUUCUUUGGAAAUUUUGCAGUGACACAAAAAAUUUGUCGUUAAUUUAACGACACAAACAUUGUGUCAAGAAAAAUAGAAUUGUGUUAAGAAAUAAUCCAUAUUUUUAUUUUCAACUUUACCUCACCCCACCCUUUUUUUAUUUUCACGACACAAGGUCUUGAUUAGUAGUGUCAUUAAAACUCUUUUUCUAGUAGUACGACACCAAAGCCUCCAACCAACAUUAAAGGGUUUUAAUAACACUAUGAAAGAUGUCGGUUGAAAACCGACAUUAAAUUAAAGCCCAAUCGACAUUAAAGUCCAGUUUUCUACUGGUGGUGCUAGCAACAUAGUUGGCAAAUAAAGUGGAUUUGCUAGUUCAAAAACCCGUGAGUGCGCAAAUAUCUUCCCAAAGAUCUAUAAUGGAUUUUUUUCUUGUCUUUAAAGAUGCGGUUGUUCCUUUCCAGCCAAGUAAAUCAAAUGACUGAUGAAUUUGAUGAUGCAAUUCUAUUUUUUUUUAUUUAUUUAUGGAGCAAAGUUCAUCAUAGAGGGAAUAGAUGCGUUUUGAUGCUGAUUUGUCCAAGUCAGUAGGUUCUUCAAUUUUCCCCAAAUUUUCUUAGUAGUAGAGCAUGAAAUGGAAGAUGUGGUCGAUCUCAUCCGAGUUUGUUUGACAUAAAGUGCACCAAUAAUUCAGGUUUAAAUAUGCAGUAGGGAGUUUCUUUCAAGAUGUCAGUGGUAUUGAUGCACAUGUCUAUGUACGAGGGAUCAGGUAAAGAACCUGCAUUUUUUAGAGAUUUUUAGGGAUGGUUUAUUUCCAAAGAUUGCUGAAAAUUUUAGGAUUUACUGAAGAUUCAUCCCCUGGGAGCUUGGCACUGAAUGACUUUUUUUUCUCAGAAGCAAUUUGAGAUAUUGUUCAUGUAGUUUUUUCAUUUAUGUACCUUGGUAAUUUGAGAUACUUCACAAUUUCUUAAUUAUGGUUCAAGGUAGAAAUUAAUGACAGUUUUUUUUUCUUUUUUUUUUUUUUGUUAUUUAUUCACUUAAUGCACGUGGUAAAAGUGAUAAUUAUGCUAACUAAGAAUUCUAUUUUCUAUAUGAUCAAUAUCUUUUCAUCUCUAUAGUUUUAGAAAUGGAGUUUGCUUUAGUUACUAUGGAAACAAAAAGUUAAAAGUAGAGAUUCGAAGGGAUGGGAGUUUGCUUCAAUUUCCAUGAAAAGAUAUAAAGAAAAAAAAGUAUAAGGAAAGGCAUAAAAAAAAGGGGUUUUAUUAUCAUGUGUGGCAAGUGGUGGGUAUGGUUCCAUGAAGUGUUAUAUAUAUAUUGUCUCGGACUCUAUGCAUUAUAUUGUAUCUAUCCCAUAGUUGAGUCUUCAUUCAUAUACUCUUUUUCUCCCUUAUAAUUCUAUAUAAAUGCAUGACUUAUUGCACUUUGAAUUAAGUUCAAUGAAAAGCAAUUCCAAAUAAACUUGGUGUUUUCUUGAGUUCCCUUCCAAACACUUCAGAAGAAACAACAACAGACAUAGCUAAUAUCCCAAAUUAAAACUUCAUGAGAUGCAGCUUUCAGCUGAAGUGUUUGGGGGAACUCUGGAAGAUAUUUCGAUUUCUAUAUACUUAUUUCUUCAAUCACAAAGGUGGAAAAUUACCCUAACCAAACUGCAUUAUUUUCUUUCCAUGUUUCUUUGAUUCUAAGCGCUUGAUCGAGUCCUAUUUGCUUUGAUUCUGCCAAAUUCAAAAUCAACUUAACUCUUUCAAAUGGUAAGAAAUUUUUUUAUGGAUAUAAUCAUAAAAGAAUGUGCAAUUGAUUUGGUUUAACCUUAGGCAUAUAGUACAAACUAUAUUAGUUUUUUUUCUUCUAGAAAUCUUAAUUAUGCUAUGCUAUUUUCUUCUUGAAUUGUGCAAUGUCUUGUGUUUCUAAUUUAAAUAUUUUUAAAGGUUAAUUAUACUGUGAAUUUGGUUCAUGUGUUUUUAAAAACUACAGUUUAGUUUCUAUGUUAAUCAAUAAAAUCUUUAUCAAUAGUAUUUAACAAAUGAUAAGAACUAUUUUAUGAGUUUUUUUUAAGUGUUACCAUAUUUACAUAUUAUGAGUUUUAAAUCAUCCUUAUAUAAAUGUAGGCUAAUUUAGAGGGUAGAUUUAGAGUUUAGAAUUCCCUCAAUUAUUCUUCAAUUUGUUUACAUAUUAUGCCAAGCCUUGAUUGUUUUUCUCUAAAAAAUUGUAUUAAAAAUAUAUAAUCUUAUUUUGUUACUUAUUCAAGAUGUCAAUUCCAUCUUCCUAUUUAAUACGAAGUGGGAAGUUACUUCUCCUAUAUUUUUAGUGGAGAAAAGUGGUAGCUUUUUCCCUUAACUUUUCUUUCUCUUUCUUGACAAUAACUCACAUCUUUUGAAUGGACAAUGGCCAUCGAUUUUUUAGGUGUCAAAAUUUAAUUGUUGUAAGUUCAAUUUUAGAAAUUUUAUAUUCCUUUGACUGUAAAAUUUUCAAACAGGAAUCAGUGUAAUGAUGAACAGAUUAGAUGAAGUCAUGUUUACGUAAUUAGCUUGCCUAAACACCCCAUCAAUUUAAAUUAAUAAUGUUCUUAACUAGGCUUUUAAUCGAAUUGAAAUAGAAUAUGGUUGGAAAGUGAAAUCAAUAUCUCGCAUUGGGGCUGCCUCUCAAGGAGGAACCAAAAAUUAAAAUUAAGUAAUCCGAGCUGCGGUUAUACCCAAGAUAGAAAAUAUGGUGUCAUUGUAAGAUAUAUGUGGUUGUCACCUAUCAAAUAAUGCUGUUGAAGAAUAUGCUGAAGAAUAUUCCAUGAUUUGUUUAUUGAUCAAAGUUGUGUAUUUAUACAAGAGUAUUAGGAAAAUUAUGCAUAAAUAGCUAAAUUACCCAAAUUAACUAAGGAAUGUAAUAUAAUUAGCCUAAUGUAAUGUAAUUAGCCUAAUUUACAGAAUUUACAUUAAUACCCUCCCUCAAACUCAAGGUGGUAGAGUAGCGAUCAACUUGAGUUUGGUAAGUAAGUGACAUAAUCGAUUAGAUGGCAAGGCUUUGGUGAAGAUAUCCGCAAGUUGUUCAAUAGUAGAAACAGAACGUAAGAGGAGGGUGUUGCUUAGGAGGUGGUGACGAACAAAGUGACAGUCAUUUUCAAUGUGUUUUGUACGUUCAUGAAACACAUCAUUGUGAGCAAUCUGAAUGGCACUACGAUUGUCACAAUGGAGGAGGGUAGGACCCUGUUGAGGGACACCCAUAUCGGCAAGGAGCCACCGAAGCCAUAUAAGUUCAGCUGUAGCAUCAGCCAGAGCACGAUAUUCAGAUUCCGUACUGGAACGAGAUAUAACACUUUGUUUCUUACUACGCCAUGAGAUGAGAGAAUCACCUAAGUAAAAACAGUAUCCUGUAGUGGAUCGUCGAUCAGUAGGAUCCCCCGCCCAAUCAGCAUCAGAAUAUCCCGACAACACAAGGGAAGACUGAGAUGAGAAUUGAAGACCAUGUCCCAAGGUGCCUUUGACAUAGCGAAGUAUGCGUAGAACAGCAGUGAAAUGAAUUGUUCGAGGAGCAGCCAUAAAUUGACUGACAAUAUGAACAGCAUAUGCAAUAUCUGGGCGAGUUACUGUUAGGUAUAUAAGACUGCCAACAAGUUGCCGAUACAAGCUUGCAUCGUCAAGAGGAACACCAUCAAACGGAGUUAGAUGGACAUGAGGAUCUAACGGUGUUGAAGAUGUGGUGGAGUCUGUAAUUCCUGAGCGCGCUAUUAGAUCAGAUGCAUAUUUCGCUUGAGAUAACAGAUAACCAUCUGAACGGUGAGAGACUUCAAGACCGAGAAAGUAAUUGAGAGAUCCAAGGUCUUUCAUCUCAAAAUGUUGACCAAGAUAUUGUUGUAGGUCGGAUAUGGCUGUUGAUCAUUACCAGUAAUAAUCAUAUCAUCAACAUAAAGAAGGAGAAGAACAAUACCAUGAGUUGUCUGUCGUGUAAAAAGGGCAUUGUCGUGAGAGCUGGAGGUAAAUCCAAGUUGAGUAAUGGUGGAGCUAAACGUGGCAAACCAAGCUCGUGGAGCCUGUUUUAGACCGUAUAGAGCGCGACGAAGGAGACACACCUUGUUGGGAGGAGGAGAAGUUCCCUGAGGUGGCUUCAUAUACACUUCUUCAGAUAGGUUGCCGUUAAGAAAUGCAUUUUUGACAUCCAUCUGAAGAAGAGGCCACUGUUUGGCAGCAGCAACAGCUAACAAGCUGCGAACAGAUGUCAUCCGGGCAACAGGGGCAAAUGUUUCUUCAUAGUCAAUCCCAUAUUCUUGUGAGUAUCCUUUUGCAACAAGCCGAGCUUUAUAACGUUCAAUAGUUCCAUCAGAGUGUCCAAAUGGGUUGAAGAACUGCUAAAUAUUCAUUAACAGACUGACCAAUAUCUUGAUUUAGAUUUACAAGUGUACUGUGCAGUUGGUAAUAAUGGGCUAAACCAAUAGACUUGAAGCGUGUAGACAAAAAAUCUCAUAAUAUUUUAGCAUCAUCAAAGGCAUCAAACUGUGCAUGUAUAGCGGGAAUAGAGGUGUUACCAAGCCAGGUGAUAAUUUGAUGAUUUUUACUGUCCCAAUCUUCGAGACGUUCAAUGAAUGUGUUAUCCCCUUCCUUUGCAGUUGGUUUGGUGAUGUCGCCAGUUACAAUGCGCCAUAGUUUUCUUCCAAUAAGAAAACUUUUCAUUUGAUUUGCCCAUGUGAUAUAAUUUGUACCAUCAAGUAUUGUAGAAAUGGGUCUAAAGAUAUGGUCUCUCUCCAUUUUGAUUUGGGGUUAACAAUGCAGAUUUUCGGCCGAGUUUUGACUGAUUCGUGACUGGAUUCGUCAGAUCUGGGUUUCACUGUAUUUGGCGGCUGAGAUUUGCUUUGCAAGACUGGGAUUCGUGACAGGUGAGCGUCUUCACAGCUGGGUCGAGGCGACUAGAUUCAGGGGUUCACGGCUGGGUUGCGGCGACUGGAUUUAGGGGUGCACGGCUGGGAACGGAGACAAAAAAAAACUUGAAGACAAACGGCUGAAAGAUUCGUCAGAUCUGAAGACAAACGGCUAAAGGAUUCGUCAGAUCUGGUGGGCGGCGUCGGACGGUAGACGUCGUCUUGCACUCACGGCUGGAAGAGAAGUCGCGUGCGGCUUGGAACGACAGAGGAAGACUGGUGCUUCGCGGAUGGAGACGGAUCGGAGCGGCGUAGAUUGGAGACAGAUCGGAGCGGCGUAGACUGGCGCUUCGCGGAUGGAGACAGAUCGGAGCGGCGUAGAUUGGCGCUUCGCGGAUGGAGACAGAUCGGAGCGGAAAUGGACACCUGCGAUGCCGAGGCUGCGACUAAUCGGCGCGACGCCGAUGCUGUGGUGGAAUGGCUGGAGACAGAUCGGAGCGGCGUAGUCUGGCACUUCGCGGCUGGCGACAGAUCGGAGCUGCGAGUCGAGAUGACGAUACGGGACGGAGACGGUUCGAGACGUCUACGAGGCGCGAUGAGGAUGCGGGCUGCGAGGCGCCAUGAGGAUGACGGAGACGGUUCGAGACGUCUGCGAGGCUCGAUGAGGAUGCGGGAUGGAGACUUUCACGGGUUGUUGGCGGCGGCGGCGAUUGAGAUGGAGUCUGAAAACCCUAGCUCUGAUACCAUGUUGAAGAAUAUGCUGAAGAAUAUUCCAUGAUUUGUUUAUUGAUCAAAGUUGUGUAUUUAUACAAGAGUAUUAGGAAAAUUAUGCAUAAAUAGCUAAAUUACCCAAAUUAACUAAGGAAUGUAAUAUAAUUAGCCUAAUGUAAUGUAAUUAGCCUAAUUUACUGAAUUUACAUUAAUAAAUGCUAUAGAAUAAUAUAUUUUGUGAAAGUGAAUAAGGGAAAAGGAAAGCAAAGAGAAACGGAAGGGAAGAUGAUGGUCGAUGGAAGGAGGGGAAAGAGAUUGAAGCCGAUCUAACGACACACACCAAACCAACACCAUGAACUCAAUGCUACACCAUUGAACCCCCUAAAAUGUAAUGAGAGACUUUGUUUAUAUAUAUAUAUAUAUAUUUUUUUUUUUUUUUAAGUAGUCGUCAAUGACCACAACACUGAUAGUGAUGGGAGUAAGGGAGAUGAAGAGGAGAAGAAAUGAAUGAAGCAAAAAAUUACUAUGAAACUUAAUUCUUUCUACGUUUGAAACAUAUUUUAGAUAAGAUUACCUUGCUUUGUAAACUUAACCAAAAAAUAUAAUUAAGGUAUAGUUUGGGUUUUAAAAUUCAAGUCCAUAAAUACCUAUUGUGCCAAAGUUUAUAUACGUAUAUGUACAUAGAUGUAUAUGUUCUUUAGGAAAGCAUAAAUAAAUUCGGGUUGAUUGAGCUAAAAGUUGAGUAUUUGUGGGAAGAUUUAGAACAACGAUGAAUUCAUAAGCUUAUUCUGUAAACCUUGACGUUUUAUUACCACAACCUAAGGGAAAUUUUGGAAUAGAAAGGUUGAAAGCGUUAGAAGCCAUUGAGUUUGGUGGAACAACUAAACUGGAAGAAGCUGAAAAAUGGCUACAGACAUUGGAGAAGUGCUUUCGAGUUAUGCAAUGUUUAGAAGAAAGAAGGGUGAAUUUAGCUGGAUUUUUAUUACAAUAAGAGGAUGAAGACUGGUGGAUCCUGGAGGAAAGUAGGCGAGGAAGGGUGAAUUGGAAAGAAUUUAAGGGAAUAUUUAAUGACAAAUAUUUUUUAGUGGCAUAUGUAAAAGAAAAGAGAGUUGAGUUCCUCUAUUUGGAACAUAAAAGACUCCAGUUGCUGAAUAUGAGAGAAAAUUCUCAGAAUUGGCGAAAUACUAUCUUAAUAUUGAUCGCAGAUGAGGGAGAAAGUUAGAGACAUUUUGUAAAUUAAAUGGCUUUUGUGGGAAGAGAUUAGGACACCUAUCGUUCCAAUUUUGAUAAGGAGUGACUACACACAGUUAGUGAACGCAACCCUACGAGUGAAAAAAGAGUUUGGGCUUAAAAAGAUCAAACUCUCACUUAGGCGAGGAAGGAGAAGAAGGAAGCCAUAAGAAAAAAAGUUGUAAUUUUAAUGUAACAAGGCUGUAAUUCCAAGAGUAAAAGUACUAAAAAGUAAUUUUUUGCGUUAUUGUCUUAUUGUUUAAAUUUCGUCUUAUUAAGAAGUUGACAUUUUAUAAAUUCACAGAAAAAAAACUACUACAAAUUUGGCCUUCUUUGAUAUGCAAAGCACGCCAAAAAAUGUCUAUCUUGAUGGUAAAAAGAAUCUAUUUUUUUUCUUCUAUUUUAUUCUCUCACACCCACCUUAGGUUUGAAUCCCCAGGACAACUUGUUCACAAAUAUAUACAUGUGUCAGUUGAGUUAAAUUCAUGUUCUACAAGUUCUACAAAUUUUUAAAACCGUAAAUUAGAAACUUUUAAUUCAACUCUUUGCGUUUAAAUGGGUACUUUCCAAAAGAAUUUAAAAAUAUGUUCUUGUGACGUUUAUUUAAUUAUAAUACAAUUUCAAUUUUGAUAUAUUAUUUACUAUUUUGGUUAUUCAGUUCUUAUUUAAAUUAAAUCGAAAUCGAAUAGAAACUACAAUUGGAAAAAAAAAAAACUAAAAAUUAAACAAAAAUAAAAUAAAUAAUAAUAAUAAUAAUAAUAAUAAUGCAAAAUAAAAAAUUUAAAUACUAUUCCCAACGCAGAUAAUGUGUCGGGAAAAAGGUUUUUUCCCAACUCGUCUACAUGUGUUGGAGAAAAGUUUCACGACGCACUGUCUCCUGACGUGAAGUGCACGUCGGUAGAUUCCUAGGGGUAAGCCGGUGCAUAAUGGACAUCGGUGGAAGUAUCAUCGGAAGAUAUGAAAUACCGAUGAAGUUCCGUGGUGUGUUGGGGAUGGGUCUCCCAACACAAUUUUACCGCGUCUGUCCCGAUGUUGAGUAAUAUGUUGGGAGAGUUGUUCGGUACGUUUUUCUUAAUAUUUCUCGACGUUGUAACGCAUUGGAAAUACAUCAAUCUCUCGUAGUGAAUGUUUUCUAAAUCAAUAUUUUCUAAUAACUUAUAUCGUUUUCCUUAAACAAAAUCCUACAAUAGAAUUUAGGAAAUUUGAUAGUUUGAUUUUCUAGAAUUCUUGAAGUGAGGGAUCAAUAUCACAGGGAGUUCAAGAUUUGAUUCCAAGAAAAAAUUAUUUUGAUCAAUGUUUUAAAAAUAAUAUUUAUUCGAAGACUAGCAUAGAUUUUGAGAAAUUGUAAUAAUCUCAUUUUCUUAAGGUGAGAAAUUUUCCUCAAUAUAUAGUCUAACUAAUGGAAUAUUAUUCCACUUAUUUUAUGAGAUUAUUGCUUCAAAUAUUGGAGUAAAUAAGGGAUAGAAUAAGACAUUGUUUUUAAAAUAAAUUAAAAAAUAUUUUCAAUUCAAGAUUUGAAAUUUGGCUACCGUUUUUCUAAAUGGGUGUUGUGGGGUGCUAAUACCUUCCUUAUACACAAAUGACUCUCGAACUCAAACUCUAUUUUUUGCAUACCAUUUUUUAAAAAAUGUUUACUUUAUUUUAGUGUCCAAUCACACCGUAAAAAAUAUUGGUGGCGACUCGUAUUUUCUUUUAAAACUAACUCUUUUGAGGACGCCGCUCUGCGUCGUCUCGGACACGUGGCGACACUUGGAUUACGAGAAUCAUCGGUUCCUCAACAAACCAAAAAUGAGACGUGUUUAUUGAUUUACAGUCUAGUUUCUUAUGUGUCCUAUGGUUUUUGUUGUUGUCUGUGUCAGACGAUCAACACUUGAAUUGUCAAGCACGUCGUCCAAAUGAAUAUUGAACGACGUGCAACACUUAAUCCAAAACACCGUAGAAAUUGUUGUCGGCACCGCCUCCACUGCCUUCAUCGACUACUAUGACUCUACUGUUCUGUGUUGUGCAUCAAGAAUUAAGCUCCAACAUGCGAAAUCAUACGCCACCGAUAAUGCAUCCAUUAUAAGAGCGGACAUCAAAUGAAUGUCCCAUUGUGAGUGAGAAAAAAUCUUGAGAAAUGUUUGAACUCUCAAGCAAUUCAGCGAUAACCUAAAAUGCGUGUACAUGAAUAGUUAUAUAUAAAAUAUAAAGUAGCACUUGUACGAAUUAUCGAAGUCAUUUACUCUAUAUACUUGAGCUUUGAACCAAUUAGAAAAUGUUCGUUGAUAACGACGUAUCAAUAACACGUGUUUCCUAAAGUACGUAAUUGUGAGUUUAGGUGACAACGAUAAUAAAGACUUAAUAUUGAAUAAAUGGAAGUAUGAAUUGAUUAAUUUGUUUGUGAAUUUAAUAAAUAUGUACUUUGGGAUGCAAAGUUGUGAGUUAAUAAAAAAGUUCGAACUUCUUUGCUUGCUGUUUUGUACUAGCUAGACAACCAUUUAAUUAUACACAUAGUUUUUAUGAACACACUUAAUUAAGAUAUAUAUAACUUAUAAGGUAAAACUUUUAUGUCUUCCAUAUGUUGUAUUUUUAGUUCCUACAAAUUGGAUGCAUCAAAGUUAUUGGAGAUGAGUUAUGUGAUACAAUUGCAAGGGUGUCUAAUGAUUAAAAGGAGUAACAAGAGCACAACCCAAGUGAAAAGAAUAAUACACAUCAUUUCUACUAAGUGAAAGCAUGAUGACCACAUCUUUUUAUAUCUAGGAGAUGAAAUCCAACACCAUGAAGCCACCACCGUUAUGUUUUCAUAAAUUCCAGAUUUGUCCUUGAAUACGGUAAACGAUUCAUCACUUCUCUUUUUUCUUCUUCGUUGUGAUUUCUUUAUCUUCUUUGUGAUUGCCUCAUCUCCUUUUCCAGAUUUUCUUUCUUCUAUUUUUAAAUGAAUAAUUUUUCUUUUUAAAUCUCCCAAUUCAUCUUCAUCACUUUCGACAAGAUUCUUUGAAGCUAUUUCAUGAUUGUUUUAAUAUUCUUCUUUAUCUUUCUCAUAUUUGAGGAUAUCAAAAUCGGUUAAAUAUUAUUUUAAAUUAUAAACACAAUCAUUUACCAUGGCCAACACAAUCGUUUUAAUUUUGAACUUUUUUCCAUCGUUUAAAAAGAACUAUACUAUUGUGUAUCAUGAUCUAAAUGAUCACUUACCAAGUCAACAUACUUGUUAGAUUUAAAGUUUUUAACGAUUAUUUACAUUGAACUACACGAUCUCUUACCAUAAUCAACACGAUCGUUUUUCAUGGUCAAAUUGAUCAAUUGUCAUGGUCAAAUCGAUCAUUUAUCAUAGUCAACACAAUCAUUUAAAUUUGAAGCUUUUUUUUCCAUCGUGAAAAAAACACACUAUCGUGAUUAUGAUCUAAACGACCGCAGAUUGUUUAAAAGAAUAUAAUUACUCACGCGCAAGUGUGACCAAAAUCGCGUGUUGACUGAGAUAUUUUUUGUAUUUUCCAUUGUGGACUUGUGGGCUUUGUCCGUUUUCAAAAUUGUUCUAUACAGUGUAAAUGUUUUAUUGAUUUGUUUUAUUUUUAAAAAAACCCCUUGUAAAAAGUUCAAAUUAUUUAAAUUUUCCUUAUCCUCUUUACCUGCCGUUUGUUUUAUAAAGAAGUUUGGGGAAGGUUUCAAGCUCAAAUUGUUCAUAUUAUUGUGGACAAUAAUGUCAAAUCUAAUGAAAGAAAAAAGCAAAAAAAAAUGUCAUCACAUUCAAUACGGGGAUGUUGCUAUACCAUGGUCCUAAUGGCUCAACAGAAACAACAUAAUCUUCAAUAACAAUAAAAAAACAUGUUAAACCUAUAGGAAGAUUCUUGUAAUUUGCUAGGUCUUUGCUGUAAUAGACACCCUCUUUUCAAAGAUUAUAGACCUACAAUCAUACUAGUAAAUUUUAGAGCUUUGAUAGACUAACUUUCUUCUUCGGCUCAUCUUUAGCCCGCUUGUACCUCGUUGACUUUAUUAAUAUUAUAUGGUGUUUGGUAGUCCUAGUGGUUCCUCUCGAUAGUGAUUUCGAACAUCUUGUUUCCUUCAAAAAAAAAUUAUGCGAAUUAGAGGGUCAUGCAAAUUACUUAAACUCACUCAUUUGGAUAUAUAUUUAGAACUUUUUUAGUUUGUAAUUGAUAUUACUUUAUGUUUUUUUUAGUACCAGUAAAUACAUUAUAAAUUUAGUCUCUAAAAUUUGGGUGUGUCGUCUAAUAUGUCUAGAACUUUUCAUUUUGUAUACAAUAGGUUUCAAACAUACUAACGUUUAAAUGGAUUUUUUAUUGGACAAGUAAUUAAUUUGAUAUAAUUGAGCCUUAAAAUUUUCAAUUUAGUUCAUUUUAAUAUUUAAAAGAAAAACAUACAAUGUAUGAUCUAUUGAGACAAAUUUAGAUUUGUAUAUGAUAUAAUACCAAAAAAAUUUGCUUAAAUUAAAUUUGUAAGAGAUGUGUUCGAUAUAAACUUGAAACCAUAGGAAUCUAUGAAACACACAAUGAAAAAUUUAAAGGUCUAGGUGCCAUGAUAUAAAAACAAAUUCAAAAGUCUAUAGGCUACGCAUUCCAAUCUUAUAUAUAUAUUUUAGAAGAAACAAGCAGGUUAAGGAGACAGAAAGCUCCAUAACCCAUUUAUUAAAACAAAGAAGUUACAAGUAAAGGGCUAGAGUGCAUCCCUUUUCAAAACCAUUACGAGUUAGUUGAUAAAAGCACUUAAAUUUAGAGAGAUUGUGCAUUGACUGUAGCUUUUGAAACAUUUGUGUCUGCUUGACCACAUUCCUGUAAGAUUGCAAAUGUUUUUCCCAAGUUCCUAUCAAGCUUGAUUCUUUUUCUUUGAAGAUCAGGUUGUUUGUGUCCAGCCAAAUAGCCCACAUGAUAGCAAUUGCCAUGUUGAAUCUUAUAUGAUGUUUUUUUAUGCUGUUGUAACUGAGAUUGCAAUGAGAUAGGCAGUGGUCUUUUAUGUUUGUGUCUUGGAUAGAUAGGCCAAUUGUUUCAUUUACUUUUUUCCAAAGCUUUUGUGCUUUAAGACAGUGAAGAAAGAGGUGAUUUAGGUCUUCAUUGGCUAUUUUGCAUGAGGGGAGCUAGUUGGGGCUGAGGCAGUAAGCUAGAGAUCUUUUUUGAAUGGUGUCCAUAUUGCUUAGACGCUCAUGAAUGACACUCCACAUAAAAAUUUGCAUUUUUUUGGUAUGUAGAAUCUCCGAAGAUUUUUUAGAAGAUGCGGUUUUAUGUUUAUGCUGGGGAAGUUCGAUUCCUCAAAGAGUUUGUUUCAUAGAUGCAAUUGUGUACGUGCCAUCCUUACUUGGGAUCCAUUUUGGCGUACUAGGACCAAGAUUCAGUGAAGGGUGGGGAAGGUCUCUUGUGAUGCUCAUCCAAGUGUUUAAUUCUCUGUCAUUGAGCUGCCUUCUUGGCUGGAUGUUCCAACCAUUUGUGGUUGAGUCCUACAUCUCUUUGAUAGAGCCAUUUUGAAGAUUAGAGAUGGCAAAGAGUCUAUGAUACGUUCUGGAUAAUGGAGCAUUUUCGUGCCAAACAUCGCGCCAGAAGGGGAGCUUUUCUCCGUUGUUUAUGUUCCAGGCAAAAUUGGAGUCAAAGAGCCUAGAGAAGCUGGCUUACAUAUGGUGAUGAAAACACAGCAUACUUCCACAAAGUCUGCUCUAUGAAUCAAAGAAAAAAUCAAAUAUCAGAGGUCAUUGACUCCAACGGGAAUAUCCAAUCCACAAAUGACUCUAUAGCAGAAGCCUUCAUAGACCUUUACCACGGAAUCUUCAAUGGAGAAGCCAAGGAAAAUAUGUGGAUUUCAAAUCUUGAUUGGAACGCAAUCGACUCUAAACACCAUGCCUCCCUCACAUCCUCUUUUAAAGAAGAUGAAGUCAGAAAAACGGUCCUAUCCUUUGAGAAGGGUAAAGCCUCGGGCCCGGAUGAUUUUACUAUGUUGUUCUUUAAAAAAUACUGGGCGACUGUUAAGAAUGACAUCACGGGUACCUUUGAUGAAUUCCACAUGAAUGGUAUCAUUAACAAGAAUGUAAACAACACAUACAUUGCUCUUAUCGGCAAGAAAAAUAUAUGUGUGACUACUUCUGACUACAAGCCAAUCAGUCUCACUACAUCCCUUUACAAAAUCCUUGCAAAGACACUGGCCAACAGACUUAGGAUUACCUUGGAGGAAAUGGUUGCUGAAAAUCAGAUGGCUUUUGUAGAAGACAAACAAAUCACGGACGCAAUCCUAAUAACAAAUGAAGCUAUAGAUUAUUGGGAAGCUAAGAAAAUCAAAGGUUGUGUCCUAAAGCUUGAUAUAGAAAAGGCCUUCGACAAAGUUAAUUGGGCAUUCAUUGACUACAUGCUGAAGGUGAAAAACUAUCCUUCAAAAUGGAGAUCAUGGAUAAAGGCAUGCAUUGUAAUAAUGUGCAAUACUCCAUCAUCAUUAACGGCAAACCCUAUGGAAGAAUCAAAUCAAAUAGAGGCAUCCGACAAGGUGAUCCACUAUCACCUCUCAUUUUUGUCUUAGCCAUGGACUAUUUGAGCCGACUACUCAACCACCUGGAAAUGAAAGGUUCCAUAAAAGGGGUUCUUUUCGAAAAUAACUGCAUUUUUAACCACUUAUUCUUUGCUGAUGACAUUUUGGUGUUUAUUGAGGACGAUGACUACUAUCUCAAAAACUUACAAAAUGCUUUGCUUAUGUUUGAGAUAGCAUCUGGACUCAAGAUAAACUGUACCAAAUCUACAAUUAGUACAGUAAAUGUCCCCAACAACAGAAUCAAGUUUGUGGCUGACUCAUGGAAACUCACUACAAAAAGCUUCCCAGUGGAUUACUUAGGCACUCCUCUUGGAAGUAAUCCUUGCUACAAAAUUUGUUGGGAUGACACUAUAAACGCAUUCCAAUCUUAUAGGAAAUUGUGCCCCACAUCAAAUUCUAGUUUCGUCACUGAUAUAGUACACACUAUGUGCUUCAUCAGCCAUGAGUUUCUUAACAUAAGAAAGAAAACAAAUUGAAAUUAAAGCAAAAGAAUGCUCUAACUAGAAAGUCAACUAAAUGAAAAACGUAGCUAUUUUGAUGCAACUCCAUUUGCGGUACCGUUAAUUCCGAAAGGAGGCGAUCAAAAGAAAUUUAUAAAUAUCGAACCUGACUAGUACUACUACUUAAAGCAUACCAUUAGUGGUAUGCACGGGUCAAUCCGUAGCAAAGCAAGGAAAGAUUGUAUAGUAUUUCUAAUAUAUUUGGCAUGUCAUGUUUACAAAAUGAAGUACUCAUGUUUUAUUUUCAAAUAGUGACCGAAUGAUAUUGAUAUAACUCGAUACACUUGAGAUGACCUUUGAUACAUUUGAUACACAAUUGAUGUACAGUUGAUACACCAUACCUCUUUAUAAUGGCGGAUACAGAAAAUUUAUUGACAGGGGCUUCGAGUUAUAACUUAGAGAAAAAAUAAAAAUCUAGAAAAAAAAAAACUAUACAAUGGAGACUUGGACUCUGGUUGGAAGGAGGGCUGACAAAUGAAGUUACCACUAAACUACCUACAAAUAUAUUAAACAAUAAUUGAUUUUGUAAUUUAUACAUAUUAUAUAAAGACAAUAAAGUUGAGGGAGGCUCCUAGACCUAUACUAAAUCCGUCGGUGCCCCUUUAGAUACUUGAUACACUACAGAUGUACACUUGAUGCACACCCUUCCCACGGUUGGACUUGUUUUCAAGUUUUCUUUCCAUUUCUGAUUUUUUUUACUUCGUAGUAGGUAUAUCUUAUACUUGAAAUUAGUGUAAUGAGAUUGUGCUUGAAAUUUUAACAUAUUUGUUGAUUGUUAAUGCACUUAAAAUAUUUAUGUGGAUGUAUUUAAAUACGCUCAAUAUAACUUUUAAGUAAUAUAGUACUGUUAUUGUAUUUCAUGUAUAAUAUCACUUCAAAGAAAGAAAACGAGGUUUGAAUUCCCACUUGUAUUCUUCUCAUAUAAAUUAAACACUAUUAAAUUACAAAGAAGAAGCUAUGAAUUUGAGUUUAUUGCCUAACAAUGAAACGAAAUACAAAUCUUGAUUUUAGAAUGGAACUUGCUUUUUGAGAUGGUGAAAAGGACUGAAAGGAAAAUGGGAGAGAAAAGCAAGAUUCUAUUUCACAUAAGAAAUGUUAUUGCAUAUAUCCAGGUAUGUGUCUUGGUUCAAACCCUAAAGAAUCUUGAUAUGUAUCUACAUUAUAUUUUUGUUAGCAUGCAAAACUACAAAGGGCAUCAGGCAUGCAUGUGGAAACCAAAUAACCCUAUGAAGGUAUAGGUAUAUAUAUAUAUAUAUAUAUAGAUUGGACUUGAAGGAAUGUAUUUGAAAUAUAAAAAAGAGUUAAAAAAAAAUGUUUGAUCAGGCAUCUCCUAGAGUUCCCUUCCAAGCACUUCAGGAGAAAGUGUGAAGAAAUUGAUAUUUCUUUAGUGAAGUGUUUGGGGGAACUCUGGGUGUAACUUGGUCCUAAUUAAUAUUAAUUCCUAUUUUCCUUUCAAACUUUGCAAAACACACCAGUUGGAAUGUUCAAAUUAUCCUUUUUGGUAAGUUUAGUUUUCAUGUUCAUUUCUUUAGGUUUCUUUCACAUCUAGCCUUCUUCUUUCCUUUUCUGUUUUUUAUUUUCUAAAGAAAAAAUAAAUACUUGACUUGUGAACCUAUAAAUAGUGUAAUAAUUUAUAGGCAUCACAUCCUUGAUCCAUCGGUCAAAAGUUAGUCCAAAUCUUUAUCCAUGUGUUAUUCAAACACGUUUGAAGCAUGAAGUUGGUUGAUAUAAUCUUUAAGUUAUUAUAUUAUAGUUGGAUUAUAGUAGUAUAUAUGUUUACUAUGUAACUAUUUUAGUUUAAUAAAGAAAUACUAAGUAUUGGAUUAAAGAAUAAAAUGAUGAUGCUAAAAUAAUAAAUAUUGUAGCAAAUGAAUGGUUCUAAAGUAGUGUUUAGUACCGUUAAUUAGAGACUUUUAGAUAGUAUCCACGUAGCAAUAUGUGGCUAUUAUAACGUUAGAAAGUCUUUGUCCCAAUAAGAUUAUAAAAAUCAUAGAAUUCUUGUUUAAUUUAACAAAUAUAAGUUGUGUUUCUUCAAAAAAAAAAAAAAAAAAGAGAAAUAAAAUUUAAAAUCAAAAAAACAAAUAUGAAGCUUGUUGUAUGCUUCAUGAUCCAACAAAGAAAAUUAAUGAUUAUAUCCAUAAAGGGAAGAGUUGCAAGAGAUUUUGAAUGGAAGAAAGGUGUAUAGGCUUAAUUUUUAAAAACAAAAAAUGAAAUAGUGAAAUAAUUACUAAAGGGAACGUCCACCUUUGUUAGAACAAAAUGGUGAAAAUAGAAAUAGAAAACAAUAGAUGGAGAAAUUUCCUCUUAUGUAAUGUUAGGGAGGGAGAACAUGCUACAGAUUUUCAGGAAACUCUCUUGAAGUGUUCAUGGGGUAUUCGUCUGGGUAACGACCAUACUAACCCACAGUUUGGAUCAUUUGGAGCACCACCCACAAUGCAGGUUGAAUGCCUAAUCAACGAAACUUUUCAAACCAAUUCCCAAUGGAGAGUUCCAACUUUGAACUCAAGAGAUCUUUACAACUCAAUACAGAGAAAAAACACUUAAAUAAUCUAAACUCAUUAGCUACUAAGCGAUAAGCACAACAUGGAUACACAAACACAACACAACAAAAAAAAAAAUAGAAAACAAAACUCUACUUUUAUUACUUGAUCCAAAUCCUUUACGAUUACAUUUUUUUCUUGCAAGGUACAAAAAUAAAACUUAAGCUCUAAGUUUCCCACCUUCCUUCACCCACUAGGAUGCUACUAUUUGCGUAUAGGUGUUUAGCAGUGUAAGAAUCAUUUUCUCAUCCUUCUUGAAUUUUAUCUUUAAAAUAAUCAAUCUUUUCAUUUUAGAAGAAUCAUCCCACGCCUUGGUACCUCUCUUCAAUUCAACAGGACUCCCUUUUUCAGAUUUGGGCUCACAUAGUUUUCUUCUCACAUCUUCUUGAGUAUAGUUUGAAAAAAAUGGAUAUAAGUUUGAGUGGAAUGAAUGAGUCCUUCGAAAUAUAGAGGAAUUAACAAGUCCUUCACUUCAAUGCCCACUACGCGGGAGGCUAACAUCAAGGCGAUCGAUGAGUUCUAAAGGAUGAAAUUAGGCUUUCCGUAUUAUUUUUUGGUUUAAAGUCCAAGAAAGAUAUUCCAUGAUCAAAUUUCCGAUAUUAUGUCUUUUGUUUCUAGGAGAUUGAAUAGUUAAUUUAUUGUCUUUUACUAUUUUAUAAUUUGAAUGUUUGUAAUAAAUAUUCAUAAGACAUCUUGUAAUUAACUACUAAUAUAAAGGUCAUAUAAUAUUUUUAAACUUAAAAAUUUUGGAAAUGUGUAUCUAAAAUUAUUGAUUUGAAUUUAAUUCAUGAUAACAAAUAAUACUAAUUUUAAAUUUAAAACCACAUUCUCCAAAAAAAAAAUGUUAGGAAUUUUAAAGCGUUGAUCUAGAAAUGCAUAAUGAAAAGAUAUAUUAAUUUAAGAUUAAAAGGCAUAAUGAAAAAUAAGGUCAUUUUACUUUUGUAAGACCCGUUUUUUUAUUUGAGUACAAGAAGUAAAAUGCAGCUAAGUAUUAAAAAAGUCGGCGUUUGAAUAAAUCCGCAUAAAGAAUUAAGCGAUAAAUUUAUGGUUAAGUAUAAGUUUCACGAUUAAGAAGUUAAUUCGCGAGGAAGUUUUGAGAAUAUAAGGGUUUGCAGUAGAAUCUAUAAAUUUAAACGCUCUCAAAAGAAAUAAGUUGCAAAGUUUUGGCUAAAACGACUAGGGGAUUGGGUAGUCUUCACGAUAAGAACCAAGGGUUUCACGAUGAAGAAGUCUGCGAGAAAACCUUGAAAUUUAAGUUCGUGAUAAGUGUUCUAAGCGAGUAAAAGUUGGUUAGUUCACGAGGAAGGUUUCUUGUAGUAAAAAUAGAAUCACGCGAUAAGGUUAUUCGCUAGAAGUGUUAAGUAGUUAAAGUUAUUUGCGGUAUGGGGUUAGGCAAGAAGUAAGUCUGAUUUGACAGGGUUAACGUGUAAGAUUAAGAAGUUAAAGCAUGGCUGGGUUGAAUACUAAAUUUACACGUGUAAAGUUUUAAGCAAGAGCUAACAAACCGAUAAGAGUUUAAGCAUGACUAAGAUAGUUUAAGAGCUCUAUAAACAGAGAACUUGGUCAUUAAGUAAGCACAAAAAAGAUUUUAUUAAAAAAAAAAAAAAAGAGCUAAAAUGUUGCUUUUGCUUUGGUGAGAAGAAGAAAAACAAAAUGUUAAGUACGGCGGUUUGUUCCGCAAAAAGGCUCUACGAGAAGAAAAGGAAGAUGAUGGUUUUUGUUAAAGUGUGGUGAGUGGUUUUCUUCUUAAAAGUUUUAUGGUUCCGCUUUACUAUUUUGAAAGAUGAUUUCAAAUGAGAAAGUAUUUCAAAAAGAAAUUUCUAUGAAAAGUUUAUAUGUGUUCAAGCAUGAUUUAUAAUGUUAGAGCUUAAUUUGAUGAUUGCAAUUUCAAUGCUAUGAAAUGGUUUUCAAUGCAUUAGUUGGUUCUUUGAGAUAAUGCUAACUUUUAUGUGCACAUAAAGAGUCAAGGCCACCAUGAGGUGUAUAAGGUGAUAAGGUGAUAAGAAGUUGGCUUAUGCGUUGAAAGAAGCGUAUAAAGCUUAGCGACCUGAGCAACAAGAACAAAUCUGUAUGUUCUCGAAUGUUGUUGAUACAGUAGUCAAACAUGAGGUAAUGAGACCAAGCGUAAAAAACGAUUUGUGAUCCUUGGCGAAAGGAAUAACUAUUAACUAAUGUGUGUUUAUGUAAAAUUAUUCUAUUAUAAACGUGUUUGUUAAGCAUAAAAAAAGUUUAUGCGAGAUGAAAUGAUUUGAUGUUAUUUAUGCAAAAUGAUGUUUAUAAAAAGGUAUUGCGAAAAAUAUUUCAUAAAAUCUCGUGAAGUCUUUUAGACUUACGUUUUAAAAAUCUCAACUUCCAAGAUGAGACGUUUAGGCCAAAGGAUUUGCGGCAAGAUGACUCCAAACAUUUUGGAAAUAAUUAAGCAUUGGUUAUUUGUUUAAAGUGUUGUAAUUAUAUAUCAAAAGUCUAUUAUUAAUAAAGUAUACGUUUUGAUCGAUAUUUAUUAUACUUGACGUUUAGGUUGACCACUGUUGCGUUUUGAGUUUUGUUGACAAUGUAAAAGGAGUUGAAAAUAAGAUUUUGCGAUAAGAAAAUUCCAAGAUUGUAACAAACUCGCAUCCUAUUCUACUGCUUCGUCAUUAUGGUCGCAGUACGAUUUGGAGUGUGACAAUUUUCUUAUUUCAACUAGAAAAAAAGGAAGGAAUAUGAUAAAAAGAAUAUGCAAGAAACUUUUUCAUUCCACUCACGUACAUAACUUCAAAGAAAAAAUAGUUUCAAAGAAAUAGAAAAGAAGAUUAUUACAAAAAGAAGAAGAUAUUUGUAUAUUUGAUCUCUAGCACGUGUUUAAUGUGCAAAGAAAUAAAUAAUGUCUUCUUGCAUUUUCCUCUCCACCUAAUUGAUGAUGCAAUUUUUUAGAUUCACUUUUUAUUUUAUCUUCUCAUCUUUUUUUGUCUCCUUGCACUUUUUCCUUCACUUAAGGAGAUACCAUAGAUUUAUAUCGAAUAAAUUGGUAAAAAGUGUGGUUAGAAAUUUUAAAACCCUGCCUUCGAUAUAUUAUCAUGCUUAAAAAAAAAACUCUUCCACUACUCAUAUUAUAUAGUUAAUUAGGGGUAAUGAAUGUUUUUCAAUUAAAUAUUGAAACAUGAAGUUGAAUGACAAAAUUGUCAUGAAAUGAAUAGUAAAAACACUUGUAAUUAAAUGAUAAAAUGGACUAAAGAAAAUAUGUGGACAUAGGAGCUGGAUAUUUUUCAAAUUUAUUGAGGGUUGAUUUCUUAGUAAAUGAAAAAAAUAUUUAGAGAUUUAUUGUACUUUUCAAAAUAAUAAUUAUAAUAUUGUAGUUUUUAAUAAUUUUGUUUUCUCUCCCCAAUUUGGUUAUUUUGUAAAUUUAUAAUUGCGUGAAAAUUUAUGUAAAUUUAUAACUGUAUGAAAGUUUAUAGUUGUAUUUUUUAAUUAUUAAAAAUAUGAUGUAGUUUUUAAUUAUUAAUAAUGACAUGUAAUAAAAAAAUUAAAUGUAGAUUAAAAUAUUUUCUAAUAAACAAAUUACAUUAGUUUAAGAGAUAAAAAAUAUUUAGUUCCAAACAUAUGCCCCAACACAUAAUAAUAUCUUCCUCCUCUAAUCUCUAUCUACUUUCUCAAUAAUAAAAUAAUAAAAGUUUUCUUUUACCUUCAAAUAAAUUAAAUUAAUCAUUAUUUUUCUUUUACCGAUGAAAAGUGAUGAAUAAAAUAAUAAAUAGAUUUUAAAAAUUUCCAAAAUAGGUUUCAAAACUUCUCUUUUGCUAAAGAUAAAAAUAAUAAAUUUGUUUUAAUACUUUAAAUUCUCUUGAGCUAAAAAUUAAAAAGAGAAAGGAAAAAAUGAGGAAUAAAAUAAUAAAUAUGUUAGGAAAAACAAUUCUAAAUAAUAAAUAUUUUCUUUUUUAUAGUUAUACUGGGUUGGAUUAAUAUAUAUAUAUAAAAUAGAAUCAUCACUAAUUUGAGGAAAAAGUAUAAUGGUUAUUCAAUUUGUAAGUUUCUUUUCAUUUAAUAUUGAUCUAUAAUGUUAUGAUAAGAAAAAAUAAUAAAAUAAUAAUAAAAUAAUUUUAAAAAAUAUAUAAAAAUUUAUCUCGAAGCAUAUAAUACGUCGGCAUAAGGGUUUUCCCUCGAAGUCAUUUCCAUGACAUUAGAGAAACCUUUUCCUGACGUCAUGUCAGAGCAUCAUUAUCAGACGUGAGGAGAUGAUGUCAGACUUACCUCAUUACCGACGUAAUCAACGACGUUGGGGAUAAUACACGCCUGAAGUCGUUCCUUUAGCAUGUCGGCCAAAGUUCUCUCGACGUUUUGGUUGACGGGGUUAUUUCUGACAUCAAGAGAACUUUUGCCAAUGUUUUUUUUUUCCAUUUUUUCUAACACACUACUGCAUCGACAAUACCCAUUAUCCUUGUAGUGAUAUUAUGAUUAAGGGGUCUGUUUAUCGUCUUCAUACAUGGAUGUCGGUCAACGAGUUUGUCUAUCCUUGUAGUGAUAUUAUAAUUAAGAGGUUCGAAUAUUUAUACUAUGAAGCACAUGCACUAGUUUCAAAUCGACAAAAGUACCAACAAGAACUAGAGAAUCAAGAGGAGCCAAAACAACAUAAGAGUUCAGAGUCAACUAGCACAAUGUCCAGGUCGAACACGUUUAUUUUAUUUUAUCAUUUAAAUAAAUGUAAUUUGGUUAUUAAAAGAUAUUUUAAUUUACAUUUAAGUUUUUAAAUUAAAAGUCACUGUUAAAAAACCUGUUCAACACUCAUAUUUUUAAUAAUUAACAAUUAAAAAUUUACCGAACGGUUGAACCUUUUUUUUUAAAAAUCGAUUUGUGGAGUGUGAAGUUCUCGACCUUCUCAAAAAGGUAAAGUUGCUUCGGCUACGACAUUCAAAUAAAACGUCCCUCCAAAAAGCCACCUGAUCAACCUCAUUUUCCCUUCCCCUUUCUCACUGCCCACACGUCGAUCCCCGCCCCUUGCCACCGCGCAUUUCUCACCGUUUGCGGCAAACGGCCAGCCGCAACCAGCCAGCCUCGUGAUUCCGACCAACUGCGCGAGAUAGGAGUACGCCCUUUAGCCUUUCUGUCUGUGCCAUCCACAAUCGAUUUUGCCGCCAGUCGAGUCACUCCAACACCCAGUCACUGUUCAUCACUCUUUGGGAGCCGCAUCACCGUUAACCUUGCUCUUUUCUGACCAUUACACCUCGAAUCUAAUAGAUUAGUGGUAAGUUUCAGUGUUUUAGUUGGGUUUUUUUUCCCGAAGAUUUCGAAUAUACAUUGAGUUUUGGCUUGGAUUAAACAAUACCCAUCAUGUUUCUUUGUUAGAUUUGAAUUUUUUUAAGAGUUAAGUUGUUAUCCAGCCGGUAGGAAGUUUAGUCUAGAUAGAAACGUGAUUGAUAUGAGUCUAAGGACAAGGAAAUUUCUCUAUGGAACGUGUUAGAAAUAUGGGCUUAGGUUUAGCCCAUAAUUUUUCAUUCUUUUAAUUAGGCUCUAAUUGCCUGUAAAUUUUCCCCUUGGGUAUCUUUAGCACCCCUAGUUUCCAUAUAAAUUUGUGUUCUUUGGCUCUACUUUUCAAUAGAACAAACAUGGGAUUGCAAGAACUUUAUGGUUUUGAGCGGACAUAAGAACGUAACUUUAGAUCUUCAUGGGACUAUUGAUGGGUCUCAGAUAGUUUGUACCAAUCUUGACAAAAAUUGAGAACAUGAAUAUUAGUGUUGGUAAAUAAAUAUUAAAUUGUCACACUUAAUUUAGCUCAACGGUGAGUGACACAACCUUCCAUCCAUGGGUGGAAGGUUUGAUCCGCCAUCUGCACAAUUGUUUAUUUUUAAAAAAGAUUAAAUGAUCAUUUUUUAAUUGUAAUGACUAAAAUGGACCUAAUAUCAUCAUUUUUUUUUAUGAUUAAUAAUCCCAAACCUUUUUUGGACGACACAAGUUUUGUAACUAAUAUUGUUAAUGAAAUGAGUAUGGGGAUUUCCCCUUGGAAUCUCACUAGUAUUCCUAGCAGAGAGGAUCCAUCCUUGAUCCAUGCUCAAAUUUUUAAUUUUGUGGAGGCCAGUGUCAAUUUUGUCUACCUUGCCAUUUUCUGUGUCCUUGCAAAUAUAUUCUUAUUCUACUUUGAAUUUUUAAUUUUCAGGGUAUUGAAAAGACUUAGUUGGCAAUGUCAAAGUAUGAAUUUCCAAGGCUUCCACGGGCAGAUAUUGUAUUACUACUAGCAGAUAAUCAAAUUGCUGCUGUAACAGAGCGGGACCUCCUUCAACCCUCACCUGAUUUAGUUUCGGAUCUCUACACGCAUUUAAUGAUCUACCUCGACCUUCUCCAUGAGUAUUUUCUCUGCUGAUACCCAUUAUUUCAAAAAGUACUUGAACUAAUGUAUGAAAGGAGGAAAGAAAAAAGUGGAUUUGCGUGUAUUCACUCCUUUCAGCAUGUUGAUAUCCACAAUUUUUAUGGUGUGAAUUUGGUUUCUAAUAACCUGGUCAACUUUUUCUUCCUUGCUUUUAAGAAAAUUUAUAUGAAUAUGGUAGUCUUAUCUUUCCUUCUUUAGUUUAUAAUAGGAAUUGAGGUAAUUCAUAAUUUAUGCUUGGUUUCUUAGGUUUGGGGUAGUCUUAUCUUUCCUUCUUUAGUUUAUAAUAGGAAUUGAGGUAAUCCAUAAUUCAUGCUUGGUUUCUUAGGGUUGUUUGGGGGUAAGGUGUGGAAUAGUGUGGCGUAAGAAGUUAUGAAGUUUAGGGAGUCAUGAACUUUUGGGGUUCACAGUGUAAGAAGUUGAUAAGGCAUUAAAUUGAUGGUUUUUAGUGGUGUGACCCACAAACUCCUUGGACCAAACAAGUGGAGUUCACAACUCCCUAUUCCUAUUCUUACUCCUAAACUCCUUACAUCCUUAGAGAAUUCAAAUUAUUGAAAUUGAAUAGAGAUUUCAGUGUUGAGAAAUUAAAAAGUGUUGGUAUCUCUCUAUGACGUUCUUUUAUGGGAAGAAAGCAUAAAGAAUUCUAAAACAUCAAGGACAAAAAUUAAGCAUACCCAUUAUGGGACAUGCCUUGACUUGAACUGAAAACCACCCAGAUAAUUCGAAACACCAAGUACUCAAACGAGCUAAUUCAAAAUGUUCAAAUCUAUUCAAUGAAGAGAUUAGUUUCUUUUUCUUUUUUUUUAAAAGCUAAAAUGUAAAGGUCAGUUGUAGGUACUGCCGUACUGAUUUUUUUCGCCAUUAACAGCCCAAGGAUAGAUGACUUGUCCAUGUUUUUUUCUGGAGACUUGUCCAUGUUGUAACAUAGUUGGGCUACCAAAAACUCGUUAUGUACAAUGGAUCUCUGUAGUGGCAGAGCUUUUCCAGUGACAAUCACAUUUUAUUCCGUAUUAGCUAAUCAUUUGGUUUUGGUGUUAGACGUCAGGUGCUAUAGAUAUUCCUAAUAUGUUGUUUUAGUGAACUGUCUACAAUUCAUGGUAUUCUUGGGUUCAUCACAAUGGUACAGAUGAUAAACUCUCAAUUCUUUUGGUAAAAGUUUGUGGCAUGUCUUAUUUCACAAGGCCAACACUACUUGUUAUUCUCACAUGCUUAUCAUUCUCACAUGCAUGGAUCAAAUGAAAAUGCCGAAUCAAGAUAUUCAUACAUAAUAGGGUGACGUUGUGUAGAUUGACAGUAGGACGUUGCAAAAUAUUCAUUCUUGAUUGUUAAUACUUUGUAACUUUAUUUACCCUAGUUCAAACUUGAGGUUAUUGAACCGUUCGAGGGCCUUUUCUUUAAGAAAUUAUAUAGUAUCAAUGUGGAGUUUCACUAUCUAUGUAUUCCUUUUAGGAAAGGAAGCAAGCCUUUUCAUUGAUAUAAUGAAUGAGACUAAUGCUCAAGGUACAAAGCAAAAUUGAAUGAAUAAACUCCUGAUCCCCCUUGUUGUACUUUGAGCUUUGUCUCAUUUCAAAAAUUCAAUGAAUUGACUAGUUUCCUUUUCAAAAAAAAAAAAAAAAAAAAAAAAAAAAAAAAAAAAAAAAAAGAAAAAAAAAAGAAAAAAAAAAAAAAAAGAAAAGAAAAGAGAGAGAACGAAACUAAUGGUAUAGGCACAAAGCAAGUUGUUUAUGUAUCCCUAUUCAUUGAUAUAAUGAAUGGUCAAAUAGCAUCUGUGUAUUCAUGCAGUUAUCUUUCUCCUUUUUCGUUCUGGGUCCAUGAAGUGUUUUAACUAUGAACUUUUUUGUUUCCCUAUGUUCGGACCCUUUUAUUGAAAGGUUACAUUUCUCUGUUAUUGGUUAUUUAUGCAGGGAAGACCAAGGACAAAUUGAGUUUGCUGCCUUGGAUCAGCUUGAGAACCCUGAUCUGCAUAUGGUUUCAGUCCCGACAAUGAAGUUGCACAACAAAAUAAAGCAUUUCAUUGCCUCUCUUGACUGUCCAAAAAAGUUUACGUUGAAGGAUUUGAUAAAACCUGAAACAGAUAGGACUGAAAUUUUCCUUAGCGCAAUACUGAACUUUGGCAUUCACAAGUAUGGCAAUCUUCUUAUUUCUCUUUAUUGUCUUUUGCACUUAAGUUCUAUUAAAGCUUUAUUUUGAAUUGUUCAACGGUUUAUUCAAGAUAAAUCUGUUCCUUGGAUUGCACACUUUGUUUCAAUCCGGGUUUAAGCCUCUUCACGUUUGAUCUGGAUUGAUUUCAUUCUCUGUUCUAUUUUUGGUGUAUAUAUUUUGAUAUUUUAUGUUGAUUUCCUUGUACUUUGAGCAUCAUUUAUGAAUCAUAAGUUUUGGUUCCUUCUUUUAAAUGAAAACAAGCCUCUUAAUUUAUUAUUAAUAGAAGAAACUUAAGCUCAAAGUACAAGAGUAUUAUACUAAGAGCUAGAGAAAAGAGAAAGAUUCUAUCUACAACUACAACAAAAGCUAAAAAACAAAUUCCAAACAGAAGAGAUCAAGGUAAACAGAACCAUAACCAUAGAAAUCUAAAUACAAAGCAUAAUGAAAAAUUUCUCUCAUGAAGAACCCAUUCGAAAGUAAAAACUUGCAAGAAGAUGCAACCAACUGCCUUGAAGCUGCCUUGGCACAAUACUCUAGAUUCCAGGGAAGCUCGAAAAAGUCUUCCACUAUUUCAGUAUCGACGUGAAGGCUUUACUUGCCACCCACAUGAAGAGAAAUUCAAGAAAGACUGAAGUUGGACCAACAUGAAGGAGGAAUACAUUAAACGACUGAAGAAUCAAAUUAAAAUAAUUCCACAAUCAGCAACUAUUGAUUUCAAAUGAUCUGGUAUUUUACAAGGCCGAGGAUAAGAAUGAGUUGCAGAAGGAAAAUUUGCGGAUCUUGGCUCUUUCUUGCAUUGAAACAUGGUAUUGAGAUUUGAAAUCUGUUUCUAGAGGCUAGAGAUGUCCACAAGGUGGGGUGGGGACGGGGAUGCCACUCCUCGUCUCCAUCCUUGCCCCCUAUCCCUACAAAUUCCCCCGUGGGGAAUGGGGUGGGGAUUCCCCCAAGGGAUUUUGUGGGGAUUGGGUUCCCCACGAGGAAAUAUUCCCCGCUUUUGUUUUGAUAAAUAAAUAAAAUAAACAAAUAAAAAAAAUAAAAAAAUAUAAAAAAUAUAUUUGUUAGAAUUAGUGGGCUUCGCCCUUGGAGUAUUUAUGGAUUGAUUAUGGAAAGAUUUACCCUAUUUCCUAAAUCUUUUCCUUUUUUAUUCCUUGUUACAUUCUAUUUAUUCUCCCUCUUUGUUCCUAUUGUAUUAAUUCAUUAGAAGACAUAAAAUUAACAAUAUUGUGGUUUUUCUCCCGGUAGCGUGGCUCUUCAAAUCUAAUCGUGUUCACAUUGCUUUCCUUGGAGUCCAAAUUUAAAUUCAUUGUCGCUUCAAGGGAGGUAUUUGAUGCCGACAAGGCUAAAUUCUGGCGAGCUUCCUGUUCCAAAGCUUCAAAAGGAUUUCUUAUACAUGAAGGAAUUUUUCGAAUUAAUCUUAGAUAUUCCACCCCCUCUGGGAAGAACGAACCGUCAACUCCUUCAUCUUUCAAAACCUGGUUUAAUCUUUGCAAGUCAAAUGAGUUUGAAAAAUUCUCAAAUGAUAAAUGACCCUUGGUUAAUGGAGGAGGCUCGAUUUGUUCAAAAUCACCAAAGUGUAAGAAAAAAUUCCCUUGGUUGAAGUUUGUUAUUUCUAAUGUAGCAGGUACAAAAUCACAUUGGUUUCUUUUUACUUGAAUCUUUGCUUCGAAAACAUUUAGUAGGUUAAGCAUUUUAGAAGCGAUGUUUUUCAAACCUCCAAAAUGAUCUCCUAUAACUUUGAACGUCUGAUUGCUUCAAUAAUCAAGAGGGAGGUUUUUUAUUUUAAUCCAUCUUCUAUAUCCUUCAAUAACGGAUGGUCUGCUAUGUUUACUUUUGCUCCAUUUCUCAAACUUUAAAUGAAAAGGACCCAUUACUUGCCACAACUCUUCUUUUCCAAUGAACUCUUCUAGAGAACCUUCAACCAAUUUAAUCAAAACGUUCUUUGCAAACAAUGCAUUAGUGGUUAUUUUUUAUUGAAAAAGAUUCUCUAAGGUUUUUCUAAUUUCCUUCCAAUCAUCAAACGGAAAUAAUCCAUAGAUUAUCGAAGUCUUCUAUUAAAACUUUCGGAUUUUUAAUCACCAAUGCUGAGUUGCACUCUAAAUUUCUAAUUCAGAUGUCAGAACAAGGGAAGUGCUUUGUUUUACCAAUUCCCAAAUAGAGGAUCCAUUAAGCAUCACCUUUUCUGCAUAACUUGCCCCUAGUGACUUGGAAGGAAGUUGCAAGGAGGUAUGGGGAUGCUUUUUGUACCAAUUUGAAUAAUUGUGCUUCAUUAAGAAACUUUCCAACAUUUUGUGAAAGGGUUCCUGUUGAGAGACACCAGUACAAAUAUGGAUGAAGGGUAGUUUUUUGUUCCUCUUCCAAGCUACACUCCUCAUAACCCAACCUACUUUUGACUAUUUUUUUUUUAAAAAAGGUCUUAUUUAGUACAACAUGAGGUGGGAGAUUUGAACUUGAGACUUUUUGUCCUUUAGGAACAUACAGAUGCCAGUUGAGCUGAGUUUAUGUUAGCCUUUUGACUUAAAUUUUAAGAGCGUUGUACUUUCAAAAUCAUCAAAACCGUUUUGAAGAACAAAACCAUUCUCAGGGCCACACAAGAAUUAUGAAAUCUCCUUCAAGAACCAUCUGAGACACUCAGUGUCUGAUAAUGUCAAGAUCUUUCGAGCUUCCAUGUCUUCUAUAUGGAAGUAUUCUUUGUCAAACCAAAUAUAGUAAAGGGUAUUCGCUACUUUGCAUCUUUCUACUUCCGUUAUCACCAAAACCAGACUGCCACUUAACAGGGAUGGACAAGAAGAACAAGCUCUAGGGGACUUAUUGGAGAAGAAGGAUGAGGAACGUCAGGGAAAAAGGGGGCCAGAGUGUGGUUAGGGACGAAAGGAAGGAAGGGAGGGGAGAGGAGAGAGGAGAGGAGAUAGGAGAGAAGAGAGGAGAGAGAGAGCAUUUUUCAACUGAGAAAUAAGAGAAUUAAAGAAUAGAAGAUAUUUGACAAUACUAAUAGAGGUUAUGCAGUUCCUUUUUUAAAAAUAAAAAGAAAAACGCAAGUGUAUUGGUUUGGUCCAGUCACUCUAAUGGGUUUAUGAGCCAACGUAGUGUGGCAUUGACCGAGUAAUUUCAACUUAUUAUUGGGAUUCUAGUGCAUGGUAAACAAUUUUAAGUAAAUAUUUCAAUUAGAGGAGGUUAUAAUUUUGACUGGUACUUAUGAUGCCUCACUUAUUUUUUUGGCUCAUCAGAUUAAAUUAAAUGAAGGCUACAUCUUCUUGCUUGUUGGUUUGAUUAUAGGUUUGUUUUCUUCAUGCUGAUUGGAUGAAUGGAUGGAUGAAGUAACAAAAAUUAUCACUUCAAUUUGUUAUAAUUUAUGGUUUACAUGCUUGUUGUCUGUUACAUCCCACAACUUUGUUUUGCUGUUGGUCAUUACAUACGCUUCAUUUUCUUAUUCAAUGGGCAGGCAGAGGAUGCAUAUUUCAGCGUCUUUUAAAUAAGUUCCUUCUAUUGGAAUCUGUAGAUGUAGCAUGAUAUAUAUCUUUGGAAGUACAUUUUUUCAUGGAUAAAUAUAUAGAUAUAUGCUAAUCCUCAGUUAUGAUUGUUACAUUUCCAUUUGAAGAGAUGCCAAAAUGAAUUUCCAUGCUCCAGUUAUGAAUGAGCUAGAUACUUUUGCUGACCAGCAAAGGGAAUGGGAGGUUAAAACUUCUCAGGUAUUUGAAUCUCAGCCAUUCUUUGUUUAUUUUCUUUUCAGUUUGAAAAAUGGUGGAUAAAUAUAUUUUUUCCCCUCAUUUAUAUGAAAUUGUGUGUUAUAGUUGAAUGCAGAGAUCACGGAGUACAAUGAAGCAAGAGAAAGGGAAAUGCCUUUUGUUCAAGAGAUUGAUGCUAAAGUGAAAGAACUACAUCAAACUAUUGGUGGACUUAACAAUCAACAGGUGUCAUUACGUGCUUCAAUCCGUAAGUUGAAAGAGAAAGCUGGAGAAAUGGAUGAGAAGGUUAGAUAACAUUUUCUUUGUAGGAAACAAAGACUUGUAGAAACGGAUGAGAAGGUUAGAUAACAUUUUCUUUAUAGGAAACAAAGACUAGUAUGUUUAUACUAACAAGAUGUACAAAGAAAAAAGGAGAUGAAACAUGGUAUCAAAACCAUAAGCAAAGUUAACCUCUGAAUUAUCCUCAACAAAAUCACCUUGUGCUAGAGUUUUUAAUAUUUUCACUACUUGUACUAACAGCUGAAUCUUCAAUUAAAUUUGUAACUAGAAAGAUUGUCUCUAGGAGGGGAUGUCUUAAAUAACCAAUUGACCCAAAAAGCUUAAACUAGUAGGUCAGUAGAUUUAAUUAUAUAUCACUAACACUCUCCUUGGAUAUGAACUUGAAAUAUUUAAAAGGCUCAACAAGUGGAAAUCAAUUUUAAUUGGGGAGAAACUAACAUUGUAGGGGCUUGAACGUAGGACCUUCUUGGAUCACUUGAUUUGAAACCAUCUUAAAUUACCAAUUGACCAAAAAACUUAAGUUAGUGGGUGAAGGUAAAUUUAAUUAUAUAUCACUAAGUAGGAUGACUAUGAACUUUUUUUUUUUUUUGAAAUGGAGACAAGCUUCUUUAUUAAUGUAAAACUCAAAGUACAAGAGAAUUAUACAGUGAGAAUAAUAUAGAAGCCAAAAAAGGGGGUAGGGGAUCAAGAGGCGUAUCCGUGCUGGCGCCAACAUCUUAAAUCAAGGAAAAUCCAAAGACCAAAAGAAAAUCCUAGUACAGCAAUUACAACAGUGCAAAACAGCCAAAAAGUAAGAAAAAAAACUGAAGGAAAAAAAAUCUAUACAAGAAAUGAACCAAAACCAGAAAAGACUGGUUUUCCAAAACCAGUGGACCGGUAGAACUUGGGAAUGUUGAAGAUGCAGGAGGAUCAACAGCAGAAUAAUCAUAAAACUUGGAGGGACAGCCCAGUUUAAACCAUAGAACUUGAAAGGAGUAAUCAUUAAAUUCCAGACUAGCACCAGAAAGAUCCUGCUUCUAACCCACAUGGUCAGCAGCCCCCAGAAAAUCCUACCGAAUCUACAAAGGACCAACCAAUGACCUUAGAGCUUUGAAGUGUUUUAUAAAAGCAUUAUUAAAUCUUUCCAUUUUAGAUUCCUUCAAUGGUGGCAGUAACAAAAUUGCAGUGACAAAUACUUCCUAAAUUGCUCAGGCCAGAAUAAUACCACAAUCUUUGAUAUGGACACCAACUCCUUCGGAAAAUCUGAGGAUUUUAGUGGGGAGGACAAGGGGCAUCGACUAGCGGGGCACCAUCAGCUUCAAAAAGAUCGUUUAAAAGAAACAUUUGAUCUAGGGAUAUUAAGGAUUGUGUGGCUGAAAUUUGAACUGAGAGGCAAAGGAUGUGGUUGUCUAUGCAAUGUGAAUUUGCUGGUAGAAGACGUGUACAAGAGUCCUCCAGGGCAUUCGAAUUGAACUCUGAAUGUUUCUUUGUAGAUGACUAGAAAGAGGAUAAUAAGCAAAUGAAAGCUACUACGGGAUAGUGGACUAUGGAGCAUUAGAUCAUAUGACAGAUAAUAGAUCAUUAUUUCUCAUAUUUUUCUCUUCAUACGAGUGACCUUUUUGCUCGAAUUUCUGAUGAUACACUCCCUAAGGUAAUUGUGAUCAGAAGUAUCCAAAUUUCAAGCUCCAUAACUCUUGAAUAAGUUUUGUUUGUGCCAUAAUUGGAGUAUAAUUUGUUGUUUGGAAGCAAGUUGAACAAGGACUUGAAUUGUGAAACUAAAUUCCUUGCAAAAUCUUGUAGUUUUCAGAAUUUUGGACUGGGGAUGAUAAUUGGCAUAUGCUAAAUUAUGUGUUUGGUUGUAUCUUCUCAAAGCAAUGAGUUCCCACCAACAAUAGAACACAUUAAACUUGUAGUUCAAUCUAACCAUAAGUUUGUAUGUGUUUUUGAAUCUUUCAAAUAAAGAUAGUCUUGUCAUGACCUUACUUGAAAAUAUAUGUCUAUAGGUUGUACAAUUGUGUCCUUAAGUUCUAAAGUAAAGAUAAUCUUGUCAUGAUGCUGCACUAUCAUCUCAAGCCCAACUUUGUCUACUUCAAGAAUUUGUUUCCCAGUUUAUUUAUCAAUAAAAUGAGUUGGCCUUUUUUUGAAACAGAAACAAGGGUAUUUAUUAAUGAUAAUAAAUGAAACUAAAGCUCAAAGUACAAGAGUACUCUACCAAGAGCAAAAAGAACUAAGGGAGAACCUGGGUUAAGACUAAAACAAAAACUGAACUUAGGCAACAUAAAAAUGAUGGCAACCUAAAAACGGAUUCAAACAGAAAAAUAACGAGCUAAUCAAAGCCACUAAAGACGAUAUAUCAGUAGAAAGCUAUACAUUGACAUGUGACACAAAUACGACAUGACACCGACAUGGUGACGUGCCAAUUUUUGAAAAAGUAGGACACGAUACGUCGGAAGAUAUUAUUUUUUUCUUACAAAAUAAAUAUAUGCUGUGCACAUCUUGUGAAAUAUUACAUUUAAAACAUCACAAUAACAGCCAUACAAUUAAUACAAAAGAAAAAAAAAAGAAUUAGAAACAAAAGAAAAAAAUAGAAAUGGGAGAGAAAGAAACAAAAGUUGCUGGUCUGAAGAGGAAAACUC
rnacentral:lncRNA from 1 species